UGAGAAGUGUAUCAUCUAUAGCGAUCACAAGAGUUUCAAGUACCUCCUUACCUAGAAGGAGUUAAACCUUAGGCAACGUAGAUGGAUUGAACUACUUAAGGAUUACGACUGCACUAUGGAGUGUCAUCCUGGUAAAGCCAAUGUGGUCGUCAAUCUCUUAGUUGUAGGACAAUAACUGAUAGUUGGGGGAUGAUUCUCUAGUUCUGCAAUUCUGUCAGGUGGAGGAUGGUAGCACGUUUGAUUUUGAGCUAAAUAGUGAUGGGGUUUUGUGUUUCCGAGAAUGGGUUUGUGUACCUAAUGAUUCUGAUUUGAGAUAGUCCAUUUUGCAGGUAGUGUAUAGUAGCCUUUAUGUUAUGCAUACCUGUGGUAAUAAGAUGUAUCGAGAUUUCUGCGAACUGUACUGGUGGCCUGGUUUGAAAUGUGAGGUAACAAAUUUUGUUUCUCGUUGUUUGACAUGUCAACAAGUUAAGGCUGAGCACCAAUUUGCUUUGUGUUUACUUUAACCUGUUAAAAUUCCCUUAUGGAAAUAGGAACGCAUGACUAUGAACUUUGCUAGUGGAUUGCCUUUAACACCUAUUAAGAAGGAUUCUGUGUGGGUCAUCGUAGAUUGUUUGACUAAGUCUGCUCACUUUAUUCCUAUUAGGAUAGAUUUCUCCCUUCAGAAGUUGGCUAAGUUAUAUGUUUCAAAGAUAGUGAGACCUCAUAGGGUUCCAGUCUCGAUUAUUUCUGAUGAAGAUCCUCACUUCACUUCUCAAUUUUGAAGGAAACUCCAUGAGUCUCUGGGUUCGAGGUUAGACUUUAGUACUACAUUCCAUCCUCAAACAGAUGGUCAAUUUGAGAUGAUGAUUCAGAUACUGAAUGAUAUGCUUUAGAGUUGUGUGAUCGAUUUUCGAGGUAGUUGAGAGAAUUUUCUGCAGUUGGCUAAGUUCACCUACAAUAAUAGUUUCCAGUCUAGUAUUCAGAUGGCACCUUUCGAGGCUUUAUAUGACCAUAAGUGUCGUAUUCUGUUGUGUUAGACUAAGUUGGGUAAGCAACAAGUUUUGGGUUCUAAGUUGGUUUCUGAUACUUAGGAUAAAGUUAGACUGAUUUGGGAUUUUCUUAAGGUGGUGUAGUCAACCAAUUUUGCCCGGGCCCAUUUAAUUUAUUUGCAAAUAAAUAAACCCAAAUAAAUGAAUAAGGUCCAAGACUAAAAAAGUCCAUUUACAAUUUUCAAAAUACAAAAAUUACCAAAAUAACCCAUGACCCAAAACCCAAUUCUAAUAAACCCGUAUCUUAAAUUUAGCCCAAAUAAAAAUAAUAGCCUAAACAAGUACCCAAAGUUCCUUAGCCCAACAACAUUUUUGACCCAAUUGAGCAGACACCCAAACUAUACACGAAUGGCCCAAAAGGCCCAACUGCUUGAAAAUGCCAGAAACCUAAGGGUUUCUAGAACACACCAGUGCUGCAAUCGAACUCACGCACGGCUUUCAUGAGUGGCUUUCUCCGUACGACCGUUGCUCCAUACCUACAAAAGAAUAUACGAGAAGAAGCAACAACGGCAUGUACAGCCAAAUGACAGAGGGAAAAUGUAUUUUUAUUUUUCCAUUUAUUCUAUAAAUUUGGCUAUAAAAAGCCAUUAUUUGUACCUUGAUUUUUUACGCAUAUAAUAUCUGUACACACGCAUAGAGAAUAGAAAAAAGCGAUUUAAGAUUAAAAGAGGUGAUUUCAUAUUUUUCUUUUUCUCUUCUGAUUUUUUUUGUUUUUUUCCUUUUCCCUUUAUUUUCUUAUUAGUUUGCUCAUUUUUUUUAUUAUGCGACUUAAGGCCGAUGAAAGCCCUAAAUCUGCCAUGCGAAUAUAAGGGCGAGAGGUCACAUAACAGUGAAAAUUUAUUUACUCUACAAAUCUGUUUUCAUUUUUUUUCCUUUAAAAAAUAACAUGAGAUUUGAAAGCUCCAUUCAAAUAAAGAAGAAAGGAGGGACAAUACUUACCGAAUCCUUUUAGAUCUGGUCGAGCUCCUUUAACAGCAAGAUUGGGCACAUCUCGCUUACUGGUAAUCACCCAAAAUCAUGGUAGUUUGGCAGUGAAGUGAAAGAAACCCUAAAGAAUUGAUUUUAAAGGCUGAAAUUUCUUUUGAUCUAAGUGGAGGCUGCGUUUGAGGAAUGAAAUAGAAGUGGAUAGGUCUUAAAUGACCAAUUAACAAUGCGGCGCUGUUUAAUGGUGUAAAGACCCGCGCGUCAACCCGUUUUGGCAGGCCGGGUAUGCGCAUGGUUGGUGUGAAUGGGGAAAUUUGUCGACAAAUCCCUCCCCUUGCACACAGCCUUCAAUUUUCGCCUGAUUUGCCUACUUUAUGUUUUAAAAUUGACCUGUUAGUUUGUGUAUGGUUUCAAUUGGAUCCGCGGUUCAUUGCUGCAUUAUGAGCAUGGGAUAUUUUCAAUAAUAGUCCUCACAUGUUUGUGCACAUGGCACAUUGACCCAAUUUUGCAAUUGUUUUAUUUGUAAAUGGUUUCUCUGGUUUUAAUUUUGUCACAACUAAGUCUUAUCAUCAUUAUUUUAUUUACUGCAUAUACAUCUUAGUUUUACAUGAUUAAUCAUUGGUUGUGAUAUUUUGUAUUAUUUUGAUAGCCGAAUUUUGUAAUCUUUUCUGUUUUUAUUCUAUUAUUUUAAUAAUUGUACUAUUUGUAAUAUAAUUUAUUUUAGUCUGUGUAUGCUAUUAGUUUCAUGAUAUUUUGUAAUUUCUCUUGGAUUCAUCCACAUAUUUAAAUGUUUAUUAAGUAUAUUUGGUAUUUAUGUUUAAUCUAGUAUAUAUAGCUUUCUAAUAAAUUUGUAUUUAAUUGUUUUUUAGUUUUAGUAAACGUAUAAUAUACAAUAAAAAUUAAGUUAAUUUUAAAAUUCAUAUUUUUUUAUGUUACUUCAACAUUCAACUAUUUCUAAAAUUUCUUUGUAUGUGUAUCUCACGGUAAAAUUAAGUUAAUUUUAUAAUCCAAAUUUUAAUUCCAUGUUAUUUAAAUAUACAAUUAUUUCUAAAGUGUCUUCACAUGUAUAACACAUAUUAAAUUAUUUUUACUAUGAUACAUAUUAUUAUUCUCAUAUAACUUCAUAUAAAUAUUUUUUUAUGUAUAGAUCCUAUUUUAAAGAUAUUUAUGUGUACAAUAUAUUUCUUUUGGGAACCAUGUUUUAAAUCAUACCACUUAUUUAUUGUAUACACUCCCAUUUAUCCUUAUGUAUUAUUAUAUAUAUAUAUAUAUUGUUACCUAUAUACUUAUAUAUUUACUUUGUUUCUUUCAUACAUUAUUAAUCUCAUUUUUUUACAAACAAUUAUACCCAAUUUUACUUGUAUAUACAUGUUUCAUAAAUUUAUUAUGUAUGUUAUUUUAUAUCAUGUAUUGUUAUUCCUUCAUAUUUAAUACAUUAUUUAAGUUAUCUUGUGAAUUAUCAAUUUUUGAAUAAAUUUGUGUUUUAAAUAUGUUGUAUAUAAUUUGAUUUGAACUUUGAAUUUUAUAAUAACUAUUUCAAUAAACAUAUAUCUCAAGUUUUAUGCAAAUGUGUCAACCUAUAUAUAUAUAUUAUAUGAUCAUUAAUUCUUUAUUUUGUUUCAUACAUAUUUUUGUGCAUCAUUUUAUUUUGUGUUAUGAUCGUGCAUAUUAUUUUUAUAGUAAUUAUUCAUUAUCCAUGCUUAAAGAAUUUUUUUUUGUUACAUUGUACUUGGAAUAAUUGUUAGAUGUAUUAAGUGAGGUUGUACUUUGUGUAUAUUAUUUCAUAUUCAUUAACUUUUUUUUCCUUUUCUUUUUCUUUUUUUUUUUUGCAAUACAUUAAGUAUUUCAUCCAUUUUAAAAUAAAUAAACAUGUUUUUAAACAAAUUUCUAAAUUUCUGUUAUUCAAAAAUUCUGAAAUAAGGCAAUAUCUAAUAUUUGAGAAAUUCAGAAAAUCGUGCUCAAUCGUACUGGGUAUGACUUUUCCGGAAAACCCAAAUAUUUGGAUAACCUUUUAUAAUUUUAAUAUAUGGUUUUCUUUCAAAAGUCGAAAAUCGAUCACAUCUUAAAGGUAUAAGGGAUCAUAUCCAAUUGUACUGGGUAUGAAACCGCAUAUCUUUGAAAUGAAAGAUUUUUGACCACUAAUUUGAGCUAUUCAAACAUUUUUUUUCAUACUUCAAAAAAUCUUUUCUUUUAAAACUUUUGAUAUAAGGAUAGCAUCGAAUCAAUUUGGUACCAAUUUUUGGGCGUAGUGAAGGUGCUAACCCUUCCUCAUACGUAACCGACUCCCGAACUCGCUUUUGAAUUUGUGUAGACCAAAAUUGAUUUAAAAUGUCUUAUUAGGUGAUCCAAUCACACCUAAAUAAAAAGAUUGGUGGCGACUCCACAUUUUGGUUUUAAAAGUCGAUCCCUAUUGUUUUCAAAAUAAAAAAGGGUUUUGACAGGUGGGUUCUGAUAGACAGAAAUCAUAUGUAGAUCUGAAAAUGAGGGACAUCGAGUAUUCUACAGGUGAUUAUGUUUUCUUUAAGAUAUCCUCAUGGAAGAAAGUUUUACAGUUUAGAUAUAAGGGCAAGUUGAGCACUAGGUUCAUUGGGUCUUAUCGGAUUUUGAAAUGUGUGGGUCCGAUCGCCUAUCAAUUAGAGCUACCUCCAGAGGUGAACCGUAUUCAUGAUAUGUUCCAUGUCUCCAUGUUGAGGCGGUAUCGGUCUGACCCGCCUUAUAUUGUUUCUAUUGAGGAGAUUGAGGUAAUGCCGGAUUUGACAUUUGAGAGGGAGCCAGUUCAAAUUUUGAAUCGAGACAUUAAAGUCUUUAGGAGAAAAUAUGUUCCAUUACUUAAGGUUCUGUAGCGGAAACAUAGCCUAGAGAAAGCCACAUGGGAGCCGGAGGUCUCGAUUUGUCAGCAAUAUCUGCAUUUGUUUGAAUCAUGUAAAUUAUGGGGUUCAAAUUUCUUUUAAGGGGAAGAUUUGUAACGCCCAAAAAAAUGAAUUUUUUAUUUGUUUUAUUCUGUCAUUAAUAAGUGUCUAAUUCAGUGGAUAAGUGAUUUGUGUGUAAAUUUGAAGUCUUGGGUUCAAGUCUCACUUUUAAAAAUUUUGCUGAUUUAGUUCCUAGCUUUAUCCUUAAUUGUUUGGCUUAUAUUAUAUUUUCUGUCAACUCAUGUUAGAAUGAACUUGCUGGUUCAUGUGGUAAGGUGUUAGCUUACCCUAAUAUAUUGUGUUCAAAUCCCCGUGUGAGCGAAUAACAAUAAUUUUUAUUUUUGUAUGUGUGUGCCAGUUGUGUAGUAAAAGUUUGGUGGAAUUGAAAUUCUGUGAUGGUUGGAUGAGGAUUAGUGUGUCGAAUUUUGUGGGAUUUGGUUGUUAGUGAGGGUAGUGGGGAGUUUAAAUCAUUUUUUUUAAUUUUUUUUUGUUUUCUAAAAAUCCCCUAUUUUUCCCACGUUCUUUUUCUUUUUCUCUGCAAUUCCCUUCUGAUGUUUUUCUUCUGGUUACUCCCUAUUUUUGCUUCUCUCUUUGAUUUUGUCUACAAAUUGUUCGUUUGAAUUGUUGCGAUUUGGAUUUUCCCUUAUUUCUUCGUUCGGCUUGGUAAGUAGGGCUUCGUACUUCUUUAAUUUAUUGAUUUUGUAAGUUUGUUUGAUUUAGGGGUUUUGGAGUGGCAAAGUUGUAGUGUGGUUUGGGAAUAUGAUUUCUGUGGAUGUCUUGUUUAGGAGAAGAUCGAGAAUCAUUGGGUUUUCCUCCGACGAUUUAAUUCGUGUGUAUGGCUGCUAUUCAUUCUGUGGUAAUGAGUUAUUAUGUUUUUGAAUUUAUCUAAGUGGUUCGUUUGGUUUUGUUCUAGGAAGUAUUUGAGGGUGUAUUUUUUUAAUUCACUUGUGUUCGUCGUUAAUUUGGAUUUUAAUGGAUGCAUAUAGGUUCGGAAGCCUUGUGGGUGUUUACUCAUUAGAAUUAGUCAAGAUGUGUAACUAAAAACCCGAAAAUAGUGAACGGCGAAAGCCAAAAUUGGACACUAUCUACGUUACACUGCUGUGUGCCAGGCUGUGUGGUAGGCCAUUGCAAAACACGGCCGUGUGACAGACCGUGUGCAACACACGGUCUGGGCUAUUUUGGGCCAUGUGGACCACAUAGACUAGACUAUUUUGGUCGUGUGAGCUACAUGGGCAUGUGGGCCUAAAAUUCAUGAUUUUUCCUUAAGGCUAUACACGUCAUCCUGAAUGACCAUGGGCCUUUCAUAGGGUUGGUAUGAAACUAAAUCUACUAUAAGACAUGAAAUCUGAACUUCUGCUGAUACAAAUUCUGCUAUCUGCAAGAAUAAUGGAAACAUCAAAUGAGUAAUAUAUCUGAAUACGUAUAAUAAGUAUGCGGUUCGUAUUUGUUAUGUUAUGCAUGUAAAGGUCUGCCACAUUUAAUUAUGCUUUGAAUAUGUGUGAUAUUUUCUGUACUCUGUAUCUGCAUCUGGGUUGGGUUGUAAAUAACAUGUGGAAGAAGUGGUUCUAUCAAAGACAAUAAAUCAUCUAUUGAUCUGGCAGCUCAGCUGCAACUAUUCUGUAAAGUGCCCUGUGGACAUUAAGCUAUGUGUAGGGACGGAUGAGUGUUUUUAUACCCAUAUAAUGUGUUGGGAUAGACGGAGUUGGUGUGUAGCGGCUGGGGGUAGGAUUAUGUGUUGUAUCUGCUCUACUCUGCUAUAAAUCUGUUUCUAAUAAAUCUGUCUGAUAUGUAUUUUACUGUGUUAAGUUUAUUUUUAUAGACUGAGUUUCAAAACUCACUCUCAGUUUCACUGACAUUUUAAAGUAAUCCUCAAACUUAGGAAAUUCGGUACGACGGGAGCUUGGUUUUACUAGUAUUUCGACUCUUUAACUAUUUUAAAUUGGAUUAAGUGUUUUGUAAAAUUUGGACUAUUUGGACAUUUUGGGACUGUCUCGGUUUUGGAUUUUAUUCUGGAUAUUUGCAUGACAUUUGAUAAAACGAUUUACCGAAAAUGAUUAUUUUCCUACAACCAACUAUUUUCGAGAAAACAAACUUGGUUUUUUUAAAGUAUAAUGGUCUAAGAAUUUCCACUGCAAAGUAUUCAGUUUAUUUAGGAAAUGUAAAUAAACAAUGUUUUUAAUUAAAUAAUUAUGUCAAACAUGUUUUCUAAUAAAACAGGCCUUUAAGUAACAAAAGCUCACGAUUUUUUUUUCAAAUAGACAAAAGCUGGACUUACAAUUGUUUGACAUAGCAUCUGCAGAUCUAGCUAUAACGUCCAUGCCGAAUUUGAGGUGUUACAUUUUUCAUUUCAUUAAAUACGUGAUGAAAUUUGAAUAAUUUAGAGGACUAACUUUUCAAUUUAAAAAAAAGUAGAAUGAUGAAUUUUAGAAUUAGACGGUUAUUUAUGUGAUGAUUCCCUUCCCAUUUUUCUUGUAUUUUUCUAACAUAUUUUUAUUGUAUGCUAAAGUAGAAUGAAUAUGUUAGAGUUGUGUGACCCAAAUUCUAAGAGAUUGCUUGCCAGUCAAGUUAAACAAAAAUAUAUUUUCUUUCUAGAAGAUUUAGUAUUUAUUAGUAUAAUAUAUUUAGCAUUUAUUAGCAUAGUUUAUUUGACUUGCUAAUUUAGCUUAUAAAUAGGCUCUUUUACAAUCUUAGAAAAUACACCUAUUAGAUAUUAGAACUCAUAACACAUUUAGAGAAUUUUGUGUUUACGUUUUGAGGGUUCUUUGUUUUUGGGUUUUCGGGGUUUAGCUUUAUCUCCAUCUUUUGUACUCUUCAUUCUUUUGCCAUUAUAGUAAAAUUAUCUUUGCCCGUGGUUUUUUAUUCUCUUUGGAGGGGUUUUUCCACAUUAAAAAUUUGUGUGUUCAAUUUCUCAAUUUAUUUCGCUAUUUUAUUUCUUAUUGCUUAAUCUAGUUCAAUUUAGAUCAACCCAUUUAGAUAUGGUAGCAACAAUAUUUGAAAUUGAGAAGUUCGAUGGUGAGACAAAUUUCAAUCUGUGGCAAGUUCGGAUGAUGGCAAUUCUAGUUCAAACAGGCUUGAAGAAGGUUGUUACUGGGAAAAAGCCUGAGAAUCUAAAUCAAACAGAAUGGGAAGAGCUUGAUGAAAAGGCCUUGUCUUCAAUCCAGUUGUGCGUCGCAAAUACGGUAUUGCAGCAGGUAUUGAUGGAGAAGACCUCAUCCGCAUUGUGGAAAAGGUUAGAAACUCUUUAUGCGACUAAGUCUCUAGCUAACCGUUUAGUGUUGAAACAACGUCUAUUUACAUUUCGCAUGAACGAAUGUGAGCUUCUUAGAGAUCAUAUCAGUCAAUUCAUUACUCUUUUAAAUUAUUUAAAUAACGUUGAGGUUCAUAUUGACGAUGAAGAUCAGGCUAUGCUAUUAUUGUACUCUUUACCCUCUUCAUACAAGUUUUUCAGGGAAACACUGAUUUAUGGUAGAAACAAACUCUUGUUCGAAGAUUAGAAGGGUCAUUUGUUGAGUAGAGACAAACUCAAAAAUGAGUUUGGUUUGGAUAGCAAGGUAGAUAGGCAACCUUAUGUUUUGGUAGAAUCAAAGAAAUGAGACAAAAGGUGUCGCUAUUGUAAAAAAUUAGGUCACGUCAAAGCAGAUUGUUAUAAACUGUGAAACAAAAGAGCUGCUGAGUGUAAUGAGGAAGAUGUAGCUGGUGCUAAUUUGGCCGAUGAAGGUGGUGAUGAUUUCUUGUUAGUGUCAACGAGUGAUAACUCCAAGCUCACGUCUGAGUGGAUCCUAGAUUUAGGAUGUUCUUUCCACAUGUAUCCCAAUAGAGAAUGGUUCUCCACAUAUAGUUCGGUUGAAAGUGGAGUUGUGCACAUGGAAAACGAUUCAUCCAGUAAGGUAAUUGGUAUUGGUACUGUUAAAAGUAGGAUACACAAUGGGAUGAUUAGGACACCCUCAGAUGUCAGGUAUGUACCUGAUUUACGAAAGAAUCUCAUCUCCUUGAGUAUUUUAGACUUGAAAGGAUGCAGAAUCAACAUCGAGUCGAGCGGUAUUAAAGUAUCUCGUGGAGCUCUCAUUUUGUUAAAAAGGUAAAAGAACCGACAGCCUUUAUAUUCUGGAAGGAUCUACAGUGACUGGUGAAAUCGGACGUCCCUCGUCCAUUACGGAGUCGAAGUCAACUCAUUUGGAGCCGAGAAACUUGGUCAUGGGAGGGAAAAAUGUAUGAUUGUUUCGUUGAAGAGAGGUUCUCUUUUGGAUGCAGGUUUUUCAAAGUUAGGGCACUGUGUUCGUGAAAAUCAGACUUGGGUUAGUUUUGAUUUGGCAGUGCACAAGUCGAAGGCUAGAAGUCUUCUAGCUUUUAAGCAUAAAUUCGACUCAGUUAAUUCCCUGCAUAGUUCAAGAUAGGCCCGUGGCGGGCUUUGGCAGAGAUGGCGUUGAAAGAAUUCGUGUCAAGGUGGAGAUUGUUAGAGUUGUGUGACCCAAAUUCUAAGAGAUUGUUUGCAAAUUAAGUUAAACAAAAAUAUAAGUCAAGUUAAAAAAAAUAUCUAUUUUCUUUCUAGAAGAUUUAGUAUUUAUUAGUAUAAUAUAUUUAGCAUUUAUUAGCAUAGUUUAUUUGACUUGCUAAUUUAACCUAUAAAUAGGCUCUUUUAGAACUUUAGAAAAUACACCCAUUAGAGAUUAGAACUCAUAACACAUUUAGAGAAUUUUGUGUUUACGUUUUGAGGUUCUUUGUUUUCGGGUUUUCGGGGUUUAGUUUUAUCUCCAUCUUUUGUACUCUUCAUUCUUUUUCCAUUAUAGUAAAAUUAUCUUUACCCGUGGUUUUUUAUCCUCUUUGGAGGAGUUUUUCCACGUUAAAUUUGUGUGUUCAAUUUCUCAAUUUAUUCCGCUAUUUUUUUUCACUUGUUGCUUAAUCAGGUCGAUCGUAACAGAAUAUUAAAUGUAAUGACAAGACACAUUAUACUUUUAAAGAGAGAAUAUAAUUUUAAAUUUUAAAAAUAAUAUUAUUGAAAAUAACAAUAAUAAAUUAGGAGACACAAAAGAUAAAAAAGAAAAAACAUAGUAAACCAGAUAAAGUAUAACCUAGAGAAAAAAGAAAACAACAGCAAACAGGAAAAGGGAAUUUAUUCCUUAAUUUAGAAAAUUGGGUUUGGGUUACAGAAGAAAAGUAGCUAUGCCGGAAACAACUUUAAUUAUACAAGAAUCUUGUCAACAAUUUUGCUAUCACUUCGCAUUGCUUUCACUCAAAGGAUAAUUCUCCCAUGAUUAAGCUUCGGGUUUGAGUUAAAAAUUAUGAACAAUCAAUUUUUUUUUUUAGAUAUACCAAAAUCCAAUUUAUUUGGUUCAAAGAUUCUUAAUUCCACUGUUAUUUCUUUGAAGACCAUGUGUGUCGCUUUUGGAUGGAGUUGGAGAUUCACGAGAUUUGAUUAAUAACAAAGAAGCAAGAGUUUGGUGCAAUAAGCGAGACAAUAAUGCUAUGUUACGUAAUAAAUUGUGUUUAGGAUAUCAUUUUUUUAAAGGAAUUAAUUUUUAUAUAAUUAUUUUUUCAUUCAAAACAUCAACAAUUAUAUAAAAAAACAAAUAUUUUCGGUAAUAUAUUGCUUCAAUCUUUUUUUUAAGCAAAUAAAUAAAAAGAUUAUUAUUUGAUGUAUUAAUGGUGAAGUUUUUUUUAAUUUUACAAGUGAGUUUAAGAAAUCGUCAUCUGUUUUAUUUAUUUAAUUUUUAUUUUUUUAAAUAUCAAUUAAGAACACUUAGUAAUUUCGUAAACCCACUAUAUAAAAUAAUAACCUUAAAUAAAAUUAUAUUAAAGAUAAACUAUCAAAAUAGUCACUUUUGUUUGCCCCAGGUUACAUUUUAGUCACUUAUGUUUGAAAUAUUACGUUUUAGUCACUUACGUUAUCAUGUUGUAACAUUUUAGUCACUGAGUGUUAAUUAUCGUUAUCAGUAUAACAGUAAGCUAACGUGACACGUUAAAUCAUCAUUUCAAAUGAAAAUUUUAGGUUAAAUUAUACAAUUGGUCCCUAUAUUUUUUUUUGUUUUAAGCAAUUUAAUUUUUUUCUUUUAUGUUCUUUGAACUUUCAUUUUUUCUUUAUUUUCCAUUCUCUUCUCCUUCUCUCUCUGUUUUCCUCCCUUCUCCAUUUCUUUUAACGUAGUUUUUCUAUGUUUUCCAUUUGUUAAAAUUAGUCCCUAUACUUUUAUUUUUUUGAUCAAUUUAAUUUUUUUAUUUCCUUAUUUUCCUUUUCUUCUUCCCCUUUAUUUUUCUCACUUCUCAUAUUCUUCAAUAAAGAAACAUAAUCUUUGCCCACCAAAUAAACCAAGUCUUUUCACAUUAUUCCUAAAUUGAAUUUCACUUAAAACCAAAAAUCAAUUAUUCUUAAUCAAAUCUAAAUUUGAAUAUAACCUAAUUUUGAAACUAAAAUUGGAUCUAACUAAUCAAUAUAAAAAGCCAUAUCCUUAAUCAAAUCUAAACAUAAAUUGAAUUUUUUAUAUUCAAAAUAAUUUUUUUCCGUUUCCAAACUUUUACAGAAUCGUGUAGAUUAUUCCUUUCCUUUUAUUUUAUUUUCUGACGAAUAAAAUUAAGCAAACGAUAAAAUUGAUUUAAACCUUCUUGGAUAUUCCUAAGCAAGCUUGAUUGGAAGCCAAGCAUGGAUGAACCGAAGAGAGAAAGGGAGCAAGGAACCAAACUAGUUUGGGAAAAGCUAAGGGUAAGUUUCGUAUGGUGGUUGUUUUAGUCAUUGAGAGUGUAGAGCUUGUUUGAAGAAUCUGUGAAAUAACGUAGUUUCAAGAGGGCGAGAAUGUUGUAGGUAAGAUAGAUAAACUGGUCAUAAGGGUUAGUUAGAAGGUUAAGGGAAUAGGCUUGAGAAAAUUUGUCUUCGAGUGAAGCAAGCUUGUGGACUAGGUCAUUGAAAGAUCCAAAUUGGUUCGUUAAAGUGAUGAUGGACAAUGAGGGUUUGUAAUUGUGAGGUGAAAAUAUGCGAAGCAAGUUUUAUUUUGGUUUCAGCUUUUGGCUUUUCUUUUUCAUAAACAUAAAAAAUCUUAACAAAUGAAAAAUAUAGAAUAACUAUGUUAAAAGAGAUGGAGAAGGGAGGAAAACAGAGGGAGAAACAAAAGAGAAUGAAAAAUAAAGGGAAAAAAAUUUAAAAGAAUAUAAAAGAAAAAAAUUAAAUUGCUCGAAACGAAAAAAAAUAUGGGGACCAAUUGUAUAAUUUAACCUAAAAUUUUUGUUUGAAAUGAUGUUUAACGUGCCACGUUAGCUUACCAUUACACUAUUAACGACAAUUAACGACACAGUGACUAAAAUGUUACAACAUGUUAAUGUAAGUGAUUAAAACGUAACACUUCAAACAUAAGUGACUAAAAUAUAACCUGAAGUAAACAAAAGUGAUUAUUUUGAUAGUUUACCUUUAUAACUAGGAUUUAAUCAUUAUAAUAAAUAAACGGAUAUGAUUAACAUCAGAAUGACUUUAGACAAGACUCGCAUAUAAUGAGAUCUAAGUUAAAAUAAAUUUAAAUAAAUCCCUCACAUGAUUUAGGUUUAGAUAGGGUGAGAUUUGAAUAUGAGAAUUUGAGGUCACAAAAUGCUAAUUCUCUAUCCACUUGGACUCUUUCUCUUUGCAUUGUCCAUUGCAAGCCGAAUAACAUGGCUGGUGGAGUUGCCAUUGCUCAGGAUUACAAAGGCUCAAAAAUUUUGUCCAUUCGAAGCUUCAAUUUUGUCAACAAAAUCUAGGCCAGGCUUCUCACUCUUCGUUCUAUCCUUCUUACUCUCAAAAAUCAUAAUAUUUCGUGUAGAUUUCUUGGAAGUGACAAAAAAAUGUGUAAACAUCAUACAUGGACGCACCAUGGUAGGAUGGAAACUCCAACCAGUGCUCAAUGACAUCUAGCAUCUCCUCCCUUCUGUCCAUAUACAAGACGGCCCAAUGAACAACAGUUGUCUGCAUUGGUAAACUAAAUGGUGGGCUACAUGUGCUUCUAAGGUGGAUAUAAGUUUUUCGUGGCCUUAACCACUCUUGCCUUGCACUAGAAAAAUUAUUAUUUUUAUAUAAUCUAAAAUAUAUAUAUAAAAGUACGAGUUUAGAAAAUUUUUUAAAUGAAUAAAAAUACAUUUUAUUUUUUACUAUAUUACUAAAUUCACAAUUUAAAAUAAAAAAUUAAAAUAAAAUAGAAGUUGAGAUAAUUAUUACACAUUUAAAAUAUUAUAAUUUAAUUUACAAUUAUUUUUUAAAAAUUAUUGUGCUAAUUUUAAAAACAGAGUUAUUACUUGCAUAGAACGCUAAGCAACAAGUCCUCAUAAUUAUUAGUUUAAAAAGUUGAUGUAAAAAAAGUUGUACUAAUUUUAUUGAUGUAAAAUAAAGUUAUUACUUUAAUAGAAUUUUAAGCAUCUUAAAUAGCACUUAAAUAAUAUAUUACAGUUAAUACUAUUGUUUUCAAUAAUGUUACUUUGCAUUAAUUAAAUAAAGUAAAAUUAUAUUAUGUGUUAAAAAUGCUUUAAUUAUGAUUUGAAAAAUUUCUAUUAUAAUAUUUGAAUUGAUAAAUUAAUAUAUUUUAAUUGUAUUCAAUAAUUCAAAUAAGAAAUAUUAUUUUGGUAACUACAACAAUUAAAAAUACAAUAUUUUAAAAAAUAUUAAACAUAAACACAUAAAAUCAUAUGAAAUGCGAGUGACAUUAAAAGCUAGUACAUCUAAAACACGCUAUAAAGUUAAUAAAUAUAUUAGUUUAUUUAUAACAUUAUUAUGUUAAAUGCAAUAAUUUAUAUUUUUUCGAGUACUAAUAGAAAAUUUAAUAUAUAUAUAUUUUGGAGUGUUUAAGACAUGCGAGACUUAAAAGGGUGAACUAAAUUAUAUAGAAAAAAGAGGUUGUGGAAACUUAUUUGAAGGAUUAAUUAAAACUUUCAUACAUGGUGUUUCCCCUCUUCUUAUAAUGAUAUUGUAAUGAUAGAAAAUAGAGAUACAACCAAGAGUGUUUGUUGAUGUGUCUUUGUAGAAAAGGUUACGCAAUGUUGUUUGAUGGCAAACAUGAAAGGCAGCUCAAUAUGGGGAAAACACCACACUAGCUUGGGAUAAGUCAUCCAAAAUUUUAGCGUAUGGUUUUCAACAUGCAAUAAUUGUGCGGCCCCCCUUGCCUUGCCUAUUGUCCAAUUGGUUGCGUAACUUGGGAUAAGUCACCGAGGCUAUGCUACUGCCCAGCAUAGGCAUAAUUCUAUGAUGGUAACUCUUCACAUAUUUAUAAUUAAACUGAUAAAUCUAUUUUAAAAUUUGAAUUUGUAUUACAUCUAAAUAUUACAAUUUAAAUUAAAUAUUUUAUUCUUUAAAGAUUAAAAUCAAUAUUCUAUUGAGACAUUUUUUGAGUAGUGCUUACUGAUGCUUAGCAUUGUUCAGCUCGGAAACUUGCCAUGUUUGAGUUAGUAAAUUUUGACAAUAAAAAUUUUUGGACUUUGAUUCUAGCUAAUAAUUUGGACGAUUUCAAGCCCACCUUUAAUAUCCAAACUACAUAUAGCGACAUAUCUUAGAGAUCGUUUGGAUUUGGAUCAAGGCAACCAACUUGGUGGGAUCAGAUCGAAUUGAAUCGGGUGAAACUUGAAAGUCUAUCUUAAACAUUCAAGACUUAUCUGAGUGCAUUGAAGAUAUUCUUUAUGCUUGUUAUCCUACUAGUUUUAUGGGAAGAUUGAUAUCGUGUGUUAGCAAGUCUCGGCUUCUUAUAAAUUGAGGAGACUUGUAUAGGUGAUGUACUAAAUUGGCAUCACUUAUUCUUGUUCAUUGAGGAACAUUUCUUUUUAGUGCAUUGAGUAAAAACUUAAGUGAGUUACUUGGUUAAUGUCCUAAGUUUUUAGGGGGGAAACUUGGAGGAGAGUUAUCUAAAUCUUAGGUGCAAAAAUGAGUCUAAUAUGAUGAGUGCUAAAGGUUGAAAUCAACUGGUUGUAUGUGUUGCUAGGAUAGUGGAUUAUCUCUCUAGAUAAGGCUCCGCAGACGCAGGGAAACUGAACUAUGUAAAUAUAUUGUGUCUUCUUUGUUUUUUUGCUUUGUUCAUACUUAGUGCCUAAAGUAGUUGGCCUUGGUCUUCGUCACUACUUUUGGCACUGCUUGUGUUUUGUUUGUAAAUACCGUUUUAGAACUUUCAUAUUCAAAAUUUAUAAGUUAAAAAGAUUAAAAAAAUUUAAAAAUGAAAUAAAUAAUAUAUUCAAAUAUCCUAAUAUGAUAUUCUAAAAAAUGAAGCCAAUUCAAAUAUUUCAAUAUCCAAAAUUAAUAUUUGUGUGUGUAUAUAUAUAUGGGGAAUAGUAAUUAAAAUAUCUAAAUUCAUAAUAUUUGAAUCAACAAAAGUAAAUCAAAUAUUCAAAAAUAUCCACAUUAUCUAUUGUCAUCCCUAAACAUGGCUAGCUUGUUUUGGUUGAUUGGUUUAAAGGUCAAGCCGACCAUUUUUUAUUUCUUCAUAUAUAGUUAAUAACAACUUUAUUUGCCUGCCAAUAUUUUGCCUGUUAUAGAGAGCUGUCUGUAACAUACCUAUAACAACAUGUUGUUAUAGAAAGAUAAUUGUUCAAAACCUAGAAUAGAAUUCAAAUAGUGAAUUUCUAUCAAAUAAAGAAAGUGAGGUUUAUAUGGAAAAAAGAAAGUGGAAAUCAAAUCAACAACAUUAAAAGAUGUAUAGUAGGUAUAUGUUGUUGGAUCUAAUGCUCUAAGUUUAGUAUACACUUGUAUUUUUCAAACAAAUUGGUUUAAUAAUAAUAUCCAUUAAUUACAUUAGUACCCUUUAUAUAUUAUCCUCAAUUGUUUUUGCAUGCAAAGCAAAAUGGAAGCAAAUAUUGACUCACUGAUUUUCUAAUGUUUAAAUAAUAUUAAGUAGUAUUAUGUGUUCGGAUCGUAAUACAAAAAGACAAUUUAUAUUAGUAGAUGAACCUAUACAUAUUCCUAGUCUAAUAAAAAAUGAGCAAAUCGAUUGAAAGACUAAUAUGUUAUUUAUCAAGUCCAAUUGGGGAAAUGUUUUUCUUGAGCAUCAGAGUGGAUGACUGCUAAAAGAUAGAGACAUAUAUGUGAUUGAUUGGACUGACAGUACAUUAGACAGGACCCAAGUAGAAUAGAUCCUAAAUCCUUUUAUGGAUUUAUUUACUUGUGACAUUCAAAGUGUGACAUACCUUGUAACACCCUAAAAUAAUUGUUUAUGUUUCUGUAAUUGUUUGACACAAAUCUGCAUAGUGUUCUAAGUGUGUGUGUGAGGUCCCAAGUUCAAGUCUUACCUUUAGCAAUUUUGGUUAUUUUUGGAAUUAAGUCUUACCCUUGUUCAGUGGGCUUAUAUUUAAUUAUUUUUAAUUUUAUAUCAAAAUGAGCCUAUUGGUUCUAGUGGUAAGGGAAUUAGUGUGUUGGGGGUCUCGUGUUUGAGCCCCUGCAUUAGAAAGGGUGUUACAUUUUUGUUCUGUUAUUUAUUAGAGUUCCGGCUGAGUUGAAAUUCUGAGGGAGUUAUCAGUAGUGGGGUACUGGAGAGAAUUAAGGGAUUGUAGGGAAUAUCCUGGUUUUUUUUUUUGCUAAAUUCUUCUCUUCUCUCUCUUCCAAAAAUCACCAAAUCUCUUUGACGUUUUAUUUUCUUUCUUCUCUUCUAUACUGUUUCACAUUAAAAUUUUCGUUUUCCUUCUUCUGUUGCUGUCGUUUUGCUGACCAAUUCCUACUCUUGCUUUUUGGGUUCUUCAAUCAGGUUGGUAAGUUAAGGCUUAGUUUGUUAAUGUUAGAUUUUGAGUAUUGGGCAAUAUUAGAAUAACCGAUAUUAGUGAGUAAUCGAUGAUUUUGUGAAAGGCUGUGUAGGUGAAGGCGGUGAAUCGAUGGUUUUCGCAUCAGCUGCUUAACUCUUUUAUAGUCGUAUUGUAGUGGUAAGUGUGGAACAUUUCUCGGUUUAGUGGUUAGUUUUGGUAAAUCGUUUGCUAAUAGGACUUUCGGGAUUCUAUUUUUAGGUGCUGGUAGUCUCGAGAGCAUUUUUACAUCGAAACAGUAACAAAUGUGUACCCAAAACGAAGAAAAAGGGGAUUCGGUGAAAGUUAAAACUACAAUCUGCCGACACCACAUGACCGUGUAGUAGGCCGUAUGGUAGGCCGUGUGCGACGACACGGUUGAGCGAUCAAUGAAGACUAGGUCGUAUGCAAGACACAGUCGUGUGAUAGUCAGAAUGUGGUCAUGUGAGACACACGGGCUAGGCCAAGUUGGGCGUAUGGGCCCACACGGGCAUGUCACACUGGCGUGUGGAUUCUAGGCCAGGCGAUGUGUGCCACAAGGGCGUGUGGGCCCAUUUAUCUGAAUUUUUCCUUAGGGUUGCACGGGUCGUCCCAAACGACUGUGGGCCUACUGUAGGGUCGGUAAGGGCUAAAUAAACCCUAAACCUGAUCUGAUUAGGAUACUAAUACACGUCUACUUGCAUUACUAUCUGCAUAUUUGUUAUCUAUGUACGUUUUUAUGUAAGCAUGUGAGCAUGUUAGACUGUUUAUCUGUAUUUGUAUAUUUUUGUAUCUGAUAUGGGGGAUGGGAUGAUGUAUUUUGGAGGAAGUGUUCUGAAAGGCAUUUCAUGCCUAUUAUCUAGCAGCAUGGCUGCACUAUAUCUGUUAUGUGCCGCAUUAGUACAACAUAGUGUGUAGGGCUGGGUGGGUGUUUUAAACCCCACAUGGUGUGUAGGGAUGGUUAAUAUGGUGUAUAGAAUAUGGGGGUAGGAUAUCUAAUUUCUGAUUCUAAUUUGCAUAUCUAUAUCUGUAAUGGGCUUAAGCCCGAAUCCAUAUCUGACUGAUUCUGAUUUUCUAGUUGUGUGCAUGCUUAAUUCUGCGGGGUUACACACUGAAUUUACGUAAACUCACUCUUUUCUGUUUAUUCUGUAUACGUAUUCACAGUCUUAGACAGAUCGGUGCUGCGGAGCCCCUUGGUGACCACCUAUUCAAACUGAUUAUAGUUGCGAUAUAAUUUUUAUAUUCUGGUUUAUUCUAGUUUUUAUGUAACACGGACUGUUUUCUUUUAAUUUGGGUUAGACUGCGACUUUUAUAAUUUUAUAACUGCUCAAUGCGUUAUAACUCAGAUUUUACCAAAAGCAAGGGUUUUUCUAAAACCUUAAACGAUUUUUUAAACUCAAUAUUUUUUAAAGUUUCUGAUACAAAUACGUCUUAUCUUUAAGCGAUUAAAUGAAUGAGAGCUUUGAAAUUGAUAAUAGCGAUAAGGGCGAAGGAACUAUUAUGGUUUUUAACUUAACAAUAACAGUUUUCAACCCCAUUUCAUGUGACAUUUUUGAAUUUGGCCAAAACUUCUAGGUCGGGUUUGGGGUGUUACAUUUAGUGGUAUCAGAGUCAGAUUGCAAAACUCAGCUAUGAAUUUUGGGUUCCAAAAUUUGGUUUUAAAGAAUUGGUUUUCAAAAUAUUUUAAACACUCUAAUUAAGUACGUGGUACACCGAGUCUCUAGUGCCGAUCCUGUAAGUAUUCUCUGAAACACUAUAGUUUGCACUCUUUGAAAACUGUAGUGAAACGAAUAAAGAUUGAAACUUUUGGAAACAUUAUUGAACUUAUGCCAUUUAUUACAUAAAACACCUGUUAAUAAAUAUUGAACUGAUGCAUGAAACCCUUAAUGUAAAUAAAACUUCGAAAUUACAAUGAGUGUACGGGGUAUCCGUGGACGUGGUAGUCGAGGCUAAGGUAGAGGUCGUAGGGGGCUCGAGCUGAGUCCUCAUCUCUAGGUAGCAUAUCAAAUUUGGAUACUAGUAAGACACCUAUGUCACCUGCAACUGAGACUGGGUCUCAGAGUCGUUUGGCUGGGGACGACGCAUUGUCCCAAGCCAUAUUGAGGAUAUUAGAGAGGGUCGCUAGACCCAAUUCUGGAUCUAGGGAUUGAGGGUUGGUAACUGAGCGAAUCUGGUCUAAUGGAGCUAAGUUGUUUAGGGGUGUCACGGGAGUCGCCCCUAAUGUGGCUGAGUAUUGGUUGGAGGCCACGGAGAGGAUUAUGGAUGAUUUGGACUGUACCCCCAAGUAAAAAUUAAAGGGUGUAGUUUCCUUGUUUCGCGAUGAGGCUUACUAGUGGUGGUUGAUGGUUAAGGAGGUUACUCAGCCAGAUCGUUUGACUUGGGAAUUCUUUAAGACUACAUUUCAGAAUAACUAUGUAGGAGCUAGCUACGUCGAUGCUCGCAUGCAUGAUUUUCUGAAUCUCAUUCAAGGUGACCAAUCUGUGGCCGAGUAUGAGGCUAAAUUUCUGAGGUUGAGCCGUUAUGCUUGAGACAUUAUGGCGUUUGAGUAUGAGAGGUGUGUUAGGUUUGAGGACGACGUAAAGGAUAAUCUAAGGGUUUUGAUUGCUCCACAGAAAGAGUGUGAUUUUUCCAUUCUGGUAGAGAAGGUGAAAAUUACCAAGGAUUUUAAGCGCGCGGAGCGCCAGAAUAGAGAUAGGGAGAGAGAUAAGAACAAGAGGGAUUUGGAGCCCUCGAGUUCUGUGUAAAUGCCUAAGAAAAGGGCCAGAUUUGAUUGGCCAGUUAGAGUGGAGGCCCUAUUACUUCUACUGGGAUGCUGCCUUGUGGAGAUUAUGGGAGACGCCAUCCGGGCUAGUGUUGGAGGAGGAUUGGGGCUUGUUUGAGAUGUGAGUCUCUUGAGCACCGUAUUAGAGAGUGUUUACAGCGGGCAGAUCAGAUGCAAACUUCAGCUCCGAGUACUGUACAGCCUUAGAGAGCAGUUCAGCAGCCACCUAAGGGUUGUGGACAGGCUAGGGGUGGUAACAGUGUUAGUCGUGGACAGAGAGCACUAGACAAAGGUGCUGGUCAGACUGAGGUGAAGCAACUUGCUUUGGUUUAUGCUGCAUGUCGCCAAGAGGAUAGGGAUGCUCCUGACGUCAACACUAGUAUAUUCUUUGUAUUUGAUGUACCUUACGUGACUUUGAUAGACAUAGGGUCUACUCACUAUUACAUAGCUAGUUCAAUAUUUGAAACUGUAGGGAUUUCUGUGAAGAGCACUACUAGUGAGGUUACUGUACUGAGUCCAUUGGGGCAGUCUGUUCAGGUUAGUAAACUCUAUAGGGAUGUUCCGUUAGAGCUGCAAGGGACUGUUUUUCUGGAGAAUUUGAUGGAGCUUCCGUUUGGGGAGUUUGAUCUAAUUCUUGGUAUGGACUAGUUGGUGGAGCAUCGAGUCAGUUUGGAUUGCGCAUCUAAGAGGGUCGUUUUGAGGACCAAGGAUGAUGUGGAGGUGGUUAUGAUUGGUGAGCAUCGAGACUAUCUGUCACAUAUGAUCUCCACACUAGUAGCUGAGAAACUGGUCCGAAAAGGGUGUGAGACGUACUUAGCCUAGGUAAGUGUUUCAAAUUCUGGGGACUCUUCUGUUGGGAAUAUCAGAAUAGUAAAGAAUUUUCCAGGCGUCUUUCUUGAGGAGUUACCAGGAUUACUUCCUAAUAGGGAAGUGGAGUUUGGGAUUGAGCUUCUUUUGGGUACGGCUCCAGUGUCCAUUGCCCUCUACCGUAUGGCAUCGAAAGAGCUUAUUGAGCUUAAAGCUCGAUUUCAGGAGCUUCUGGACUGUGGUUUCAUCUGUCUUAGUGUGUCUUCAUGGGGAGCACGAGUUCUGUUUGUUAAGAAGAAUGAUGAGACCAUGAGGAUGUGUAUCGAUUAUCAGUAGUUGAACAAGUUGAUUGUGAAGAAUAAGUAUUCAUUUCCGAGGAUUGACAACUUGUUUGAUUAGUUCAAAGGGGCUUCCGUGUUUUCGAAGAUUGAUUUUCGUUCUGGGUAUCAUCAAUUGAGGGUUAAGGAGGCUGAUGUACAUAAGACUGUAUUUAGGACUCGUUAUGGGCAUUACGAGUUCCUUGUUAGCAUUUUGGUCUAACGAAUACUCUGACGACAUUCAUGGAUCUGAUGAACCGAGUGUUUCAACCUUACCUGGAUCAGUUCAUCGUGGUCUUCAUUACGACAUUCUGGUAUACUCUAAGACAGAGGAUAAGCAUUUUAGAGUUGUGCUUCAGAUUUUGUGUGAGAAACAGCUUUAUGUCAAGUUAAGCAAGUGCGAGUUCUGGUUGCGUAAAGUAACAUUUAUGGGGCACGUGGUUUCUGCUGAGGGGAUUCAUGUUGAUCCUCGAAAGAUUGAGGCUGUGUUGGAUUGGAAACAGCUUAAGAAUGUAUCUGAGAUCCGUAGCUUUCUAGGUUUGUGUAACAUCUCGAAAUAGGGCUUAGUCGGAAUAGUGGUUCCGAAACCAUGAAUCUGAGGUUGAAAAAUUAUUUUGAUAUUAUUUUGGGUGCUAUAGCAUGAUUAUAUAAGUGCAUGAAAAUUUUGGUGAAUUAAUUUUAGCGAUUGUGAGCUUAAUUACGAAAAAGGACUAAAUCAUAUAGAGGGAAAAAAGUUUUGUUUAAAUAUCCAAAUGUGUUAAAUAGCUAGAGAACCAUAAUUAGGGGUCUUUAAAGAGCAAUUAGACCCUUAAAAAAGGGAUGGCCGGCCAUAAGGGACAAAGAAAUUGAAAAGUCAAAAUUGGUGGGUAUUAGGUGACUUAUUUGGUAUUAAAAUAAAACAAAAAAAAGAGAGAAAAUUUUGUAAUCUUUUCAUCUUUCUUAUUCAUCCACUGAAAAUGGCAACAAGGAGGGGGCUUUGAAAGCUCAAAAAUAUUAGCCACUUAUAUUCCUCGCAAGUAAGUGAUUUAGAUAGCCUUUCUUGAUGAUUUUUGCAUUUUUAAGACCCUUAUAGCAUGAGCUAACUAAUGAGGGGACUAUUUUGCAAAAUGGUUGAAUGUCUAAGGUUUUUCUAUGUGAAUAUUUAUGUUGUUUUCUUAAUUUUCAUGGAAGAAAAUGAGUCAUGGUUGUGUAAUAAAUAACUUUUGUGAAAGAAGUUUGCAUGAAAACACCUAAAAAGGGCUAUUUUGUAAAGUUGUAAAAUAAGUUGUAAAUAAUUGAAAUUGUGAGUUGAUUAGUUAUAAAAAUAGGCUUGGUAAAGGAGGAAAUUCGAUAAAAAUCGAUUUACAAGUCUAAGGGAAAAAUCAUAAUUUUUGUAAAGUUUAAGGGCAAAACGGUCAUUUUGCCAAAUUGUGAAUUAUAGAAUGUUUUAAUUAAUGUAAUGAUUAAAUGAGUGAAUUUCAUCAUGUUAGAUCAAGAAAAUUGAGAUUUGGGCUUAAAUCAGAAAGUACAAGGUUAUGGACUAAAAUGGCGUAAUUAGCCGAAAUUGCAUUCGAGGUAAGUCCAUGUGACUAAAUAAGCAUGUUAUCCAUGUUAUUGUUAAUAUACUUGAAGUCUAUCUUGCUUUGGUUAUAUUGAAUUAUAUGUUGAUGAUAUUGAGUAUUGUGAAAGUGAUGCCAAAAGUUAAUAACAUUCAUGUGAUUGUAGAAUACAUUAGAAAUUUGAUGGAAUAUGAUUUCCUAUAGAAAUGAGUAAGUUGUACGUAAAUAAUGCAACUUAGUCGUAUUGAUGCAUUGAAUAUUUGAUUAUGUAUAUAAUGCUUGAAUGUAUCGAUGAGUAAUAUAUGGUGAGAUUUAAUGCGGUAAAAACUCCUGGUUGAACCUUAAGAAUAGAUCGGAUAUCCUUGCCAUGACAUUUGGGUGAUAUGGAUGUGUGCUAGUGUAAGACAUGUUUGAGACAUGCAUCGGCCAUAUUAUGAGAGCCAGUGUAAGACCAUGUCUGGGACAUGGCAUCGACAUUAAGACGAUAGCUAGUGUAAGACAUGUCUGGGACAUGCAUCGGCCUCGAGAUAUGCAAGCUAGUGUAAGACCUGUCUAGGACAUGGCAUCGGCUUGACAUGUGUCAGUGUAAGACCUGUUUGGGACAUGGCAUCGACACUGAUACAUGAGAGCCAGAGUAAAACCUGUCUGGGACAUGGCAUCGGCUCGAUAUAUGGAAGUCAGUGUAAGACUUGUUAGGGACAUGACAUCGACUUAGAUGUGUGAGCUAGUGUAAGACCAUGUUUGGAACAUAGCAUCGGCAUCGUACCCUAUGUUUGAGGCUUAGUGAUUAUCUUGUGGUAUUCAAAAUGGUUCAACGGGAAAUUUAAGGUUUAAGUCGCAAUGAUAGAGGUUAUGACUAUGUUGUGAGUGGUAUAGGUACUUACAUGAAAUUGAUGAGAUGUGAACUCAAUUCAUGUUGUAUGAUCAGUAAGGAAUGAAUAUGAGCAUGUUGAGUAACACAAGUAUGUAUGCCAAGCUCAUGAGAAAUGAUUUCGGUUUAUGAUGCACAUUUGGUGGAGAUGUAAAUAGGUAACUCAUGCCUAUGAGAAUGAUUUUGUGAUGGCCUUAUGAUUAUGUGAUGACCUUGUGAUUAUAGGUCUAUACUUAUGAUGUAUAAGUAUGUAUCUUUACCAAUGUGGUGAAAAUGAAUUAAUAAAGUGUGAUAAACUUAGUAUCAUUAAUUUACACUAAAAUAGUUUUGGAUAGUAGUAGCAGUCUGAAUUUAAAAAUCCACCAAAAAUUAUGGAAAUAGAAUUAAAGGCUGAAUAAAAAAUUAAUUUAAAGCUUAUUGAGUCUAGUUUCAUAUAGGAGAAACGAAGUAAGCAAAAGAAGUUCAUAUUAUGAGAUAUUUAAAUUGUUGUGAGACAGAGUCAGAAUGAUUUCGAAAUCCCCUAUCCUGAUUUUGGAAAAUCAUUAAAAAUUUUAAAAAAAUAAUUAUUGGUUAAAAUUUAUAUGAUUAGAAUCUUUAAUGAGAAUACUUUCAAAAUAAACAAACGAGAACAUCAUUCGUAUCCCGUGUGAGGAGAUAAUUAAUUUUUAGUAAAGAAAGGUUGAAGCUAUCAAAUAGCAGGAUAGGGGUGAUUUUGAAGAAUAAACUGUACUAAUAGGCUAAACCAAAAAUUUUGAAAAUUUUAUGGUAAGAAUAUAUGUGAGUCUAGUUUCUUGGAAAAUUAGCGGAUCUUAAGUUGGAGUUUUGUAACUCCUGAUAUAAAUAAUUUAGUGACUGUGACUCAAGAAAAUAGCUUGACCUGAACAUAGGUAAAAAGACAAUUAUGAUAGUAUUACCUUGAGAUCAUGUUGUAAGAAUUGGUGGAAGCAUAUUGAUAAAUUGCUUAUUAUUUUCAUAUGGACUUACUAAGCGUAAAGCUUACUCCCUCUUUUCCAUUUCUUUUAGCUUGUCAGGUUAGCUCGGGGUUGGAGAUCAUCGGAGGCAGCAUCACACUAUCAAGUUACUACCUAAGGAAUAAUGAGGCAUAUAUUAGAAAUUACAAGUGAGUGGCAUGUAUAGGGAUCUAGUUUUAUGACAUGUGUUAUUAUGCUUUGGCCAAAUGUAUUGGCUUAUAUUGAGUUAUAUGUAUAUGGACAUGAGAUGUGGCUCAUAUUAGUUAUGGCUUGUAAACCUAGCUAUUUAUGUCAUGUCUAAUGUUUAUGAUGUGAUUAUGUUUGUUUGCCAUGCAUGGUUGGAAAUAUGACAUGCGUGUUGGAUAUAUUCUUUAUGACCAUUUGAGGUGAUCAUAGACAUGUAGUAAUUGUAUGUUAUAAAAACAACAUGACGAUGGUUGAAUAUGAGUGCUCGAGGGAUAAGUUGGUAACUUAGCAUAAUGUAAAAGUGGUAAUCAAAAUGACCGGUCUUAUGAACGUGAAUUAAUAAAUCUAGACUUGGUAUUUUAUGAGUAGGUGCAUUACAUGUAAGAUGACAUAUUAAUGUUAUGAAUGUGUCUUAAUAAAGGGUGUUUAAUUACUACAAUGAUGCCAUGAUUUGUGAUUUUGAUGUGCAUAAGGCUGUAAGGGAUUAUGGGAAACAUGAAGGCAUGGAAAAUAGCCUAAGUGUUCGCCACUCGGGUUGAGACAUGGCCGUGUGUCUCAACCGUGUGAAUAACACGUCCUGAAGACACGGGAAUGUGACCUUUCUGUAUGGUUUGAUUUGCAUGUUGAAGUCAUAAAUAGAGAGUUACACGGCCUGAGGAUACGGGUGUGUCCCCAUGUCCACACGGGUGUGUGACCCUGUUUCAUGGGAAAAAUUUCUAAGUUUUCCCAAAACUUUCAAAGGUUCUCGAUUUAGUCCCUAACUACUUUCAAUGCAUGUUUAGGUCUUCGCAGGCACGUGUAUUGGACAUUAUGCAUGUGUAUGAAAAGUUUUGAUUUGAACAAAAUUUUGUAACCCAGUUUUUACAUGCUUGUGAACGAUUAAGUCCAGUAAUGCCUCGUACCCUGUUUCUGUGUCGGACACGAGUAAGGUGGGAUAUUGUCGGCGGUUUAUCGAUGGGUUGCCUUUGAUUGCAACUCUUCUUACUAAGCUUCUGCAUAAGGGUGUCCCUUUUUUCUAGAUUGGUGUACAGCAAGAGAUCUUUGAGAAGCUCAAGUCUGUUCUUAGUUAGGCUCCCGUUCUGAUGCAGCCUGAAUCUAGAAAGGAGUUUGUAGUGUACAGUGACGCGUCGCAUGUUGGUUUGGGUUGUGUUUUGAUGCAGGAUGGUAGGGUUGUGGCUUAUGCGUCCCGUCAGCUUAAGACACACGAAGGAAACUAUCCAACGCAUGAUUUCGAGUUGGCUGCAGUGAUCUUUGCGUUGAAGAUCUGGAGACAUUAUCUGUAUGGUGAGAAUGUAUCGUUUACACCGAUCACAAGAGUCUCAAGUAUCUCCUUACUCAGAAGGAGUUAAAUCUUAGGUAGCAUCGUUGGAUUGAGUUGCUUAAGGACUAUGACUACAUGAUAGAGUAUCAUCUUGGUAAAGCUAAUAUGGUAGCCGAUGCUCUAAGUCGUAGAGCGAUAUCUGAUCUGAGGGCGAUGUUUGCUCGCCUUAGUUUGUUUGAUGAUGAGAUUUUGUUAGCCUAGUUACAUGUUAAAUCGACUUGGAUUAAUCAGAUUCGAGAUAAAUAGUUAGUGGAUGAGACUCUAGGUGUGUAGUUCCGUCAGGUUGAGAGUGGCAGCACUUCAGAUUUUGGAUUGAAUAAUGAUGGGGUAUUAUGUUUUCGAGGUCAGAUUUGUGUGCCAAUUGACUCUAAUUUGAGGCAGUCGAUUCUGAAUGAGGCACAUAGUAGCCCUUAUGCUAUGCAUCCCGAUAGUAAUAAGAUGUAUCAUGAUAUCUGUAAGUUGUAUUGGUAAUCGGGGUUGAAGCGUGAGGUUACAGAUUUCGUUGCUCGUUGUCUAACAUGUCAGUAGGUUAAGGCUGAGCAUCAGUUGCCUUUGGGUUUGCUACAGUCGGUUAAGAUUCCCCUUUUGAAAUGGGAGCGAGUGACGAUGAACUUCGGUAGUGGGUUGCCCUUAACACCAACUAAGAAGGAUUCUGUAUGGGUCAUCAUAGAUCAAUUGACCAAGUCUGCUUACUUCAUUCCUGUUCGAACUAAUUAUUCUCUGCAGAAGCUAGUGAAGUUGUACAUUUCUGGGAUAGUAAGACUGCAUGGGGUUCCUAUAUCAAUUAUUUCUGAUAGAUAUCCUCGUUUUACUCUCAGUUUUGGAAGAAAUUACAUGAGGCUCUGGGUUUAAGGUUGGACUUUAGUAUUGCGCUCUAUCCUCAGACCGAUGGUGAAUCUGAAAGGGUGAUUCAGAUACUGGAGGAUAUGCUUCGUAGUUGCGUGAUUGAUUUCUGACAUAGUUGGGAGGAUUAUCUACCUCUAGUUGAGUUCGCCUACAAUGAUAGUUUCCAAGCUAGUAUUCAGAUGGCACCUUACGAGGCUUUGUAUGGUUGUAAGUGUCGUACUCCUCUAUGUUGGACUAAGUUCGGCGAAUGUCGGGUUUUGGGUCCUAAGUUGGUUUCUGAGACUGAGGAUAAUGUACGACUAAUUCAGAAUCAUCUGAAAGCGGCUUCUGAUAGAUAGAAAUCUUAUGCGGUUUGAAGAGGCGAGACAUAGAGUACCCGAUGGGAGACUUUAUCUUUUUUAAGGUUUCUCCGUGGAAAAAGGUUCUAAGAUUCGGUGGUAAGGGCAAACUGAACCCUAGGUUUAUUGGGUUGUAUAGGAUUCUGAAACGUGUAGGACUAGUUGCUUAUCAAAUGGAGCUACCUCCUGAACUGGACCUUAUUCAUGACAUAUUACACGUCUCGAUGUUGAGGUGGUAUCAUUCUAAUCCAUCCCAUGUUGUCACAGUUGAGGAGAUAGAGGUUAGGCCAGACUUGACUUUUGAGGAGGAGUCGAUUUAGAUUCUGGACCGCGAUGUUAAGGUUCUAAGAAAGAAGUCCAUUCCAUUAGUGAAGGUGCUGUGGCGGAAUCAUAGCAUUGAAGAAGCCACUUGGGAACCUGAGUACUCGAUGCGUCAGCAAUAUCCUCAUCUAUUUUGAUUAGGUAAAUUUCGAGGUUGAAAUUUCUUUUAGGGGGUAUAGUUAUAACGCCAUAAAAUAAUUGUUUAUGUUUCUGUAAUUGUUUAACACAAAUCUGUAUCUCCUUCAGUGGUUAAGUGUUCUGGGUGUGUGUGUGAGGUCCCAAGUUCAAGUAUUACCUUUAUCAAUUUUGGUUAUUUUUGGAAUUAAAUCUUAUCCUUGUUCAAUGGGCUUAUAUUUAAUUAUCUGUGUGUAAGAGAUGAACGUGUGAUGGUCGGAGUGUGGCUAUGUGAGAUACACGAGUUAGGCCAAGUUAGGUGUGAGGGCGCACACGGGCAUGUCACAUAGGUGUGUGGAUUCUGGGCCAGGCCUUGUAGGCCACACGAGUAAGGGCAAUCUGGGCGUGUGGUCCACACGUCCCUGAAUGUUUCCCUAGGGUUGCAUGGGUCGUCCUAAAUGACUGUGGGCCUACUGUAGGGUCAGUUAGGGCUAAAUAAACCCUAAACCUAAUGAUCUGAUUGUUUGAUAUACUGAUCUAAUUAGGAUACUGAUGAUGAUCUGAUUGCUUGAUAUACUGAUCUAAUUAGAAUACUGGUAUACGUUUACUUGCACUACUAUCUGCAUAUAUGUUAUCUAUGUAUGUUUAUAUGUAAGCAUGUGAGCAUGUUAGACUGUUAUUUAUAUCUAUAUAUUUUUGUAUCUUAUAUUGGGGAUGGGAUUAUGUAUUUUGGAGGAAGAAUUAUGAAAUGCAUUUUAUGUCUAUUAUCUGGCUACAUGGUUGCAUUAUAUCCGUUAUAUGCUGCAUCGGUACAACAUGGUGUGUAGGGCUAGGUGGGUGUUUUGGUGUGUAGGGAUGGUCGGAGAUGGUGUGUAGAGGAUGGGGGUAGGAUAUCUGAUUUCUGAUUCUGAUUUGCAUAUCUGUAUCUGUAAUAGGCUUAAGCCCGAAUCUGUAUCUGACUGAUUUUGAUUUUCUGGUUGUGUGCAUGCUUAAUUCUGUGGGGUUACACACUGAGUUUACGUAAACUCACUCUUUUCUGUUUAUUCUGUACAGGUAAUCCAUAGUCUUAGGCGAAUCGGUGCUGCGGAGCUCCUUGGUGACCAUCUGUUCGAACUGAUUAUGGUUGCGAUAUAAUUUUUAUAUUCUAGUUUAUUCUAGUUUUUAUGUAACACAGACUGUUUUCUUUUAAUUUGGGUUAGACUGCGAAUUUUAUGAUUUUAUAACUACUAAACGCGUUAUAACUCAGAUUUUGCCAAAAGCAAGGGCUUUUCUAAAAUCUUAAACGGUUUUCUAAACUCAACAUUUUUUAAAUCUUCCGCUACAAAUACAUCUAAUCUCUAAGCAAUUAAAUGAAUAAGAGCUUUGAAAUUGAUAAUUGUAAGGGCGAAUGAACUAGUAUGGUUUUUAACUUAACGACAACGAUUUUCAACCCCAUUUCAUGUGACACUUCCGUAUUCGGCCAUAACGUCUAGGCCGGGUUUGGGGUGUUACAUACCUUAAAUCCUGAGUAAAUGGCAAACUAUGUAUGCGUAGCUCAUAUACUUUGAUAUAAGUAAAAGACUUAGUUCAAACUAAGGAACCGAAAGUUAGUGCAUUGGGUAUACAUAAUGCAUUGGGUAUACGAGUUCUCCAGUAUGUAGCAUCAUUCACAAGAGUGUAAUUCAUAACCCAAUGUAUGCGUAAAUGUGUCCUCUCAUUGACAUUACAUGGUUGAUGAAAAAUUAACGUGGCCACGGGUCAUUUGCCUUUGUGAUGAAUUACUUGAUUACUAUUUGAUAGUAAUUGACUUUUCAUGAAGAAAAAUGUAAUGGUUACCAUGAGAUAAAAUAUAUCAUAUUGGUGUUGGAUUUGGUGCCCUGAGUGUAGUAUAUUUGUUUGUAAACUUGUAAUUUUUUCGAAUAGAUUGGUUAAUAAAAGAAUUCAUAGAUUACAUUAAUAUAUUUUGUAUAAUUGUCCUCAAGUGGUUUUUGCAUGCAAAGAAAAAUAGAAGCAAAUAUUGACUCACUGGUUUUCUUAUGUCUAAACUAAUACUAAGAGAUAUUACAUGGUUGGACCGUAAUAUGGGUAUAUAAACUUAAACAUGUCCUUAUUCUAAUCCAAAAUGAGAAAACUGAUUGAAAUACUAAUAUGACGUCUUUCAAGUUCAAUUGGGGAGAUGUCUUGUCUUAGGCAUCGGGGUGAAUAACUCCCAAAAGAUAGAGACAGUGAUAUGACUGACUAGACUAAUAGUACAUUGGACUAGACCAAUAGUACAUUGGACUAGACCCAAUAAGAAUAGAUCUUGAAUCCAUUUAGGGAUUUAUUCACUUGUGACGUUCAAAGUAUGUCAUACCUUAAUCCUGAGUGGAUGACAGACUAUGCAUGCAUGACUAAUAUACUUUGAUGUAAGUAAAAGCCUGAUUUCAAAUAAAUAAAUAGCUGAAAACAGGUGCGUUGGGUAUACAACAGUAUGUAGCAUCAUUCACAAUAGUGGAAUUCGUAGCUCGAGAUUUGGGCAAAUGAUAUUCUCUCAUUUCCUUUACAUGGUUGAUGAAAAGUAAAUAAUGUCACAAGUUGUUCGUCUUUAUGAUGGAUGACUUGAUUACUAUUUGAUAGUAAUUGACUUUUUAUGAAGGAAUAUAUAAUGGUUAUCAUGAGAUAAAAUAGAAUCAUAUUGGGGGAACAAAUUUAUCCCAAAGAGAUUAAGGAUAUACUAUGAGGGUAACACACUUAUGACAAGGUCAUUUGAAAAGCACUAAUUAAGUUGUUUUCAUAAUGUAUGUCAUUAGGGAGAGCUCAAUCACGAUAAUACAGUGGAAUACUUUCGUGAUUAAAUGAGAUUAAAAUUAAUAGACGAAAAGCUAAAAAUUAAUUAUAAAUCAUUUGAACCCUAAACACAUAUGUUUAGUUGGUCCCUCCACUAGCUCGUUGAAGCCAGAAAUGAAUUGUAAGUUAAAUCAAAUGGACAUAAAUGGAUAGAAAUUAUAAAGUUAGAGAAAUGGGAAACAUUUGGAAAUUAAUGAAGUUUUCUCUAAAUGGAAAUGACCUGGAAAAUGAAUUUAUGAUUUUUCAAAUUAUUAUUUAAUUCAUCAGUUAAAUAAUUGAAAUUUGAAAAUGAAAAUAAAGUAAUUGGUCGUAGUGAAUCCAUUGAAUGUAGAAAUAUUAAAUAUAUUUUCUCAUAGAUUCUUUUACGAUAAAGUCAUCAUCAUUGUAAUGGAAUUGGAAUUGAGUUGAGAAAAUUAUUUAAUUGAAAAAUUAAUUUAAGAUGUUUAUUUGGGGAAAUAGAAAAAAAGUCAGGUUGUAUUGAAUUAUAAAGUACUAGAUUAAGAGUCCCAAAAGCCUAUCAUGUUUAAUGCUAAGGACAACAAACCAUAGUUUGUUUAUCUAGGGAAAUAAUAGUUUGUUUAACUAGGGUUUACCACCCCAUCUAAUCCUAGUUCGAAUAGGAUUUAAUUUUUCUAUUGAAAUAAUCUUCUACAAUUUAAUAAGGGUUUCACUUUUUUUCCUAUAAAUAGAUGACACAGUUAAGGCUAAACAUACAAUAAAAAUUUUAGAUAUUUUACUAUGCCUGAAAAUAGUGAGAAUUAAUUUUCUAUGUAUAAAUUAUAUUUUUUGUAAUAACCAUUCUAUCGGUUUCUAUAAGAGAAAAUGUAACAGCCCGUUUUCAGUGAAAUCAAAAUAGUGAUUUUGGGACCACGAAUUUGACAUUUAAAUAAUUAUUUUAUUAAUAUUUUAAGGUCUACAGCAUGUUAUUAGUGUCGUAUAAAAAUUUUGUUAAGAAAUUUUAUCAUUUGCAUGCUUAAUUUGAUAAAAAGAACUAAAUUGCAAAAGGUGUAAAACUUGAGUUCUAUAAGUAAAAAAUUCCAAAUUGCUAUGAAUUUUGAAUGUGGGUGGCCUUAAAUGGUAACUAGACCAUUAACAUUACUAGUGGACAAAGAUGGACAUCUUUUAACUGAUUUUUGAAGGUUUAAUUAAAGGUUAUCUAUGUAAUUUAAUAAAUAAAUCAAAAUAAGUAAAAAUAAAACCAUUUUUAGUCCAUCUUCUUUUUUUUUCUUAUUUUUCUAAGGAGAAAAAUCACCAUUUUAUGGUUUGAGCAUUCGACAAGUUCAUCCUUGUGCAUGUAAGUGGUUUUUGUCCCACUUUUAAUGAUUUCAAUGUUUUUGGAGUUGUUGUAGCUUAAUCUAGCUAGCCCAGUGACUAAUUUGCAAAACUGUUGAAUGUCUAGGGUUUUACCAUGAACGCAUUUUAGUUGUUUGUGAUGUCUAAUGGAAGAAAAUGAAUCCUUAUUGUUAGAUAAAUAACUUUUGUUAAGUGUUUUUUUGAUAAAUUUGUCAAUUAGGGGUUAAAUUAAAAAAUGUGAAAUAUUCAUGGUGUAAUUUGUGAAUUAAUGAACUGUGAGGGCUGCUAUAAGCUUGUCUGAUAUUUGCUAGGCUUGGGUAGGGAUGAAAUUGCAUGAAUUUCAUUUUAUGAGCCUAAGGAUUAAUUUGUAAAGAAAUCAAAAGUAUAAGGGAAAAAUUAUAAUUUUACUAAAAUGUGAAUUUGAGUUAAAUUGAAAAGAAUGAUUAUUGAAUUGAGCUGAACUUAUUCAUUUAGAUCAAGAUAAACCAUGUACAUCAUUAGAUCGAGGCAAAGAAAAAGCUUCGGAUUAGUCGACUUCAUUUUUCUACGUUUAUUGUCAAGGCAAGUUCAUACGUUUAAGUUUCGUUUUUAUUUAUGAAUUGAAAGCUAUUAUUGUAUAAUAUUAAAUUGAGUGUUGACGGAAGAAUCCAACGGCAUAACAUCGAUCAUUGACAAAUAAAAAGGGAUAGCUUUUGCUAUCGAAUACGAAAAGGGAUAGCUUCGACUAUCGAUUAUGAAAAGGGAUGGUGACGAACAUCAACAAUGAAAAGGAAUGUUGAUGACCAUCGAACUAUGAAAAGGGAUGGCUUCAACUAUCGAACUAUGAAAAGGGAUAGCUUCAGCUAUCAAAUUAUGAAAAGGGAUGGUGAUGACCAUCGAACAAUGAAAAGGGAUGGUGACGACCAUAAAAUUAUGAAAAGGGAUAGCUUAGGCUGUCGAACUAUGAAAAGGGAUAACUUCGGUUAUCGAAUAAUGAAAAGGGAUAGGUCAACCAUCAUAUUAUUACCUCGUGUGAACUUCGGUAAGAGCUUUCAAUGUAAAUUACAUUAGUUUGAUGAAAGGUAAGUAAUGUGUACCUUGUGAAAGUUAAGAGUAUGAAUGUACAUAUAUAUAUAAGUUUUUGAAUUAGUUAUUCUCAUGUUGGAUUGGGUUUACAUGCUUUGUGGUUGUAUAUUGUGUUGGCAAGGUUAGACUGUACGUGUUACGAACUUACUAAGCAUGACAUGCUUAUUUUGUAUUAAUUUUUCUAUGUUUGGUAGUUUUCGGAAGCUCGUUCAGGUUGGAAAGUCAUCGGAUAUCUAUCACACUAUCUAUCGGCUCUUUUGGUACUUCCAUAUGUUUAAUUUUGGUUAUAAUGGCAUGUAUAGGUAUUUUGGCUAAUGUUGGCCAUGUGUUUUGGUUGUUGGAAUAACCAUUUGGUUUGGCUUGUGACGUAGCAUUUUGUUAUUGAUAUGAGCUUAGUUUAUGGCCGAUGUUUGGCUUAAUAUGUUUGAGUUGUGAUAAAUAUAUAUGCAUAUUGUAUAAGCCUUAUAACUUGUUGUGGUUUGGUAUCUUAUUAUGAAAGGUAUAUAAAUGGCUGUUGAUGUUAGUUAAUGAAUGGAAUAUUUUGUAUCAUUUGAUAAGAUUUGGUAAGUUAAUUCAAUGGUUUGAAUUGAUACAAGUUUAGUUGAAAGUUAGUUAGUCAUUUUGGCCAAUUUGAACACAUGGUUAAACAUGUUUAUACAUUGUCAUUUAAGGUGCCUAAGGGCAUAUUGGUUGUAUGAUGUUAUACCAUAUGUAUAUGAUUUGUUUAUGCUUGAUUUUGGUGCCUUAUUAAGGCUUGUGCAUAUGUGCAUUUUGGUUAUAGGUACAUGCUAGUUUGGGUGAGAAAAAUGGCUUGUAAAAUGGCCUAUUUUCGUCCACAUAGGUAGAGACACGGGCGUGUGGCUUGGCCAUGUGACACAAGUUAGUGAGUUACAUGGGUACGGACACGGGCUAGGACACAGCCGUAUAUCCCUACUUCGAAUGCCCACACAACUUGAGACACAGGCUUGUCUCUUGGUUGUGUGAGUCAAACGGCCAUGUGACCUCUGCAGUGUUGAAAAUUUUUAUGAUUUUCUAAAAAAUUCUCUUAGUUUCCGAUUUAGUCUUGACAUGUUUCUAAUGUGUAAUUAGGGCAUCGAUAGCUCGUUUAAGGGACAAUAUGUAUGUUUUGAAUUGGUUUUAAUGUGUUUAUUGAUAUGGUUUGGAAAGUUUAAAAUUUAUGUCUGUUUGUUUUGAAAACUCCGGUAAUGCUCUGUAACCCUAUUUCGGCGACAGAUACGGGUUAAGGGUGUUACAGAGAAUUUUCCUUUCCCACGAAAGUAAAGAAAAUAUAUUCAGUUUUGUGUUUGAUUCAAAUUUGUUUGAGCCCAUAAUGAAAGCAGUUCAUGGUACGAGAAUAAAAAAGAAAGUCAUUCAGUUGAAUGCCAGGAACGACAAUAAUUCGUCUAGCCGAAAACAUAUGUACGAUUUCAAUAAAAAUUUGAGAUAUUUUAUUAUGCCCGAAAAUAGUGAGAAUUAAUUUUCUAUGUAUAAAUUAUUUUUUUGAAUAAUAAUUCUAUCGGUUUCUAUAAAAGAGAAUUUUGCUUUCCAAUUGAAAGUAAAAAAAAUAUUUUCAAUUCUGUAUUUGAUUCAAAUUUGUUUGAGCCCAUACUCGAAGCAGUUCGUGGUACUAUAAUAGAAAAGAAGGUCGUGAACGAUAAGUAUUUGUCUAGUCGAAAAUACAUGUGCAAUCUCAAUAAAGGGUUUAUUACAUAAAUAUCACAAAAAUUGGUAUCAGAGCUAGGUUGUGAUAUGUUUAUAGUAUAAAUUGAAACCAAAAGUUUUCUUUCUUCUUCUUAUUUGAUUAAUUUUUAUAAGAUAUGAUAUUCUUGUAAUUAUCAACAUGUUUAGGGAUAUAUAUUUGAAUGAAUGUAUGCUAUUAUUUUAUUAUAUAUGAUAAAGUAAAUUUACCAAAGUUGUGAUUCCUAGAAAAUUGAAAUUAUUCUUAAUAUUCGGGUAUGUAUAAUUAGAUCAUCGAUUAUAAUCUCCACGAAUGAUUUAUUUUAUUAUUUUAGAAUAAGUUAUGUGAAUUGGGAACAGACAUAGAAGCUAUAUAACCUAUAUUUUCGACGGAACUUGGAGAACUAAAACACAUCUAGGUUGAUUGAGAUGAUGGAAAGUCGAUCCAACCAAACUAGCAAUUGACCUGUCGUCAAAUGUUGUGACCUAUUAAGCCGACACAGGCCUUAGGUAGUUCUAAUAUGCUAAAUUGAGUGUGUAGGAUGAAGAUUUAUAGGCCUAAUUGACGUAGAAGCAAGAGACGACAUUGCACAAGUUUCCCAAGCUGCCAAAGUAUGAAACGAACCAAGCAAGGCAUAAUUUGCUCAUCAUGUCGCGCCAUGCAAGGGCUAUGACGCGAUAUAGGUUGAUGUGGUGCCCAAGAAUAUCAAGGUUUUUUUUCCCACACAAUCAACUUUAUACGAAGACCUAGGAUGUGACAGCCCUAAUUUGACCCUAGUCGGAAAGUGGUUUCGGGACCACAAAACCGAGCUAUAAAAAAUAAUUAUAAGUUAUAUUUCAUGUUUAUGAAGUGAGUAAAUACAAGUGUGAAAGUUUUAAGCUUUGAUUUGGUCAUUUGCAUGUGAAUUUAUUCAAUAGGACUUAUAUGUGAUACUUUUGAAAUGUGAUUAGUUAAUUUUUAAUGGUUUAAUAAUGCAUGUGUUUAAAGGAAUGGUUUUGCAUGUUAAUUUACCCAUUUCUAGUUAGUGGCCGGCCAUGUUACUAUUAUAUUAUAAAAUAUGAUAAUUUUUAUAAGCUUUAUUUAGUUAAAUGCCAUAUUAUCAUGAAUGAAUGUAAUAAAAUAAAGAAAUAAAAUAGUAGGUGGGUGAAAACAACAAAGUAUUCACCUUGUUUCUUUCCAAAAACCGAAAGAGAAGAAGAGUUGGGGAGAAAGGAGCCAUUCGAUCAUUUAGGUCUUCAUUGAGGUAUGAAAUUCAUGUAAAUUUUUGAAAUGUUAGAUAAAUUUGAACUAAUCACCAAGUUCUUUAGGUAACCCAUGUUAGAAAUUUCGGUAUUGAGAUGUCUAGAACUUUCGGCCAUAGUCGCUAUGGAGAAAUAAGGUUUUUGUUUCUUGUUAAAUUGGAUGAAUCUUGUUGUAUGAGUGCUUGAACAAACUAUGAUCAAAUAGAUGCAUAGAUUCAAAGUGGGAAGAAUUGGCUAUUAUGUUUGAUGCUAAUGCCGAAUAUGAAAAUGUUGUACUUGAGUAAUGUAUGUGGUUUGAGUUAAUAAAAUGAAAAGAAUGCUUAAAUGUGUUAUAAUCGAUUAGGGGUUAAAUUAAAAAAUUGCUAAAAAUUUCCAUGGUUCUAGCCAAAUAUGCGUUUGAUUAAGAAGAAAUUGUUGAAAAAUGUAGGUGAACAUGACAAGUGUAUUCGGCUUAGGGCAUAAAGGAUAUGAAAAUUUUGGUAUUUAUUUUUGAUUGUGUGUGUGUAUGACCAUGGAUAGUUGGCCGCAUAAAUAUUAUAAAUACAUGAUGUAUAUUAUAAUUAUUAAGCUACAAAACAUUGUACAUGUUCGGCCAAGGUAAAUUAUUUGAGUAAAGUAUAUCUUGAUGGUACAUUUCGGCUAGUAUAAAAUGUAUUAAAGCUAUAUGUAUAAUUGUUUAAUGUGACUUACCAAAUAUACAAAUUUGAAAAUGAAAUGACGAGAGACUUAAGUGGGCAAUUAAUUCAAGUGAAUUGGUUCUAAAAUGUAUAUGGAUGCCGUAUGACUGUGUUUGAUUUGGGAAGUAAAUUUUUUGAUUUAGCUCAAGAGCUUAGAGGAUCAAAGUUGGAUAGGGGAAAGGAAAAAGUGAUCGAAUAGCCGUUGAAAUCGUUCGACAACAUCCGAGGUAAGUCUUUGAGUAAUGGAACUUAAUUUAUGAUUUGAUUAAAUCACGACAUAUAAACAUAACAAAUAAACGGUGAUAUAAUGAUUCUACUUGAAUUAUGUAUCGAGGUAAUUAGUUUAUACUUAUGACUGGUAGCCGAAUGUGUAUAGAGAUCAUGUUAUAAAGCAAAUCGAAAUCAUGCUCUUUGUAUGUGGCUAUUGAGCCGAAAAUGAGAAUGGUUGAUAAGUGUCUUGUGCUUGAGUUCUAGUAAUGAAAAUGAAAUACAGAUGUGUUAUGAUAUAUUGAUAUAUGUGUAUGAUUAUUCGGAUAAUAUCCGGACUAAGAUCCGAAGGCAUUUGUGCUAGUUACUAUAUCCAGACUAAGAUCUGAAGGCAUUCGUUCGGGUUAUUAUAACCGGGUUAAGUCCCGAAGGUAUUCGUGCGGGUUAUUAUAACCGGGUUAAGUCCCGAAGGCAUUCGUGCUGGUUAUUACAUCCGAGCCAAAUUCCGAAAGUAAUUAUGUUUGGAAAGGCGCGGUUCUGUCGUAAUAAUUCCGAUUAAUGUGCUCAUAAUCCCUAAUAUGACCAGGUAUGGAUCGUAUAUGUAACGCCCCGUACCCGAGACUGUUGCCGGAGUCGAACACGAGAUGUUAACGGACUUAAUUCAUUUACUUACGCAGUUCAUUUUAAAAUUUCCAGACAAGCUGGCUAAUUGCAUCACAGUCACUUUAAAAAUCAUAUCUCGAGUUCCAAAACUCAAAAACCGAUUCCGUAAAUUUUUCCUGAAACUAGACUCAUAUAUCCAUCUACAAAUUUUUUUCUAGAAUUUUUGGUUGAUCCAAUUAGUACAGUUUAUUAGUUAAAUUCUCCCCUGUUUUAGGGUUUGACUACUCUGACCUUCAUGCAUGACGACUUAGAUAUCUCCCUGUACAGGGCUUCAAUACUUAUGCCAUUUGUUUCUAGUGAAACUAGACUCAAAAAGGAAUCUAUACAUGUAAAGCAUGACUUCUAAUUAUCUCUGGUUAAUUUAUGGUAAAUUUUCAAAGUCAGAAUAGGGGAUCCAGAAAAUGCUCUGGCCCUGUUUCACGAAAACUUAAACAUCUCAUAAACUAUGGCUCAUAUGGUCGUUUUGUUUCUUUCAUAUGAAAAUAGACUCAUCAAUAUUCGAUUACAUAAUUUAUUCACUAUUUAAUUCCAUUCCUACUAUUUUUAGUAAUUUUUCCAACUUACGUCACUGCUGCUGUCAGCAUCUAUUUUAGGGUAAAUUUUACCUAUUUCAUAAUUUUCCAUGAAUCAAAUAGUAAAUUGACAUACAUUAUUAUCAAGGGUAAUCCCGAUUAGCCAUGACGUACGUAGCACCAAUAGGACCAUGAUUGGCCAUUCCAAUGGCUGGUCAUUACCAAACAUUUCCACACCACUUAAUAACCAUAUCACAAGACCAUAAUGUUAUACUUCGAAAUAUACGAGCCAUUUUCGCAUGGCUAUACGAAUACACAUUACCAAAGGGUACUUAAUUAACAACAAGGGUCAGCCAUAUACAUGCCAUGUUCAAAAUUGAACUAAAAGAGUACCAAAAGUGGCUUAGAUAGUGUGGAUGACUUCGACUUUGACACUCCCGAGUCCGAUAGCUGACGAACAAAAUCUAUAAAACAGAGAAUCAAAGUAACAGAGUAAGCAUUUUAAUGCUUAGUAAGUUCAAGUAAUGAAAUUAUUCACGACUAAGGUAUAAAGUUCAUAUGACUACAUGAAUAAUUGCAUAUAUGCAUGUUCUCAAAUCAUACUUACUUCAUGCUUCAACCAUUAUAUUCAUACACAGGGAAUCAAACCUAACUAGAGGUCGGAAGUUCGUUAAUCAAUUGAGCGAAUACUAUUUAAAAGGAAUCAACCUUUCCGAUGCAUAUACGAAACAUACCUUAUUGUUUGGAUUUUAUGAGCGUAUUAAUUGAAAUUAUUACAGCAAGAUCGCUCACUUCCAAACCCAAGUACCUUCGGGAUUUAGCCGGAUAUAGCAACUCGUACAAAUGCCUUCGGUACUUAGCCCGGAUAUAGUCAAUAGCACAAAUGCCUUCGGGACUUAGCUCGGAUAUAGUCAAUAGCACAAAUGCCUUCGGGACUUAGCCCGGAUAUAGUCAACAGUACAAAUUCCUUCGGGGCUUAGCCCGGAUAUAGUCACUAGCACAAUGCCUUCGGGACUUAGCCCGGAUAUAGUCACUAGCACAAAUGCCUUCGGGACUUAGCCCGGAUGUCAUCCGAAUAAUCAUGCACAUAUAUCAAUAAAUCAUGACACAUCCAUAUUUCAUUUUCAUUACUAAAGCUCAAACACAAGACACUUAUCAAACCUUACCAAUUUCGGCUCGAUAGCCACAUACAAGGAACAUGAUUUUGAUUGGCUUUAUAACAUGAUCUCUAUACACAUUCGGCUACCCGUCAUAGGUAUAAACUAAUCACCUCAAUAUAUCAUUCAAGUAAAGUCAUUAUAUCUCCGUUCAUUCGUUAUGCUUAUAUGUCAUGACUUAAUCAAAUCAUAAACUAAGUUUCAUUACUCGAAGACUUACCUCAGAUGUUGUCGAACGACUUCAACGGCUAUUCAAUUACUUUUUCCUUCCCUUUAUCGGAUUUAGUCCCCCUUUGCUCUUGAGCUUAAGUUCAACAAAUUUUAAACUAGUCAUUAAUCGACAAUUCAAGUAUUACUUUCAGAAUAUAAUACAUAUAGAUUCGACUUUCACACAUAUAGAUUAUAGUAAGCUUUAUAAAAAUCAAUAAAUAAUUCAUUAGCAAAUUUUCAUUAAUGUUUACAAUAUAAUUACAAUUUCCCUAUAAGCUGACUUCCUGAGCAACAGUCACUAAAGUUUUUAUAACUGGAGCUACGAAACUCCAAAUCAAUUGCCGUAAAUUUUUCUUGACAGAAGACUCAUUUAUCUAUUAUCCAUAAAAUUUUCAAAAUUUUUAGUUUAGCCCAACAAUACCAGAUUUUUCUUAAAGUUCACCUUGUUUCACUGUUUGACUAAACUGACUACUCUUCACUACGAAUCAAAUUUCUCAUUGUACAGAAUUCAAAAUAUGUUCUCGUUUAUUACAUUUGAAACUAGACUCAUUAAGGAGUCUAAGCACAUAAAUUUUAUCUUAGGGCCAUUUUUUUACAAUUUAUACUGAUUUUAUAAAAACAGAACAGAGAAUCUAGUAGUCAUUUUGACUUAGCCCCACAAUAUUUCAAAUAUCUCAAGAUCGGUAACUCUUUUGUUUUUAUAGUUUCUUUUGUAAGAAACUAGACUCUUCAAGCUUUAAUUACAUAAUUUAUUCAGCUUCUAACUCAACUCCUGCAAAUUAUGGCGAUUUUCCAAAAUCACCUUACUGCUGCUGUCCCCAAGCAGAUUAUUACCAAAUCAAAUACUAACAUUUGCAUUUCACCUCAAUAGCUAGCUUAGCAAACCUUAAUUUAACAUAUAAUUGCUCAUAACACAAUUAAAGCAUCCUCUCCAUUCCAUCAAUUCAAAACACAUACAUUGCCCAAUAAUACCCAAAAUCAUAUUCGGCCUUAAUACACAACUUGUUAGCUGAUUUUUCUCCAUUUAGCAACUAAUGCACAUAUGUGCUCCUUUGUUAGACUCUACUUCACCUAACUACCAUUUUCUUUUUCAUCCAAAUAACAUGAACAACAACCAUUUCCUGAACAUUUUCUCUUCAACAAUUCUUCAUAAAACAUAAAGACUAUAACCCAAUCUUAUCCUAUAAUAACUAAAACCGAAUACUCAAGACACCACACCAUUUCAAAUUUUGGUCAUGGGUUAAGCAAAGAACUUAAGAACUAACUCAAAAUAUACUAAAAUUUCAAGAAUUAGCAUGAACUACUCACCUUAUUUUGAGUUCAAGAUCACCGAAUGCUCUUGUUCUUUUCUUUCUUUAGAAUCGGCUAGGAAGAAACAUGGAUGAAGACUUUGUUUCUUUCACCCAUUUUCUUCCUUUAAUUAUCAUUUCUUUAUUUUAUUACAUCCUCCAUACUAAUAUGGCAUCUAGCUAUUUAAAGUUAAUAGAAAAUUCACAUUUUAUUAUAUAAUUUGUAGCAUGGCCGGCCACUACCUAUAGUUUGGCUAAUUUGACAUGCAAGUACAAGCACUUUCCCACAUACAUUAAUAGGCCACUUUAGCAUUUGCCUAGCACAUUUCUAAAUUGUCUCACAUAAGUCCCUACUAAUAAAUUUCACGUAUACUGACCAAAUUAAAGUAUGAAACUUCCACACAUUCAUAUUCACAUAUAAUAAGCAUCAAAUAUGACGGUUAAUUAUUUUUAUGACUCGGUUUUGUGGUCCCGAAACCACUUUCCGACUAGGGUCACAUUAGGGCUGUCACAGUAUAUACAUUGGAAAAAUGUGGUACAGUAUAAGUUGUGAUUAUGUAAUUGAAUAAUGCUCUCCCGGCCAUUCCUUAGGGUUAUAUGAAGUCUAUAGCUCACUCGAGUUACAUGAAAUUGAUUCAAAUGUAAUUUAGUUAAGUUUGACUUCGAAUGUGUAAACAUAUUGAUAGAAGUGUAAAUUAAAAUGAAUAUGUGAUCUUGUGCAUAGACAAUUAUUUAUCCUUAUGAAUGCUAUUUCUUUUAUGUUUUUGUUUCAAAUGAUUUCCUUACUUAUAAGCUUACUAAGCAUCGAAACGCUUACUCUGUUGCUUAAAUUCACCGUAUUAUAGAUUUUGUUCGUCAGCUAUCGGACUCGGAAGUGUCAAAGUCGAAGUCAUCCACACUAUCUAAGCCCCUUUUUGGUACUCUUUUAGUUGAACUUUGAUAAUGGCAUGUAUAGGACCGACCUUUGUUGUUAAUUAAGUAUCUUUUGGUAAUGUAUAUAUAUUCGUAUAGCCAUGCGAAAAUGGCAUAUAUAUUUUGAGUAUAGCAUUAUAAUCAUUUUGUAUAUAUGGUCUUAUGAUAUGGUUAUUGAGAGGUAUGGAAAUGCUUGGUAAUGAUUAGCCAUUGGAAUGGCUAAUCAUGAUCAUAUUUGGUGCUAUGUAUGUCAAAUUGCUAGCUAAUCCAUGGAAACCAUGAAAUAGGUAAAAUUUAUCACAAAAUAGAUUCAGACAGCAGUAGUGACACGAAUUUGAAAAAUCACUAAAAAUAGUAGAAAUGGAAUUAAAUAAUGAAUAAGUUAUGGAAUCAGAUCUUGAUGAAUCUAUUUUCAUAUGGAAGAAACAAAAUAGGUAUAUGAGCUAUAUUUUAUGAGAUGUUUAAAUUUUUGUGAAACAAGGCCAGAACGAUUUCUGGAUCCCCUGUUAUGACUUUGGAAAUUCACCAUAAAUUUUACAAAGAUAAUUAAAAGUCAUGAUUUAUAUGUACAGAUUCAUUGUUGAGUCUAGUUUUAUUAGAAACAAACGUCAUAGUCAUUGAAGCUUUAUACAGGGAGAUAUCUGAUUCGUAAUACACAGAGGUCAGAGUAGUAGAACCCUGAAAUGGGGGAGACUUUAACUAAUAAACUGUACUAAUUGGCCUGACCAAAAAUUUUAGAAAACAAUUAGUAGAUAGAUGUAUGAGUCUAGUUUCAGGAAAAAUUUACGGAAUUGGAUUUCGAGUUUUGGAACUCGAGAUAUGAUUUUUAAAGCGACUGUGAUGCAGUUAGCCAGCUUGUCUGGAAAAUUUUUAAAUGAAUUGUAUGUGCUGUUUAAGUAAUGAAUUAAGUCCGUUAACACCUCGUGUUCGAUUCCGGCAACGGUCUCGGGUACGGGGUGUUACAUAGGACAUGUCAAAGAUGUAAUUUGGGUUGUCAACACUCUUAUAAAUAAGUCCUUAGGGGCCUGAUGUAACUAAGUCAUCCUAGAAGUAAUAAAAAACCCGAGUAGUUUAGGAGUAGGAUUAGAUUAGCUUUCUUUUAGCUUUUCAUAAACUAUUUGUUUUCGCUCUUGGAAUCAAUUUAGAUCCAAGUGUUAUUUUAUUUUAUUAAAGUAUUUCAGUUUAUUUCCAAGAGUUAUUUUAUCUUAUUAAAGUAUUUCACUUUAUUUCUUAUUUGUAUUUGACAUAUUUCAUUAUUCCGAUCAAUUGAUUUGCUACUCCAUUCUUCAUUUGAUAUCAAAUCCAUGUUUAUUCUAAUCUCGUUUCUCUUCCCAUUCAAUCGAAUUGUUUACAUGAUUUAUUCAAUUGAGUUAAAGAUUAUGAAUUUCUCUUCCCAUUCAAUCGAAUUGUUUACAUGAUUUAUUCAAUUGAGUUAAAGAUUAUGAAUAACAGGAGUGGCUAAAUCCCUUAGGGGAGAUUAAAGAGUGGAUGUGGACGUCAUUAACAAAGGAUUUAAGGUUUUUAGAGAGGAUUAUUUGGUAUAGAAUAUGCUUUCUUAAACCCUAGGCUUGAUAACCCUAGGAAGUUAUCAUAGGUUAGACAAGAUUAGGAGAUAGUCGAAUCGAGUAAAUUAUAAUUUAUCAUAGUUGAGAAAGUUAGGUUGAGAGAUAAGCGAGUAUUAACCAAUCGAUUAAUUAGUUAAAGGUCGAGCGAUAAUAAGUGGUUAAUCGGUAGCUAAUCCACCCUAAAACCCUAAUUCAAAGGUAAUUAUAAACCCUGAAGCGAGUUAAUAUUCCUGAUUGGGUUGUUGAUUUUAGUCGUUUGUUAUUUUUCUUGUUUAAUUUUUUAGUUAUUUAAUUUCUAUCAUUAAUCUAUUUUAUGAUUUGUCAUAAUAUAGGAUUUAAUUAAUACUAUUUAGACUUAUUAUUGUAAAAAGGUUUUUAUAAAUUUAUUCUAUUCUCCCUUGGGUUCAAUCCUUAGAAUGCUUCCAAGUGUUUCAUUGUAAACCAUAUUACAUUACAAUUUGACUCAUGCACUUGCAGACACCCUUGAGUUAAUUUUUAUAUAUUUGGUGUUAUUUUUACUAUAAACGAUAAUUCAUUUAUUUGUGGUCACAUUGUUAGCACCAUUGCCAGGGAAGUUUCGGUAAUAAAUCUUGAAAAUAUUUUUUACUAUCAAUAAGACAAUUAGGAAAGUUAAAACCUAGAUAUACGUUGAGAAAGUAAUUAAUUACAAUAGGCGCAAUCGUCAACUCAUGAACACUGAUCCAUACACGGUAAUUAAUUUGCCUCAGGAAAUUACACUAUUCAAAAAUCCAAGAGAUCAACAAGUUAAUAACAGAGAAGAAGUCCCCAUGGACCAGCAGAUGUUACCUACAUUAGACACGAUGUGAGGAAGCAUAGAAUGGUCGACAAUCAAUGCCAAUAAGUUUGAGAUAAAAGCGACCACUAUUCAGAUGAUCCAAAACACACUGCAAUUUAAGGAAAACAUGGUGGAAGACCCAAACCAAUACUUGAAGCAAUUCUUACAACUCUACGAUACCUUCAAAUACAAUGGGGUAUCCAAUGAUCUUGUGCGUCUUCAGUUAUUCCCGUUCUCAUUGUGCAACAAUGCGAAUGAUUGGAUAGAUUCAUUAAAACUGAGUUCCAUUACCAUGUGGAACGAUUUAACGAAAAAAUUUCUCUAUAAAUUUUUUUCUAUUAGUUGAACCAUUCAACUUAGGUGAGAAAUGACCAACUUUAAAUAAUUUGAAGGGGAAUCCUCGUAUGAGACCUGAGAACACUUCAAAACAAUUGUAGCAAUCCAUUUUCAGUGAAAUCGGAACAGUGAUUUUGGGACCACAAAUCUGAUUACAAAAUAAUUAUUUUAUUAAUAUUUUAAUGUCUAUAGUGUGUUAGUAGUGUCGUAUAAAAAUUUCAUGAAUAAAUUUUAUCGAUUAAAUGCUUAAUUUGAUAAAAAGGGCUGAAUUGCAUAAGGUGCAAAAUUUGAGUUCUAUAAGUAAAAGGUGUCAAUUACUAUGAAACUGGAUUAUGAGGGGCCUUAAAUGGCAAUUAGAACAUUACUAAAAGUAGUGGACAAAUAUUUACAUCAUUAAUGUGAUUAAUAAAGGUUAUAUAGGUAAUUUAAUAAAUAAAACCAAAAUAAGUAAAAAAAAACCAAAUUUUCGUCUAUGUUCUUCACCUAGCUGAUUUUCUAAGGGAAAAUACCACCCUUUUUUAGCUUCAACAUUUGACCAUCUUUCUUCUUGUGCAUGUAAGUGCAUUUUUGUCCUAUUUUUAAUAAUUUUUAUGUUUUUGGAGUCGUUGUAGCUUAAUCUAGCUAGCAUGGGACUAAUUUACAAAGCUGUUAAAAGUCUAAGAGUUUACCAUGAAUGUUUAUGUGUUUUUUGUGAUGUUUGAUCGAAUAAAAUGAAUGAUUAUUUUUAGUUACACAACUUUUGUUAAGUAAUUUUUGGUGAAUUUGUCAAUUAGGGGUGAAAUUGUAAAAUAUGUAAUAUUCAUGGUAAAUUGUGAAAUUAAUGAAAAAUAUCGGCUAUUAAGGACUUAAGUGAAAUUCGCUAGCUUGGGUUAGCAUUAAAAUUGCAUGAAUUUCAUUUUAUAAUCUUAGGAACUAAAUUGUAAUGAAAUCAAAAUUUAGGGGCAAAAGCAUAAUUUUGCCAAAAUAUGAUUUUUUGAUUGAAUUGAAUAGAAUGAAGUUUGAAUGAAUUAAAUUUGAUUAUUUAGAUCAAGAAAAGCAUCAUAUGGAUUUAGAUCGGGGAAAGGAAAAAAUGUUGGAUUAGCUUAUUGUAUUUCUUCAUUUGUGAUCAAGGUGAGUUUGUACAUUUAAUUAAAUUCUUAAUAUGCUUGAAUUAAAUGCUAUUAUGUUGUAUUAUGAUAUUAUGACUCUACGAAAAUAUCCAACAAAAUUUCAAAAACUUUCGGAUCUCGUUUGAACCUUAAGAAUAUAUAGGAUACAAAUGACAUGCCAUUAGGGGUUACCGUGUUUCGAGUAUUGGUCCAGAACGUCCUACCGGUGACUGAGUUUCUAGCAUGUGUUGCGAUUACUUGAUAGCUUGUGUGAGUAGCACCAUGUAGCUACGUUUCGACCGACAGCUUGUGUGAGCAAACCCUCUUAUGGCUCGAGAGUGAGCAUUUAUAUGAGAAAAGAGAAAGAAAUGGUUUUGACCAUAUGUUAGCACAUAGUGUGUGAGAUUUCCGCCUACCCGAUAUUAUUCUAGUGGUUCAACGGGUAUACAAAAGGAAGGAACAAUAAAUAUUUCGAUAAGUAAUGCUAUGAAAGCAUGAGAAAGAUAUGAGUUGGUGAUGAUUAAAAAUGCCUAGCCAUGUUCAUGAAAAUAUGAAUGCUUAUAUGUUAUGUUUAUAAAAGCUAUUAUAUUAUGCAAUGAAUUUGCUAAGUUAUGUGGUUAUCACUAACUUGAAUGGUUGUUGUUGCUUAGGCUUGUGCCAAGCUAUGUUGGAUUAAUUCAAACUUACUUUUAAGCUUAUAUAUUGAAAUGGUAAGCAUUGUUUAUGAUUUAUGAACUUACUAAGCAUAUAUGCUUACUUGGUGUUAUUUCUCUCAUGUUUUUAGAAAAUCAGAAGCUCGUUUGGUUUGAAAGCUUGUCAAAGAUCCCUCACACUAUCCAUCUGCUAUAUUAGUAGAUUUUGAUGAUUUUGAGUCAUGGUUAUAAUGACAUGUAUAGGUAUCUUUGUUUGAUGAAAUUUGCCUUUAUGUAUGGCUUGUGAAUAUGCUAUUUGGUUGAUGAAGUAAUAGAUAUGAUAUCAUGUGCAUAUGGUACUUUAAAUGGUUGUUAUUUUGGCAUCUAGGUAAUCAAAUAAUGGUAAUAAAAAGGUGAGUAUAAUGGUAUGCUAUGAAAUGUUGGUUGGUAUGGAAUGAGAUAGUACAUAAUGGUAUUUGUUGGUAACCUUGAAUAUGUUUGGCAUUUGGUAAAUUUAUUAAGGUAGAUGGUAGAUGUGGAAAUGGUCAUAAUGGUAUUUGUUGUGCAUGAGAAUGGUAUGUGAACAUUAUGGUAACGUAGUAUUUUAAGUUGUUCAAUUGGUUGAUUGAAUUAUGCAUGAAUUUAGUAGGUGCUUAAUCAAGUUUGAUUGUUGAGAUUGAGGUGCCAUUUUGACAUAUUGGUUGAAUGGUUAGUUAAUAUGAUGUUCUAGCUUGUAUAUACACAUUUAGGUGCCAUUUGAAUGCAUGAAAAUAGGUAACUUUGGUUUGUGUAAAUUGCUAGACUUUGGGUGAGAAAAAUGGCUUGUAAGUGGCCUAUUUUUCGUCCACACUGCCAGAGAUAAAGGCGUGUGUCUCAGCCAUGUGUGACACACGGCCAUGUGACACGGCAGUGUGUCCUCUAUAGCUUACAAAAGGUUACAAGUCAUGAUGUUACAUAACCUAGUACACAGGCGUGUGAGGCCACUUCAAGGGGUACACGGCCUAACACACGCGCGUGUGGCUUGGUUGUGUGACCCAAGUUAGAGAGUUACACGGGCACAGAUAUGGGAUGGGACAAGGCCAUGUAUCCCUACUUAGAAUGUCCACACGACCCGAGACAUGGGCAUGUGUCUCAGCUGUGUGAGUCACACAACCUGGCCACACGACCGUGUGACCCCUGCAGUUUUAAAAUUUGCAUCUUUUUUCGUAAAAUCAUAUAUGUUUUCGAUUUAGUCCCAACUUGUGUUGAAUAUGUUUUUAGGUCCUCGAUGGCUUGUAACUAUAUGCUCAAGUUUGAAUAGUAUUAUUAUGUUUUGUAUAUGUUUAAUAAAUGUUCGUUGUAUGAUGUUAACUUUCGGUAAUGCUCCGUAGCCUUAAUCCGACGACAGAUAUGGGCUAGGGGUGUUACAACAAUGCUAAGAAAGUGUCCACUCGAUGGACUGCAAGCAUGGCUCCAGAUCUAAAUUUUCUAUAAUGGUUUUCACGACCACAACAAAUCUAGCUUAGACGAAGCGGGCGAAGGAUCUCUUGUGUUCCAUACAUAUGAACAAGAUUAUAAAAUCAUAGACGAUACAGACAUGAAUUCGUACAUAUGGUCCACAGAGAUAUUUAUGUACAAAUCAAAGCCUCCAAUGGUGAAAACGGUGAACGAAGAUAAUGACGAUGAUCAAUUUUAACGAAUCUUAGAAAAGCUUAACUGUUUGGAGACAUCUAUCAAACCGAUGAAAGUAGAACCACAUUCUAAAAACCAACUAGAGAAGGCGAGUUACAUAAGUAAUAAGGGUGAAAAUCCCUAUUCAAAUUGCUACAAUCCCGGUUGGAAGGAUCAUUCUGAUAACUCCUAAAAAGAGUUAUAUUUCAUGCCUUUAGACAUAGCUGAUUGCUUGUUCUUGGGUACACUAAGUGGCCUUUUAGGAUAUUUUAUUAGUAUUUUUUUCAUUUGCAUUAGGAGCUUGGACUAUGCUUACAUGCUAGAUAAUUUUAAUUGCGUGUGGAAGGUGUGUGUUUGGUGGUUUGGUAGUUGCAGGAUAUGGAGAAAGAAAUAAAUGAGUGAAGAUUUGUCAGGGCAAAAGGUUGGACAGUUUGCGACCUUGUAUGCCAUGGCAAUUCAGGAAGAUGGCAGAGCCAGCAUUUAGCGCAUGCCAAGUUUUAGACCAACUCUACUUGUACCAGAAAAAUCUACCUAAAAAGAGGACAAGUUUUCGUGGAUUGUUGGAGCUAUUAUAAGAACAAAAAGCCUAUAAAAAGCCAAAGGAGGAAGCCCUAACUGUAAAAAUCCAAUGGCAACAAUAAAGGGUAGCGGUUGAGUAGAGAGAAAGAGGGGAAACUGAAGGCAGUCUCUCUUAGCCAUCAUAGGAUGCUAUGCUGUUGGAUUGAGGAUUGAUUUUGCGACAGCCAUCUUCCUAUGUUCUUUAUAAAUUGAAUUGAUAAAAAUGAUGUUGGAUGUUAUUUUGAACUUUAAUUUUAAUCACCAAUCCAUGAGCUAAAUCUCAUAGGGUUGGGAUACAUGAUGAAAACUUUUAUUUUCUUUAAUGGUUGAAGCAUAUAUUUUAUUUAAUAUGUUAUUUCAUUCAAUUGUUUUUAUUUCCUAAAUGUAUGCGUAUAUUCUCUAGACAUAGAUGAAUGUGUAGUAUGCCCAUAAAACUAAAUCUAAUUCUAAAAAGGUUUGAUUAGUUGGACCGUAAUUGAAUGAUAUGAGUAAGUACCCGACAGAUAUUUGUAGUAGACUCUAAACAUAGAGUAAUGUUCAUAUGGAAUAAAGAUAAAAAUAGUGCAAGGUAUUGUGAUAAGGCCUAUAGACACAGGCCAAGUAACUUGAGACCUUACUCUCGAAAGAAGUAGGUCACUUUAGGUCUCUUCUGAGCAGUAGAUUAAGUAUGAUUUUGCUGAGGCAUUACUGAAAGUAAUGGUAGAUUCUUAGUAAUCCCAACCUUCCAAUCAACAUCGUAGACCUUCAAUCCUUUGCUGCAGCAUCUUUGCCAGAACAUUCUUAGUUAUUUAUUUAUUCAUUUGCAUUUUAUUCAAAUAAUUAUUCUCGUGAUUGUCAUUUCAUUUUUUCUCUCGUAUUACCUUAGCACUUUUCAAAAUCAGUCGGUAUACAUUUCACACUCAUCUUUAUUAUUUUAAUUUAUCACUGCAUACUUAACUCGGCUUUGCCAUAACAUUAAUUAUUAUCAUAACUUGACCAUUUCUAUACCUAAUUCGAUCCAUUUGGAGACGAUCUCACUUAUCACUUUUUUACUUGAUUCGAUGUAUAUACUUGCACAAUUCGAUAUCAUAUUCACAUGCGACACAUCUGAACUUCAAAUGGGGUAGCAACCAAGGAGGUGAAAAUCAAGCACAAACCAACAAAACCCUCUUUACCAACCUCCAUCAUUACAACAAAGAGCUGUGGGAAAUGACCAUGCUACAUGUGGUCAAAGAUUUGAUUAACUAGAGGAGGAGAUGCAAACAAUGAAGAUGGAUAUUUGAUAAGUUCAAGCUACAUGUGGAUGACUCAAAUCCUGAAUGGAUAGCUUUCACUGACAAAUGAACCAGUUAAUAACGAUGUUUUAAACAAAUGGCCAGAGUUUCCCCAGCAAUAUAGGGAAUAAUCCUUAUAGAGAUGAGAAGGAGCACGUGCAACCACUUUGAGAUUGGGAAAAGCAUUAAAGUCGUGAAAUACACCCAUCCAUUAAGAGGAAGAGGUUCCUGUAACACCCUAUACUCGACCAAAUUUACUAAAUCCGAAUGUAGGAUGUCACAAUACUUACAUACUUAACAAUUUUUUUUUUCAGUUGGCCAAAGCCCAUACUAGAUGCACUUCUUAUUUAUUUUAGAAAAAUUGUAAAUCAAAAUAUUUGAAUAAAACAUUUAUCAUUUAUAGAAGACUUUUAAAAGCAGUAUAAAGCAUUACAACUUAAUUUUUUAUAAAAUAGACAUAUUUGUGGCAUAUAAUACUGUUCAUCAUUUGAAAACAUAUUCCCAAAGGUGCCCCUUUGUAUGCAUAACAUUGCCUUACGGUCAACCACCUUGACACAUUCUUAGUUUGGUCCCUUUUAGCCAAUUGAUUCAACUCAAGAACCUGCAUUACAAAUAAACACCCAAAAGUUCAAUGAAACUUUUGAGUCUCAACCAGUUUUACCUUUAAACGAUGAUGUUGGAUUCCUCGACUUAAGAAUUAUAGACUUCCUUUCAGAUUUUGAAGGAUACAUUUCUGAUUCUUGGAAAGUAACUAUACGCCAACAUCUACUCAACCAUCUUGUACACGUUCCACUUGAUUGGCGGAUUACAGACUUCACACCUUAUAGCGGAUCCUAUUUCACAAUCAUUUUGAAGAUAGAAAUUUAAUACAAUUCUUAGAUUAAUAUUUAUACAGAUGAUCAUAUUGGCAAAUUCUUAUACUAGCUCUGGUGAUUGCCAAUCAUACCUUAUCUUCAAAUCAGUCCAGACAAUGAACUUAUUCUAUUGAAUCCAAUGUCUUAAGUCAUUAAAUAGAAUCUCAGAUGACUUUAAUACCUAACUUGAAAAUUCCUAGAUUUGGCAAACACUUACACCACCCAUAAUUCUAGAUACAAUAAUCUUUUCUAUCUUGGCAGAUUGCAAAUGACGAGUUUAUCCGUCAGGUGUGUUGUCGAGAAUUCUUUCAAAAAAUGCCCUAAGGGCAUACCCAAGUCUCGCCACAAGGGCAAACUAACAACUCGUCACUUAGUCAUUAUAGAAUUUACUCUACAGGCUCUUUAGAUAAUACGCCAUAAACCCUUUCCAGGUAAAAUGCCACAAAGGCUCUUCAGAUAAUCUGCCACAAAGGAUCUUCAGGUAAUUCACCACAAAGGCUUGGUUUAGUUUGCCACCAAGGCAUUACAUCAACAGUCAUGUUUGAUGAUAUGGAUUUGCCUAAACUCAACAUAGCCUGAGGUUUUCCCAUCAUCGCCCCCGGGACAUAUAGAAACCCUAGUAGACAAAUGCGGUUCAUUCGCCAUUCCUAUAAUAUGCCAUAGCCAUUGUCUUUUCACAUAUCUGCCACAUUUGCCUUUUUCGUUUUUACUAUCUCAGCAGACCUCGUAUUUACAGUCCCAACAAACUGCAUGCUUGCCAUAUUGGCCUUCAUGUUUGCUAUCCCAGUAGGCAUCAUCAAAGCACCAUCGUGAGGUCAUUUAUCGUAUCACAUACUUUCCUCACACUCCAUCUGAACCCCUUUAUCGUCAACCAUACUUGGUCAUACCUUACUCAAAUAACAUAGCAGACAUAUAUACACAAAUUUCACUAAUAAUCUUAACAGAAUCAAACUUCUCUACACAUAAUUUCCCAAAUAAUCUUAACAAAAUCAAACUUCUCUACACAUAAUUUCCCAUGCUUACCACACAUCUACAUGACUAAUUUCCCAUGCUUACCACACAUUGUCAUAUUCAUGCAACGCAUCAUACACUUCAGUACAUACAUACAAAUGUUUCACGGGAAACAUGUACAACCAUUCAUAAAUACAAAAACUUCUCAAGAAAAUAUGUGCAUCUAUAUGAACAUUGAUCGUACAAGAAAUAAGCAUAAUACAUCAUGCAAAAGUUGGGUCCAAGGACUCACCAAAGACUCAUAUUUACUUUGACCUGAAGUUUCUAUUUCAAUUGUCCUUUCCAAUCUCGCAACAUCAAUUAUUUACAAUAUCAUGAAAUUUCUAAUAGAAUCCCUAUUUACAGAUAUUUUAUUAAUGUUUCAACUAUGUACGACCCCCAUGCAAGGCCUUUCACUCACACCCUACUAUCCUUACACCUUUCAUCAUCCUUACUCAUCAACAAUCAUAACAUGCAAGGCUAUAAGACUUACCGGAGGGUUGAAUUAUACAUUGAUUAAACGAGGUCUUAGCUCUAUCUUAAUGAAGAAGAAAAGAACAUUUAGGUUGGAAAGAAGAACCCAGAACAUAAAGUAGAAAGUAAAGUCAUCUAGAAUGUCUUUUCCCUUACUAGAUAUAAAUUCUAUGUCCUCCUACUACAGACUUUGAGAAGUAAAAAUGCUUACCUAACCCAAUCUCCUAGUUUUCCCAUAAAAAUCUAGCAGAAGGUAAAGAAAAUCUAGUUAAGAUCUUCGUUAUUGUUUGACCAAUCAUGGGGAGGGUCAAAUCAAUCCAAUUGACUUCCAACCAAUCUCGUCACAGGAACCAACUUGGACAAUUCUCAAGCAAACUGAGUAUACUAUACUUUUGGUGGCAAUUCACGUAUGACAUGACCUUAAAGACAAUUAAGUAUUUUGUAGCAUUAUCACACACUUGGUAGGCUUUUUGUGCCCAACCAAAACUCUGAGGUGUACUUUUCUUGUCCAUGAGACUGGGUCAAGAAAUUAAUUUAUUUACUACAAGGUUAUCAAAUUCAAUCUGAUUAGAUGUGGAGAUGUUGCAACUUAAAAACUUGGUCUAGGCUAUGAAUUAGGUGCGAACUUUUGAGACAAAAUAUCAACAAACUCAAGCUGCUUACCCCCAUAGUUGGGAAUUGACAAAAGACUAGUACUAGUAAGAAAUAUCCUCAUUUUAUUAAAAAGUUUACUCGUGUAGAAAUGACAGAGUGAUAAAGCUAAAAAGUAACAUAUUUUUAUCCCAUGCUUGGCAUAUUUAUGGAUAAUUUUUCAUAAGAUUUAGUGAAUUUGAUGCUCCUAAUCUUUUAAUUUCAUGUUUCAUAUCCAGAUGAGCAUAGGAAAGCGAAAAGUGCAAGACAAAAGGCCGAAAACGGACAAAAUAGGUUUAUUUCAGUACUACACACGGCCUAGACAAGUUGACACGGGUAAUCCACAUGCCCGUGUGAGACACACGGGUAGGCCACACGUCCGUGUGUCAUGGCAUGUUGAUUUAAAACCAUGUCAUAAUUACACACGGCCCGAGCACCAUCACACGGCCUUGUCCCUGUCGAGACCUAUUUUAAUUCUACUCGAAAAAGGCUAAUUUUGGGCUAUUUUGGGCAUUCCAAAGUCUAUUUAAACACACGAGAAGAGGACCAAAGGGCGGAUAGGCAUAUAGAAGGCAGAAAAUACUCGAAGACAAUCAUUGGAAUCAGCUCGGAAGCAUGAUUUACUUCAAGACUAAGGAUCUCCAUUCAAUUUCUACCGAAGUUUUUUGGUUUCUUUAUGUUUUGUUGUUUUCCCAAUUUUGAGAUGUUUUCCACCAUCAUUAUGAACUAAAUUCCCUAAAUACCUAGGGAAGAUGAAACCUAAGACGAAUCUUAUUAUCUUUUGAAUUAUAUGAUAAAUACUUGUUCUUAUUCUUAAUUAUGAGUUUUAAUCCUUGCUUUAAUAUUUCAGGACAUUAAUUCAGGUUUUGAUGUGCUUAUUCAGUGGAGCAAAAGUCCCUAUUUAAGAGUAGAUCUUCCAUAAUUAAGCAGAUUUGAUUGUAAUCCUAGAGAUAGGACAACAUAAAUCUACCGGAUUAGAGUCAAAUUUAGUAAGAGAAUCCAUAGAUCGAGUUAAUGCGAUAAUAGAGGUUUUAAUUAGAAAGAGAUUUCAAUUAAUCAACCUAGAGUCAGUUGUUUUUAGUCUCAAGAGAGAUAUUAACAUAAAGUAGGGAUUUCUACGGAUUAAGUCAACUGAAUAAAUCGUCUAGUUCAGAAGUAGUAAGUGAAGUCUAGGUGGAUUCUUCCUUGGGUAUUGUCUUCUCCAUCGGUCUUCCAAUAGUAUUUUCCAACUUUUAUUUCUGUCGUGUUCUUAGUUAAUUAAAUAGUUAAUUUUAGUUUAAAAACACCCCUUUAAUUCUUAGGCUAGAUAAUAAAAAGAUAGUAAUUACUAGUAUUUUUAAUCCUUGUGGAUACGAUAUUUUUGGUCUCACCAUAACUAUACUACUGUUUGAUAGGUGCGCUUGCCUUAGUCGAAAUUUUUAGUUAGUUUAGCGACCAUCAAGUUUUUGGCGCUGUAAUAACCUAAAUUCGCCCGACCCAUAAAGUAAAUAAAUAUAAAUAUAAAAACAAAAAUAAAAAAGAAAUAAAAGUCCUUUUACAAGUCCAAAUUGAUAGCCUAUAUACAUAGCCCAAACUGAGCAUUGUCUAUGGCCCAUUUACAAGAGAUACCGGUAGCCCACAUACACUCCAAAACUCUUAACCCAAGACCCAAUUAGCCUAUUACCCUGUUACACCCAUAACCCAGCUAAACACUAACCCAAAACCCAAUUAACCUAAACUACCCACUAGCCCGUUUACACCCUCAACCCAAAACACAUACGGCCCAAGUGGCCCAACUCGUUAACAGAAGAUAGAAAGGCCUAGGGUUUCAGAAACCCUAGGCGUUGCAAGCAUCUCAACAGACACGGCUCUUCGCCUCACCCCGUGACUCUGACCUCGAAUUGCGUGGUAGUCAACGCGUAAAUCAACGCCAGCGCACUCCUCGCUGUGAGAUCCUCGUUGAUACCUGCAAAAGAAGGAAAGAACUACGACAGAAAAGAGGCAAACAAGGAAAGAAAUCGAAAGAUUAUUUCCUAAAAAUGCAACCGGGGGUUAUAAAACCCCUCUUUUUUAAUUUGUAUACACGUUUUUACACAGAGAUUCAAUAAAAACAGAAUACAUUUUACACUAAAAGAAACCAACAGUCGAUUGGAGAGUACAGAUGUGAGUAUUUUAUUCUUUUUUUUCUCUAAAUACAUACUGAUAAUAAAAAAUAAAAUAAAAGAAACAUAUCGAUUUAAUCUACUUUGGAAAAGGAAACUUUCCAGUUUCCAACCGCCGUAAGUGGCGGCGUUGGUAGGGGCGCGUGAGAGCAUGCAAGCUUCAGACGUAGUCUCGAUAGAACUCCGAGGACAUCUCCUCCAACCCUCUCAGAGUGUUUCUUUCUUUUUUUAAAAACAAGGUUUCAAAAUGAUUUCAGGCUUAAUAUUUGGCUUAUAUAGCCUUACUAAAACGGUGUCGUUUUGGCUUAACUCAAUAAGCACAAAACGACGUCGUUUCGAGGCUUAGGAUCCGCGUGUUGACCCGAUUACCCGAGGAGGAUCCGUGUGUUUUCGUAAAAUGGGAUAAUUUCCCAAUUGGUCCUUCCAUGUUCUCUGUAUUUGCAAUUUCAUUUUAUUUUAUUAUAAUUUGGCCCUAAAUUUUGAUUUUAUUUCAAUUUAGUCCCAACAGCUCCUUUGAGGCCUAUUCUGGGAACGAUGUCGUUUCAGGGAUAAGGGCUAAUUUCCCAAUGAGUCCCUCAACUUUUAACGCGCGUUCCAGAAGGCCCAAAAUUCAUUUUUUUAUUUUUAAAUUAGCCCUAAAGUUUCGAUCAUUGCUAAUUUUAAUCAUUUUUUUAAAUUUGUUUAUUUUAAAUAUUAUUUUUUAUUUAUUUAUACAUAUAAAAAUUUAUUUAUUUGUAUAUUAUUUUUGUUAUUUUCAAGUAUAUUUAUAUAUUAUAUUAUUUAUUAAUAUAUUAUUUUAUAUUUUUAUAUUUUUAUAUUAUCUUAUGUUUUAAUAUACAUUAUAUAUUAUAUUAUUUUAUAUUUUAUCAUAUAUUUAUAUCUUAUUACAUAUUAUCAUGUAUAAUUUUAAAAUUUUAUAAAUUAUUAUUAAACAUUAUGUUUUUUAUAUAUAUUAUUAUUAAAUAUUUAAAAUUCAUUUAUCAUUACAUUAUUUUAUUCUUUUAUAUUUUAUAUGUUAUUUUAUUAUAUAUAUUUAUAUUAUUAGUAUAUUAUUACACUAUUAUGAAGUUUAUAAAUUAUUAUUAAGCAUUAUAUUUAUGUGUAUUAAACAUGUAGUAUGUAUGUUAUUAUAAAAUUCUAUAUAUAUUAUACAUCGUUUUUAGUAUGUAUUAAGCACUUUAAAAUUUCCCUUUAUUAUUCAUUGUGAUUAAUAUGUGAUUCUUCCUAAGUUUUUUUUUAUAUAUAUAUGUUCAUAUGUUAUUAAUAUAUUUGUGUUAAUUGUUUAAAUAUGUAAAUUCAUUACACGAGUUAUUUGUUAUCAUUGAUUUUAUAUGUUUGCAUGACAAUUAUUUAUUUAUGGAAGUCUUAUUUACGUGAAGUAUGAUUAUUUAUCUUAUCCUCAUUGUUUACUAUGUUGUAUUCUUGCAUAAAAUAUUAAUGUAUAAAGAUUUAUGAUUAUAAAAUAUUAAUGUAUGUUGUGAUGUUAGCUUUUAGGUUAUAUUUGCAUUAAAGCGUAUAUGAUUUUUAUUAUUUUUAGCGAUUUCCCGUUUGUCUAAAUGCCUAAAGUAUCCUUCUAAAUAAUUUUUCUAAAUUACGAGGUGAUUUCAGUACAAAAGUUGAGAAUAUCGUGUCCUAUCAUGAUGGAUGUGAUGUUCGUGUUCUUUUGGAACAAAGGAUUCUCGAUUUUUAAACUCAAACUGUUCUGAUUUUAAAAAGGGAUCUUAUCUUGAAUUAUUUCAAACUUUGACAGUAAGACAGAAAACAAUUCAAUUUGGUACCAAUUUUGGGCGUUGUGAGGGUGCUAACCCUUCCUUACACGUAACCUACUCCCGAAACCGUUUUCCAAUUUUACGUAGACCAAAAUGUUUUAUGAGGUGAUCCAAUUACACCUAAAAAGGUUGGUGGCGACUCCCGUUUUCAAAAUACCCUUUGCCUUUUUUAAAAAAAAAGAGGUUUCGAAAGGCGUCGUUGCCGGGGACUAAGAUAUUAGGAACACUUGAAUUUUAUUACUUUAGCCAUUUUUUCUUAUUGCAAAUUACUUUUUAUUUUAAUUUAAUUUUUACUUCUCUUCGAAUCUCCCUGUUAUUUGCAUCUGGCAGGAAUCUCUAGUUUAUGACUAGAAGGAACUCGUCAGGACCAUUGCUAUUUGACAAUGAGAUAGAAAGCACAGCUCACAGAAAUCAAAGAGAAAUAAGGUGAAGCCUGCAGUAUAUAGAGGAAGAGCAAGUGGAUGUGACCGAUAUACCCAAAGAGAUCGCAGACAAUCUAAAAAAUCAACUACCUCCGGUAGUUGUUGUAAAUCCAGUAAAUUAGAAUCCUGUUCCUCGUACUAUGUAUGAUUAUGCUAAGCCUACUUUAACAGGAACUAAAUCGAGUAUUGGUAGACCUGCUGUUUCUGUAAAUAAUUUGAAUUGAAACCUAACACGAUUCAAAUGAUACAACAGUUUGUUCUGUUUGAUGGUUUGUAGGACGAGGAUCCAAACACUCAUUUAGCAAAUUUUUUGGAAUUUUGUGACACCUUUAAGAUAAAUGGCGUUUCUGAUGAUGGCAUUCACCUUCGGUUGUUUUCUUUUUCAUUACAGAAUAAGGCUAAAUAGUGGUUGAACUCGUUACCACGAGGGUCAAUCACUACUUGGGAACGAAUGACUGAAAAAAUUUUCUUAAAUACUUUUCGUCGGCUAAAACGGCUAAAUUGAGGAAUUAUAUCUCUUCUUUUGUACAGAUGAAUUUAGAAACACUUUAUAAUGCAUGGAAGAGAUACAAGGAUUUAUUGAGAAGGUGCACUUACCAUGGAUUACCUUUAUGGUUACAGGUUCAGACCUUCUACAAUGGUGUGAACCCCUCAACAAGGCAACUGAUUGAUGCAGCCGCUGGUGAAACCUUGAACAAAAAGACACUUAAAGAGGCUUACGAAUUGAUUAAAGAGAUGUCACUAAACAACUACCAGUGGCAAGUCAUGAGAACAAAGCCGAAAAAAGCAGUUGGUGUUUUCAACCUCGGCGCAGUCACUAUGCUAUCUAACCGGUAGUACUAUUGAAUAAAAGAUUGAUGGCUUGUAUGAUUCUACUCGGGUACAUCCAAUGAUGAGGUGUGAUUCAAACAGAGGAGGGAUGCACAACACAGACUAUCCAUCCUUCAACCCCAGCAAUGAGGGAGAACAAGUCCACUAUAUGGGUAACAAUUCUAGACCUUAGAAUAACCCUUAUAGUAACACUUACAAUGCAGGUUGGAGGAACCAUUCCAAUUUUUCGUGGGGUGGUCAAGGGAAUCAAAGGCCACAACACCCUCCAGGUUUUCAACAACCAUCGUACCAACAGGAGAAAAAUUCAAAUUUUGAUGAAAUGCUUACAAAAUUUAUUUCGGUGACAAAAACUCAUUUUCAAAAUAUCGAGACAGCACUUAAAAAUCAGCAAGCGUCGACUCAAGGGCUCGAAAUUCAAAUAGGUCAGCUUGCUAAGUUGAUCUCUGAAUACCGCAAGGUGGCUUGCCCAGUAAUACAGAAACUAACCCAAGGAAGCAACUCCAUGCCAUCACUGUGCAUGACAAAAAAGGGUUAACUGAAUCUAAAUCUGAAACGAGGUAAGAAGUUGUUGUAAGCAAUGGUAAGGUUGAGGUGAUUUAUGGUACACAAAAGCCAGUAAGCAAAGAAUAUAGACCUCGUGUGCCAUACCCCAAUGCGACAAGGAAAGACCACACAGACGAACAAUUCAGUAAAUUUCUAAAACUACUUAAAAAAUUACAUAUUAACUUACCAUUUAUUGAAACUCUUUCACAGAUGUCAAACGCAGUUAAAUUCUUAAAGGAGCUUUUAGCAAACAAACGGUAGUUAGAUGAGUCAUCGCAUGUGGAGUUAAAUGCAGUUUGCUCAGCUAUUUUUCAAAACAAGCUACCCAACAAACUGAAAGAUUCAGGGAGUUUUACGAUUCCUUGUCUAAUUUGUAGUUUGAAUGUUAAUAAUGAUUUAGCUGAUUUAGGGGCAAGUAUUAAUGUCAUGCCCUACAAGAUGUUUAAGCAGCUAAGACUAGGGAAACCCAAACAAACUAGGAUGAGCAUACAACUAGCUGAUAAAACUAUUAGAUUUCCUAGGGGAAUCUUUGAAGAUGUGCUUGUUAAAAUGACAAAUUCUUAUUUCGAGUCGAUUUCGUUGUCUUAGACAUGGAUGAAGACAGUGACGCACCCUUAAUUUUAGGCAGACCCUUUUUAGCAACUACUAGAUCUAUCAUUGAUGUUGGACCAGGUGAACUCACACUUCGGGUAGGUGAUAACAUGAUUAAAAUCCAAGCUCGUGAUUCUGACAGAAAGACUAGUGAUCGAGAUGAUUACACAAGUUCUUUUAAUGUGAGAAACCUUGUUGUUCAACCCUCUUUGCAGGAAAAACCUCUGAGAAGUACAACUGAGUCACGUUCCAAUCCAUGUAAUGAUAAGACUAUCCAUGAAGAGCGAAGGCUAUAGAUCGAGGAACUAGAUGAAUGACGAACACAGGUUAAGGAGAAAUCGAGAAUAUACGAUGAAUCAAGGCAGUGCCAUGACAAACUUAAAAGUGAAUCGAAUCAACUUAAGGUUGGAAACAAAAUACUAUUAGAUGAAGCAGGCCCUCGUGUUGCCACUUCUAAACCUAAUGGAGCAGUACCUUUUGCGGUACUCAACGUUUUCCCAUAUGGUACAGUCGAGGUAACUCAUUCCAAAUUUGGCACUUUUAAGGUAAAUAGUACUCGUCUAAAACCUUAUUUUGAUAAGAUUGAUAGUAGGAAUGAGGAGUUUCAACUCCUCAAACCACCUUGACCAUGCAUAUAUGAGGUGAGUUGAGCUUAGACUUUAAAUAAGCGCUCCUUGGGAGGCAGCUCGAGCACUAACACCAGUAACCCAUUUAUUUUAUCUAUUUUUCAUUUUUUAUGCAAGUAUAGUGACCCACAUGGCCUGGACACACAGGCAUGUCCUUGGCCGUGUAGAAAUAGGGCUAAAGUUUCCCACAAAUUGACAUGCACAUGGCCUGCGAUAAAUCCACACUGCCGUGCGACAUGGCCGUGUGAAUACACGGCCUGGACACACUGGAGUGGGAAGUAUAUGGCCUGGACACACGGGCGUGUCCUAUGCUAUGUGAAAUCUAGAGCUUAAUUUUUUGAAUUUUAACAAGUUAAAGAGUUACACGGGCAAGGCCCACGGCCGUGCGUGAGACAUGGUCGAUCCACAAGGGCGUGUGGUAGGUUACACGGGUGUGGGAGAAGCGAAAAACAUAGAGCAUAGCUAGGCGACAUAACCGUGUGAUGAAAGGUCAUCCAAUUUUCGCGAUAAACACAGGCUAGACGCGAACCACAUGGGCGUGUGGGAUACAACACGAGCGUGGGAGAAGAGAACAACGUAGCACACGGCUGUGCGAUACGACUGUGUAAACCACACGGCUUGGACACACGGACGUGUCGUAGGCUGUGUGACGAGUGGGCUAUUAAUUCCUCGAUGAACAUGAGCUAGAAGUUGAGCCACACAGGCAUGUGACACCGCCGUGUGGCCCAACACGGACCGUUACAUGACCGUGGCCCUUUUAACCCCAAACCCUAAAGUUUUAUUUUAUUUUUGUCUUCUUCUUUAAUUUUGCCCCACCCAGCUGCCGAUCAUCUCUUCUCUGGCCACCGACAGCACCAACACACAUUUUCCCUCUUUGCUUUCCCUUCUCUUCCCUCUUGCCGCCUGAAUCCCCCUUUUCUCCCAUCAAAUCUCCAUAUUUUCUUCAUUUCCUUCUAUUUUCCCUUAUCCCCGUUCCUUCAUCGCCCUCAUCCUCCUUCCCUUCCAUAACCAAUAGCCUCGAUUCCCAUUCUAUCGCACGGCCCCUCCGCUUCAACCACCGUGUUCCAUCAAUUCUCCGAGCUCCAAUCACCACCAUUGGUUCCUCUUUUAUUUAUUUUAUUUAUUUUCUUUAUUCCUUUUAUUUUAUUUUACUUUAUUGUAGUUUAAUUCUUUUAUUUGAAUUCUUGAAAUUUCUUAUUGAUUACUUUUCUUACUUUAGUCUCAUGGUUCUUACUUGUAUUAUUAUUUUAUUUUAGGGACAGUAUUAGGUUAUGCUUAAUUCAUUAUUUUGUCAUGAUGCUUCUUGCUAUGUGUUCUCUUCAUUCGUAAUUUUUAUUACUCUGAUGGUCUUAUAGAUUGGUUAUUUAUUUAUCAUUUACAUCUUUCAUAUGUAUAUUAAUUUGUCCCUGUUAGUUCAGCAUACUAGUUUUUCUGCCGUCGCGGUUGAUUAGUUUAGUAAGAUGAUUACUUUGUUGUUAGUUCUUGCCUGUUGGGUAUUAGGGCAUCUAGGAAUAGAUUUUACAUCUCACCCAUGUUAAUUUUAUCAUACUAAAGUCCUUCAAGUUAAAUUCCUACCUUAUUCACAUGUUUGCUUCUACACUUCUCCAUGUGUUUGAUUGGUGAUGUUUUUGUUCCUAUUGGAAUAUUUUAUUUUUAGCUUUACCAUGACAAACACUCAUGGCAAGUCCAAGGUCGCUGUCCCUGCCUUGAAAAAGAAGAAAGGUCCUAGCGCGACCUCUUCGAACGCCUUUACCGAGGUUCAUCAUCCUUACCUCCGAUUCUCUGCGGACCCACCUGAGGACUUAUUAAAGCUCCUGUGCAUGCGACCACUAGGUUUGGGCCGAUACAUUGACUGGGCCACAUUGGAGCAGGUCGGACUAGCUGAUGACGUCUGCACUUUCAUUACUACGGCACCAUGAGACCGAAUCUUUGAUAUCUUUGAGCCCACAUAUAUGGAGCUUACUUUGGAUUUUUGCUCGACAUUCUACCUUCAGCGCGUGAUGUUAUCGCACGACGAGCACGGUACCAUUACAUUUCGACUGGGUAACUUGGUGCGACAUAUGAGCAUCCCUGAGUUUGGCGUAGCUUUGGGCAUCUACACAGAUGAGUUUAUGGGUGCCGAUAACUUUUUUCACCUCCACCAUCACAUCUAUUAUUCACUUUCAUGCUAUUGGAUCGAUCUCACAGCCAGUCAGAUCCCUUAUGAUGCGAGUUGCUCGAAGGCGACAUCUCUUUCUCUGGCUCUACGAUACAUCCACACCUUAUUAGCUCACACUUUGACUGGCAGGAAAGAGAGUACAGGAGUUGUAAGCACUAUUGACGUGUACUAUCUUUGGAGCAUGAUGACUAGCCACAUAUUCGACUUAGCCUAUUUCAUUGCUCUCGUCUUUCGCCAUCAGACAGAUCACCACAAUAAGGGUCCUAUCUGCCUUGGCCCCUACGUGACUCGCCUCGCUCGACACUUCGGUCUCUUCGACACACCAGAGAUGUCAUCGACACUCAAACUAGUAGGCCGGAUGUCUCCUCAAGGAAUUUCUAGUAUGAUCCACAUGAGGAUGAUCGAGUGACGCCAUGGAUUCGAUCCACCUUAGUAUCGGUUAGCUCGUUCUAAUGAUCAGGAUGAUCCAGAGUACAUUACUGAAAAUGUUCCUCCCCUUUAUGAGGACCCACCUCCACCACCAUCACAGAGUUACCGCCCCACUACUACCACUUUGACAGAUAUAUCCGAGCGACUCACUCACUUUGAGUACCAGUGUUUUGAGCGGUUCGACAGUAUCGAUGCCACUCUUCGACAGAUUUGCCACCACCUUCACAUCUCUUCUUCGGCACCGUUAACCCACGAUGCAUUCGAUAAUGAGGACCUUGGAGUCCAUUUAUUUAUUUAUUAUUGCUAGGUUGUUUCCCUGAAUUAAGGUAUUCUUGAAGUUUUGAAUUUACAGGAUUGACAUCAAAUACCCAUAAUUUUCGUGAGAUUUUAAGCCUUUUAGAGCAUAUAUCUUUCUUGCUCACUAUUUUAUUAGUUAUGAGUGUGUCAACAUUGAUUUGUUAUUCUAGAACUUGCUUCGAUUAUGCAUGUCAAGAUCAUACCUUUGAUUUGAUAUACUGAGAUGGUAAAGGCGCUUAGGUUUUAACCCACUUACCUCAUAAAAAGCCUACCCACAUAAUUAACCCUUAGUGAACCCCUUUGAGCCUUAACCAUUGUUUCUUGAUUUUCCCCUUAAUAUUAACCCACAACUUAACCAUUUUUUAUUCGUUAAGAAUUUCUCCCUUUUUAUUGACUCCCUUUGAUUUGAUUAGUUACCUAACUAUGUUCGUUAAUUUCAAUUGCUGAAUUAUUUCUUAUUAUGUACUUUCCAUUAUUGUAUUUGUUCUUAUUCUUUAAAAAAACGUAUAUUUAUAUUCAUAUAAUUAAGUAUUGUUAUAAAGAGCUUGGAUAAGUCAAAGUUAUUAUAUUGAGAAAAAGCUCACUUCAUUAGUUUUGGAUAGUUUUAAUUGUGGCACUUGUUUAUAAUUCAGUAAUUAGCUUUAUUUUUCUAAGUUUGGUAAUUUAUUAAAUUAAGCUUGAUUCUAACCCUCUUUUUUAGCCUUUAUCCACACCUUUAACCCAAGCCCCAUUACAACCCUGUUAAAGACCUUUUGAUUUGUGUAUCAUCUCAUUUAUAGUGGUGGAGAUUUGAUUUCCAUGCAAGUCUAUGGUAAUAAAAUUUCAUGUUUGACUAAUGAGUGCUUUAUUGUUGAACCUUAAACACUUUGAGUGAUUUGAGUGAAUCUGUAGUGAGGAUGUCAACUCUUGUCAAUUUGGAAUUAAAAGUAAUUAUUUAGAUAAAGGGAAAUACCUAUGAUUUUAUGAUUAAAAUGCUCAACUUGGACUGUUUGAGACUUUGAUUUUCUUUUUGUUGAACCCUCAAUGUAUGAUUAUUUGUGGAUUAUUUUGAAACAUUAUUUGAUAAGAAUUAUAAGUUGAGAAGAAUUAAUAUUAAUUGUAAGUUGAGGAUUUUGCUUGAGGACAAGCAAAUGCUUAAGUGUGGGGAUAUUUGAUAAACCUCAAAAGUAACAUAUUUCUAUCCCAUACUUGGCAUAUUUAUGGAUAAUUUAUCAUAAGAUUUAGUGAAUUUGAUGCUCCUAAUCUUUCAAUUUCAUGUUUCAUAUCUAGAUGAGCAUAGGAAAGCGAAAAGUACAAGAAAAAGGCAAAAAAUGGACAAAAUAGGUUUAUUUUAGUACUACACACGGCCUAGACAAGUCGCCACGGGUAAUCCACACACCCGUGUGAGACACACGGGUAGGCCACAUACCUGUGUGUCAUGGAUGUGUUAAUUUAAAACCAUGUCAGAAUUACAUAUGGCCUGAGUACCAUCACACGGGCGUGUCACACGGUCGUGUCCCUGCCGAGACCUAUUUUAAUUCUACUCGAAAAAGGCUAAUCUUGGCCUAUUUUGGGCAUUCCAAAGUCUAUUUAAACACACGAGAAGAGGAUCAAAGGGGGGACAGGCAUAUAGAAGGUAGAAAAUACUCGAAGACAGCCAUUGGAAUCAGCUCGGAAGCAGGAUUUACUUCAAGACUGAAGAUCUCCAUUCAAUUUCUACCGAAGUUUUUGGGUCUCUUUAUGUUUUGUUAUUUUCCCAAUUUUGAGAUGUUUUCCACCAUCAUUAUGGACUAAAUUCCCUAAAUACCUAAGGAAGAUGAAACCUAAGAUGAAUCUUAUUAUCUUCUGAAUUAUAUGAUAAAUACUUUUUUUUAUUCUUAAUUAUGAGUUUUAAUCCUUGCUUUAAUAUUUCAAGAUAUUAAUUCAGGUUUUGAUGUACUUAUUCAGCAGAGCAAAAGUCCCUGUUUAAGAGUAGAUCUUUCAUAAUUAAGCAGAUUUGAUUGUAAUCCUAGAGAUAGGACGACAUAAAUCUGCCGGAUUAGAGUCAAAUCUAAUAAGGGAAUCCAUAGAUCGAGUUAAUGCGACAAUAGGAGUUUUAAUUAGAAAGAGAUUUCAAUUAAUCAACCUAGAGUCAGUUAUUUUUAGUCUCGAGAGAGAUAUUAACAUAAAGUAGGGAUUUCUACGGAUUAAGUCAAGUGAAUAAAUCGUCUAGUUCAGAAGUAGUAAGUGAAGUCUAGGUGGAUUCUUCCUUGGGUAUUGUCUUCUCCAUCGGUCUUCCAAAAGUACUUUCCAACUUUUAUUUCUAUCGUGUUCUUAGUUAAUUAAAUAGUUAAUUUUAGUUUAAAAACACCCCUUUAAUUCUUAGGCUAGAUAAAAAAAAGAUAGUAAUUACUAGUACUUUUAGUCCUUGUGGAUACGAUAUUUUAGAUCUCACCAUAACUAUACUACUGUUCGAUAGGUGCGCUUGCCUUAGUUGAAAUUUUUAGUUAGUUUAGCGACCAUCACAGAGUGAUUAGACAAGGUUUUUGUUACAAUUGUGAUGAACCAUACUCAUUCAAACAACAAUGCAAAAAAACUUGUUUUGGUUGGAGAUAAAAGAUCUCGAGGAUUUUGCUAAGAUUCAGAGGAGUUUCAAUCUCAAGCUUGCAGACAAGCUCUUUUUCCAGAAGGAGAGUAGUGUUACAUGUCAAUCAAUUAUUAUAUUAGUUUAUUAUUUUCUUAGGAGAUUUUAUUUAUGAGUAUUUUAGAGAGAUAUUAAAAAUCUUUCUUAAUAUAAAAUAUUUAUUUUCGUUUCCAUAGCUUAAUGUCAUUUAUUCAAAUAAGUAAGCCUAUAUAACCUCUAUUUCAAAGGCCUGUUGGUAGCACUAAAAAAUUAAGUCAAAUUAAACCAAUUUUUACAAGAUUUGAUAUUCUCUUUAACGAGUCUUAUGGUCUGGAAUUCCCUUUGACGAGUUCCAUUUUUUUAACAUAGGUCAUUCGCAUGGAAAGGGUAAAAGGUAAGGAAAGAGCCCUAACAAGACAGACAAAUUGCCUAUGAAUCGUCUGGUGACAAGAUCUAUAAACCCCUAACCCGUAUCCAUCGCCGGAACAGAGUUCCAGAGCAUUGCCAGAACUUUCAGAACAUUUAUAGAUAAUUUACAAUAAUUACUAUUCACUUUUUGAAAUUAUUCGUUGCGCCCCUCAAAUGGACCCUCGAAGCCCAAUAUGAGCAUUGGAAUCGAGUCGAAACUUAAUCGAAAACUCUAAAAAUUUUUCAUAGAUUUUCAAAAAUUUUCUAAGUUUCAGGGCUCACACGCCUAUGUGGUCCAAGGGACACGCUCGUGUGACCCUACAACAUGCCUAUGCAGCAUGCCGUGUUCGACCCCGUGUAACUCUUUGACUUGUACCACACAGUCGACCACACACCUGUGUGAUAGGCCAUGUGGUUAAAUAAAUUCUUCGAAAUUAGGUGCAAGUUUCACACGGCCAAGACAUACGCCCGUGUCCUAGGCCGUGUAGCACACACGGCUAAGACACACGCUCAUGUCUCUGCCCGUGUGCUCAAUUCUGAGCAUUCUAUUUCUCAAAUUUAAGGUGCAGAGGACACACGGCCUAACCACACACCUAUGUACCAGGCCGUGUGUUACACACGUCUAGAAACACGCCCAUGUGUCUACCCAUGUGGACAAAAUGAAGCCAUUUCAAGCUUCAUUUCUCACCCAAAAUCACACCAAUAACUUGCACUUAAACUCACAUCCAAAUACCAACCUUUUCAAGCAUUCAAAUUAAGCAAACUCUAUCAUUCAACAUGGCAUAUCAUUACAUACAUACAUGUUUAUAAUCUUAGCUUGGUAUAUUCCAUAUGUUAGACAUAAUUUUAUCAACUACUUAACAUGCAUGUAGCUACCAUAGUAUGACAUUACAAAUAUAUAUAUCAAAAAAACCAUUACUAAUCAUUCCAAUAGCUAGAUUACAAACCACAUAUUUAAGCCAUCUCUGGCCAAGUUAGUCUAUACAUGCCAUUAUACCAAAAUGAUUUUACUAUAUAUACCCAAAAUAAGCUAGUGGAUAGUGUGACGAUGCUCCAAUGAUCUCCAACCUUUGUGAGCUUCCGAGCACUAUAAAACAGGGAAAAUAAAAUCUAGUAAGCAUUACAUGCUUAGUAAGUUCAUAUAACGGAAACUAAACUUACCAAUCCCGUUUAUUAAAUCUAAGCAUACAAUAUCAUGUUUUCCAUCAACUUGGCAAAAUUGCCUAAACACAUGCAUUCAAUCAAACAUGUUAGUCACAAAAUUUUCAUAUACAUCAAGUAAACAUGGAUGACCUCAUCAUACAAUUUUCCUUCAAGACAUUAUUCAUUUCAUUCCAUAAUUCUCUUAUCAUGCCAAUUGUUGUGUCCAUUGAAUCAUUGACAUUCCGAUGGAUACUCAAGUAGUAACUCAAGGUGUACAAUUCAAUAACUUGUCAAUUCUUAUCCAAGAGUACCCAUUAAGGCAUUUAAUCAAAGAACACACUCUCGAGCCACAUAUCGUAUUAUAGGAUUACCAGUCCAGGCUAAAUCCUUUAUGUAAUGUAUGCUCAGAAGAGCUCAAUUAGGAUUACCAAUCUAGGCUAAAUCCUAAUUGUAACAUAUGCUCGAGAGGGAUUAUAUCAGGAUUACCCGUCCGGGCUAAAUCAUUUCUAUAAUGAGAUCAAUUGGAUUACUCGUCCGAGCUAAAUCCCGUCAGCAACAAAUGCAGUACCUCAUUUUAUAAGUCAAUCACAUUUAUCCAUCGAAAUUCAAUAUUCAAACGAGAUUUUACCCUUUUUCUAACAUUUCCAAACAUGUAAUCAUUUCACACAUUUAUAAUAUUCACAUAAAUGUAAAUCACAUAAAUAUAAAUCAUAUUGCAUACAAUCAUAACAUUCAAGUUAACAUAUUUACAUGCUCGAUUAUGUUACACGAACUUACCUUGACACUUGUUCGCGUAAAUAAUCUACUAAUCCGAAGCCUUUCCUUUUUGUCGAUCUAACCUCAAAUUUGUGUUGUCCAGAUCUAUAUAAAUAAAUUUAAUCAUCAAUUUCACACAUUUCAUAUUCAUUUGGACUCUUUUUACAUCCUAGGCAAAAUUACCAUUUUGCCCCCAACUUUUCCAUAAAUUCCAAUUUCCUCCCUAGGCUCGGAAAAUGAAAUUUAUUCAAUUUACUCCCUAUUCCAAGCCUAACCAAAAUUUCAACAUAAAAUUUACAGCACAUAUUUUUUAUAAAUUUUAGAAUUUUUCAUCAAUUUUCACAACUUUACAUUUUAGUCCCUAAAUCAUAUUUUCAUCAAAAAUCACUUUGUAAAAGUUGUUUAUCUAUCAACAACCUUUUAUUUUCCACCAUAAAUUUUAAAUUUUCAGCAUAUUCAUCCAUGACCUAAUUUCCAUACCUUGAUAACUUUUCAAAUUGAUCCUCCAAAUAGAUAGAUUAAGCUAUCCCAGUUUCAAAAAUAUCAAAAUUACUAAAAACGGGACAAGAAAACUUACCAAUUAAGCCAUGAAAGUUUCUUCUCUCUCUCCUAGGGUUUUCGUAUAAUUUUGGGGAAGAUGAUGAUAUAAAAUAAGAUGAUAAUUCUUUCAUCAUCUUUUAAUUAAUUAAAUUAUUUUAAUUUUCAAUUUAGUCCUUGCCCUUUUUCUAAAUUUCCAUGGAUGAGUCACUAAAAUAUCUACAUACUUUUUUUAAUGGUCUAAUUACCAUAUAAGGACCUCAAUUUUUGAAUUCCAUAGCUAUUUAAUCCUUUUAGCUACUAAAAUUCAACUUUUGCAUUUUAUGCGAUUUAGUCCAUCUCGUAAUUAAGUACUUAAUCGAUAAAAUUUUAUUAUCAGAAUUUUCACAUGACAUUUCUAACAUAUUACCGACCAUGUAAUAAAAUAAAAAUAAAUUUUAUUUUCGGAUCAGAUAUGUGGUCCCAAAACCACUGUUCCGAUUUCACUAAAAUUGGGCUAUGACAAGAUCCAUCAAUCGGAACCGUUACAUGUUGAUUAGCUUAUUUACUUGAUAUUCUGAUAUUGUGAAUUAUCAAUUUUUUAACAUCACUGAGUUUCAUUACUUAGUGUACGGUUUUGUUUGUUACCAUGCACAAGCUUAGAUGUACCUUUGGAAGUUGAUUCAUUAGUUUCCAGCAACCAAAAACUUUAGUACUCAGUUUUAUUGUUAAAUCCAUUAUGCCUCUUUAGAUUUAGUGGAAUAAACAACAUGUACCUAAGUCAUAAGGAUUUUUCUUACAUGCUUUAUAUAUGGGUUUGAAUAAUUAGAUGUUGUGAUCAUUUGACAUAGAUGUUAGUUACAUAUUUUUUAACUUAUAGCAAUUUCAUAAACAAAAUUUGAUUUUUGGUUUGAGUGGACUUAUAUGUGCUUUAAUAUUACCAAUUACUUGUCUAUCUAUAUUUUGAUAUAGUGAAUUAGAUUCCUUGAUCUUUUGUGUUUUUAAUUUGUUUUUAUGUUAAAAAUGUGUAUAUUGGUUGGGAUCCAUAGUGAAUAGGUUUAGGCACUCGCGUCGCCCCAUUGAACAAACUUUCUAUUGGAGUAGAAAGUGUCUAUCAACGCUUGGUGGAGUGGAGCGGAAAGUUUUUUGCUAGCACUCAUUGGAGGCAAAAAAAUCUUUUGUUGGAACUGAAAACUGUUAGUACAAAAAUUUUGGUGAGGAAAAUCUCAAACACACGAACGAAACACGAACAUUAACUUGAACAGAAAACGAGGAAAUAGGACAAGGCUCUAAGGCGGGGGUAUCAAGCCACUAUCUUUAAGGUUCAAUUUACCCCCAAAUAUACUCAGUGUGCAAAUGAGUUUCAAGCAAAUGAACCUCGAAGAUACAAUGAAGCCCGAUGAUUAUUUGUGUUUUGCACUGAAGAAAAUACUCCACUAAGCAUUGAGCAAUCUACAACAAGAAAAUCAAUUUCUAUAAAGAAUUUCUACAGUAACUCUUUAUAGAACAAUCUAGUAAUAUUAGAUGGAGGAAAGAUAAAAAAAAAAUUAGAACUUGUUGGUAUGAUUUUCAAAUGAAAUCUCAUUCCUAUUUAUAAAAAUUUUCAUGUCUCUUCAUAGAGACAUCUUUCAAUAGGUGUCUUUUCUGAAUUAUAAUAUGUUUAAAAGAAGAGACAUAAGGAGUCAUCUAAUAUCUCUUGAUUAAACAUAACUAUUCAAAUAAUAUUGUUUGGAUAGUUAUAAUUCUUUGUCAAUAACCAAAAAGAUAUAACUUUUGAAUAAUUACACCAUUUCAUUUAUAGUUAUUGGAAAACUACAAAUAUUAUUGAAAAUGUUCCAACAAAAAUUUUCAUAAUGGCAUAUAUCAAGUUAUCCUUUCUCCAUGCUAUGUCAAACUUAUAUUAGAUAAAAAAAAACACUCGAAAAUGAGUCCAAUUUAGCACUAAUAAUUUAUAAUUUAUUAAAAACAUAAAUAAAAUAAAAUUCUUAAAAUCCUACUAGAAUAAAAGAGUAAUAACCCUAAGAUAUUAAAGUUAUUGAGGUCUUAUUCAUGCUUAUAACAUAUCAUUUGAUCAAUAUUCAUAUGCCACACUUGUUUAUUUUAGUUUAGGUGUUAAGCCUUUGUUCUGUUUCAGUUACUCUUACAACGGAUAUGACAUUGUGUAUCCAAAUUUAUCGAUUGAGUCGAGUGUAAGGUGUUACAAAAUACAUUAAAAAUUAUCAAAAAUUACUUUCUUUCCCUUCAAUUUUUAAAUUUUGAACAACUCUUUUUCAUAAUUCUUGUCACUUCUUUUUUUUUUACAUUCUUUGGAUUUUUAAUAUAUAUUUUUAUUUCUUUUUCAAUUUUUUAAAAAAAAUUAAAAUUUUUAGAAAAAAUUUAAAAAGUUUUAUUAUAAAUUUGAAAACAUUUAUAUUUUUAAAAUUUUAUCUAUUUUUCUUUUACUUUCUUUUGUUUUAAUUAAAAUUUUAAGAGUUUUAUUAUUUUAACAAAUUUUGGAAUUUUUAUUGAAAAUUAGGAAAAAAAAUUUAGAUACUUUUUUUGUUUGAAAAUUUGAAACUUUUUUAAAUAAAAUUUCAUUAUCAGACUUUUGUUAUUUAUAAUACUUGAUUCUAAUUUUAAUUAUUCAAAUUUGUAUUUAUAAUUGUAUUUAUAACUUUAAAAACCAUAAAAUUUCAACUUACAUUUAAUUUUCCAUAAUUAAAAGAAAAAAUAAAUUCAAUUCUUUUUAUAUCAAGUAAAUAUAAUUAUUUAAUUCUUUUUCACAUUAAAUAAAUAUAAUUAUUUUGUAUACAAUAAAUAAACAUAAAAUUAUACCGCAGUGUUAAUCAUACUAAUUAUUUGUAAAAAUUAAGUAAAAAAAAAUUAUAUAUGCAAUUAUAACCAAUAAAUUGAAGCACAAGCACAAUACAAAUUUGAUCAGAACUAGUGUAAUUUUGAAAUUUAUCAUUUUUUUAAAAUUUUACAUUUAUUUCAUCUAGAAUCUUUCCACUUAUGUUUUGUGUUCGAUUAAUUAUUUUUUAGGCUAAACUAUAAAGUAAAUAUUUUAAAGGUUAAAAUAUUUCCAAAGUACUUAUUGAUUUAAGCAUUGUAUUUUUAUUUUUAGGAAGUUAAGUUUUUCUAUUUUUCGUAUUUAAAAAUUCAAGUCCAAUUAUUAACACUAUUAAAAUUCUUCUAUUAAAUAUUUUAGUGUGAUAUUUUGAAAUUAAAAAAAAAACUCACUUGGUAACAAUGUAAAUAAAAUUGUAAUCAUUUAUGAGUUUAAUAGAAAAUUUAACGAUGUUUACAGUUCAUAGAAAUACAUUAAAUAAAGCAUCCAAAAUGUCAAAAUUUAAAAUAUAAAGAUUAAAUCUCAAAUUUGAGCAAAAUACAAUAACUGAAAAUUCAACAUUGCUGUAAUUGGCGUGUAGCGUGAGAGAAAUGUUAUAAUGUGCAACUAACAAAAGAGGUAUCAAAGCCCAAGCACAGGUCACAGAUAUUUGACAAUUUGUUUAUUCAAAUUUAUGAAAGCUAAUCAGUUUGUUUGCUUAUAGUGCAGCUAAAGAAUACAAAGACAUUCUCAAGAAAAAGAUGUCAAUAUAUAGCACCAAUGUCUACCAUGAACUCUAUCUAGAGACUAGCCACCCAACCAAUGCUGCAAUUAAAACAAAAACAAAGAAAUAGCAGCUUUAAAAAGAAUCCGUAAAAAUACAAGGAAACACAAUUGCUUCUACGCCAUUGGAAAUGUCAAAUGACAAGCCACCGCCACCAGCACCUGCGGUCCUUAAACACCACCUGUGAUAGCUUCUCAGGUUUCACAUAACAACAUCCUUGACCAUGACUCCAAACAAAUGGCUUUUCUGAAGUGAAAAUGUCUACAGAAUCAAAAGAUAUCAUUGCAUCAAUCAUCGUUGACCAAAUCCAAUAAGAGUAAACAUCAGAGAAAUUUGCUCAGAAAAGCCUUUGGUGAGUGGUGUGACAUAGUCACACAAGUGGGAGAUGUGCUGCUCAGCAUAAUCUAUUCAAACUUUUUCCUGGGCCAAGACCCAAAUAUCACACUAUUUGCCACGAUAUAUAACUUAACAAGACACUUUCAUGAUCAUUAACAUGGGCAAAAUAUGUAGAUAGUUAUAUUAGUGGUAAACCAAGUGCAGAUUCAUAGGGAAGCAAUAAUUGGUUGUUGACAUAACAGGGUAACUUGUCUCCCUAAGCUAAAGGAUGCCUAUACUUCCAUUGCCCCUGAGAGGCUCGCCAAAAUGCCAGAUCUGUAGUAGAUAUCAGACUUGCCAUCAGAUUAAAAGAACAAGACAUGUUUUAACUAUAGCAGUAAUAUUAUGAUAGUAAUCCUAGUAGUACAAGACCAAGCCACUUUAAUCUCCAAAAUAUAACAACAAAGAGGAUUGAGAUAAGAAUCCCACGAUAAUUUUUAAGUUCCCACUGGAAGCUUGGAUAGCCUCGUUCAAAAAACUCAUCACCUCUUCCUCCCACCACGUUCCCUCAAUGAAAGAGCAAGCGUUUCUCCUGCUCCAACAUUGUAAUAUGCAAGGGUCAUAUUGUCCUUCAGAAACCCAGCUUUUCCACUCAAUUUCUGCUUAUUUGCAGGAAGCUGAAUUUCCCCUGCAAUUUUCUCCUUCAAACUGCCAACUGUUUCAGAUAAGGCCUGCACAGUGAUCUCAAGAAGUUGUCCUUUGAGAUUCCCUUCAUCAAGGUUGGGAACAGACACAGUAAUGCAAGCAGGACCCUAAAAGAUAGAACCACCAAUAACAAUCAGAGCAUAAUAAAUUAAAGAUACCAUGCGACAAAUAUGUUAAAAGAAACACAAAGAAACAAAACUUGGGAAAAAGCAACAGCUCCCCAUACCGGAUGUUGAGCAAGAAACUGAUCUUCUGGAACAAGCUUGGCAUCAUCAAGUUUCUGUCUUUUUGGCUCUGGCUCAUCAGGAAGUGGUGGAGGAGCUUCUUCAGGUGGUGGUGGUGGAGGAAUUCCUUGAGGCAAAGGUGGAGGUGGCUGCAUCAUGGGCAUAGAAGGUGGUGGGACAGGAAGUGAGGCAAAGGGUCGAGGAACUGAGACAGCAGUAAAUUGAGAACCAGGUGGAGGGGGCACAGGCAUAUUAACUGGGUUCAUGGACAUUGUUGGAGACAUUUGUGGUGGUCGAUUCAUCAUCAUGGAUUGUUGGCCAGGUGCCAUCUGCAUAGGAGGUGGUGCCUGACGCAUUGACUGCAUUACUGGAACACCAAUUGGACGAGGUUGAGGUAACGACAUAGGAAGCCCCCCACUAGAUGCGGCAGAAUAUUGGGGAGCAUUUGGAGGAACACGAGGGAGGUUUAAAGCUAGUCCAGGAGGUGGGGGGAGGGGACGAACAGAUGGGACACCAGGUCGAGGAGGAGGAGCAGCAGGACCAGGAAGGUUCUGUGAAAUGCUGUUAGCAGCAUCAUUUUGAUCUUCUCCCAUGAUGGUUUGAGACAUAGCCUGGUUUGCGGUUCGUCCAAUGCUUCCAGUGUGACCAUCCCAUAUAACCUGUUUUGGUUGCUCAUCUUUCUUUUUCUCAAUUUCAGCCUUGACAGCAUUAGAUACUUCUUCCUCAGUGGUACCAAAGAUAUCAGGACGUGUGCGUGCAAGUCCCACAAUGUUUCUAGAUAUCUCAUCAUCCUGAGCAAGAGUUGUCUCCCUAAUCUUCGCAAACAUCCUUUCUUUCUGCUCCUUGUACUUGGGAUCAAUUAAGGAAAUUCUCAUGUGUUCAGACAUCUCAUUAAUGGGAAUUAGCUCACCAGUUAUUGGUGAGACAACAAACUUGGUAGGAUCUCUUUCAGCAGUGAUUCUCUCCUCAGGCCUCUUCCAGUUCUUCACAAUUCUCAUUGGUGGUUCAGGGUCCUCAUUUACCCUUAUAUCCUUCUUCUCACCAUCAUUCUCUCCAAUGCUAGCAGCUCUCAUGCCUUCCUCAACAAGCUGUACCUCUUCUUCAUCCAUUUCCAUUUCCACCUCCUUUCCAGGCUCAACAAUCUCAUCUUCUUCCAUAGCAGUGAUCUUGCUCCUCCUUAUUACCUCCUCAAUGGUCAUUGGGGGAGGUAAGUCCUCGUCCUCGUCAUCAGCAAAGUCUAUAGUCUCAACCACAACAAAAUCAUGCCAAUCAAUCAUUGCCAUUUGCAUUCUCUCCUGCUCAAUUUCAUCCUCAGCUUUCUGCCUUGCCUGCUCCUGCGAGCGUUCCCAUUCCAGCCGGUGCAAGCACCUCUCAAGCACAGUUGUCAUAUCAACAACACUCUUCCUCAACUUUUCUGUCAAGCCCUUUGGAGGCAUCAACACUUUGGAAUAUGCAUCAGCAAGUUCAGUGAAAAAGGUAAACAUACUGUGAGUAGGCCUUAAAAAAUUGAACUGGGGAUUAUUAAUCUCCCUACUGGUCAACCCAGUCAAGAAUGAUUUCCCAUUUCGUGCAACAAACUGUGCAGUCAGCUUAAUAAUAUCCAACUCUUCCCCUGUAAUCCCUUCAGGAAGUCUAACAGUAUAUUGGGCUGCUUCCGGUGGUUCAAGAUUCUUCCGCACAGGCAUUCUAAACAGCGAAGCGGGAUCAGGCUUAGCUACUGCCACUACUGCAUCAUUCCCAUCUGCAGCUGCAGCUGUAGCAGUCUCAGCUGGAGCUGAAUCAGCAGACUGCAAUUGCGGCUGCUGCUGCUGGGAGUUGGGCUGGUUCUGAUUCUGAGCACGAAACUCAGACAACCUAUGUUGAUAAUACGCAUGGUAUGGAUCUGAACUAGUCAAGAAAUUGAACUUGACAUUGUUAGCGUUAUUAGCAAUGAUUCUUUUCUCGAAUUCGGGUCCAUUUUUGGCAACAAACUGAGCAGUUUUAUCAACAAUAUUUCUAAUAUCAGGAGGAGGAUGAAUGAUUCCAAUAGUUCUAGUAUGAGUUGCAACUGAGUUAGCUUUGUUCUGUUCUUCAUUCGUUUGAAUCUCCUCAUUUUGAGCCUCUGGCACCUGAGAUGGAGGUAAUGGGCCUAAAUCCCCAUCAGAAGGGGGUGCCGGAAGGGGCAAUAUUGGCAUUACCCCUGGCAUUUUCACUAGACUAACAAAAAAACCCUAACUUAUAGACGAAAAUUAAAAUCAACCACCAUGAACCUGCAAUUAACAAAUUUUAAACAAAAUAAAUCAGUCUAUUCCAAAAACUGGUUGAAAAUCUAUGAAAAUGUUAGGGCACAAAAAUAAACGGUAUAAUGAAACUUAAACUUGUUACGUCCUUUAGGUCAAAUUUCUUACGAGGAUUUUCUUCUAAAAGAACUAAUAAAUUACAGAUUGCAAAUCCAGAAACCAAAAAUUCGUAACAAAAACAUCGCCACCGAUCAAAGGGACAUAAAAAGAGAGAAAUUAAUAGAAGAAAAGAAAGGCGUGAAGCUAACCUGAAAAUCCCCUUCCGUCUCUUUUUCUUUAAAUCUGCGCUGCGAAUCAGAGGAAAAAUUUUAUUAUGGAGGAUUUCAAAGAUAAGAGUGUUUAAGAAUGAGGGCAAACAGAAUUUUUUCCAAAAAAGGAAGGAUGGUGGCGCAUUAGGGUUUAUAACACGGUAGGCUGGUAGUUGGCUCGUUGUUGAAUAUUUAAAGCCCAAGCCCUUUUAUAAAUGGUUUAAAUUCCCAUUUGGCCCCUAAACUUCAUGCAUUCUCCCAACUUGAUACUUAAAGUUUUUUUUUUCUAAUUUAGAUGUUAUUUGAUAAACCGAAACAUUAAGUAUUGAAUUUUAUGAGUGGAGAAUUUACAUUAUAAAAUCAUGUUAAUAAAAUUUAAUUAUCGAAUAUAAUUAUGUUUUCUAAUAAUAAUAAAUUUUUAUGUUUGAAAUUACUUAUUUUAUAUUUUUAAUCUUAAGCUCCGUUUGUUUGCAAGUAAAAUAUUUUCCGAAAAAUGAUUUCUGGAAAAUGAUUUACUUUUCUAGAAAUAAUUUACUUUUCUGGUGUUUGGAUGAAUCUGUGUAAAAUAUUUUCUGUUGUUUGACAAAUUUCCUAAAAAUAAUUUUCGAAAAAACUAUUUUUACAUUAUAUUAAUAAAUUUAUAUAUAUUAAUAAAUUUAUAUUUUAAAUUAUUUUUACAUAUAUAUAAAUGAUUUAUUUAUAAAUAAAUAAAUCAAAUUAAAUAUAUAAUCAUACUCAAUUAUUGCAUUGUUCAUUCUUUAUCCGGAUUUGUUGCAUUGUUACUCUAGAUUUAGAUAGAGCUUUAUACUUCAUCCGGAUAAAGUGUUCAAAAACUCCAACAAAUGUAACUUUAUAAAGAGGAACAGAAAAUCAGAAAGAAAACCAUUUGUUUGACUAUAUAGAGCCAAUAACUUAUGCAUGAACUCGAAUGUUUGAUCACAUAAACAACAUUUUACAAGAGAACAGAAAAGAUACACGACAAAUGCACUUAAAUGGGGGCAUGCAUACCCAUGUUACGCUAGUGCCUGAAAACUUACCUAAACAAUGCCCAGAACAUCAAUAAGCCUACACCUUGCAGAGGAAACAACAAAUGCAAAGAAAGAUUAUAGCACUACAAUGGAAUUUUCUCCACCAAUGAAAAUGGCUAUUUCAAGCAAACAAAUGGCUCUGAGUUUUAAUUGAUUUGUGCAUUCAUGAAGCUAAGAAGAAGAGCACAAAUGAUGUUUUACAAACAAAACAUGUUUGCACACAUAUAUAUGAAACACCAUUUGUUCAUAUAAAAAGUAAAACCUGCAACUACAGAUCAAUUACAAUGUUCUUCUCUUUGACUUUCUAUCCAUCGUCAACAAAAUCAAAGUUAUGCUAAUGAUGGCGACGCAACAGCAAAUAUUAUAACCGAGCAAUGACAUGAUUGAAUGUAAAACCGGGACAUUAUCCUUAAAACAACAUGCUCACAACAUAUUAGGCAUUGAAUACAGCGUCAUCUUCUAUUGCUCGAACAGCUUGAAGAGGACCACUACCAAACAUGAAGCCUCGAUCGGAGAGAUUGUUCAAAGGACCAUCGCCAUAUAAACAUACCUGUGGUUCAAUCCGAUUCAAGCGCUUCCACUCAUCAUCUGACAGAGACCAGUUAAAUAUGUCAAUGUUUUGCUUUAUCCUGUCGGGUUUUAGGCUACAUGGUAGAACACUGGUUCCUCUUUGAAACCCCCACCAUAAAAUUACCUGCAAACAAGCAAAGCAGACGGACAUGUCAAGAACAUAUUCAGACAUGGAUACGGAGAUACAACCUUCCAAAAAUCUUUCAAAUACAUGGAAAAACUGAGAAAAAUUAACAUACCCACAUCGGACUUAGAGUCCAAGUAACAUAGUUCUAAUAAAAAUGGCUGUUAUGAUCAACAUUUGCUCUACCAUAAAUGAUCGUGAUCCUAAAUGCUCCGAAAAUGACAGACAUGCUAAAUAACCCACAAAUUUGGAUUCUUGUAGUUGUAAGUUUGAUAAGAAAACCAUGCACUAUAUAUAUGAAGUUUUAAAUACAUAAGAUAUCCCAUGCCAACCAUCAUGCUGAUGUUAAAAGAAAAAAAUCCUUGGGCCAAUCCUGUUGCAUAUCUCAUCGCAUUUCCAAACACAUCUAUUACAGCCCAAUCAUGAUAAUACAAACAUAUAUACUCAUAAAAGCAUAAGACUGUUCCUUGCACAGAUAACUUUAAUCAGUUGUAGGCUUCCCUUAUUAUAUGGUGUUAUUUUGUUGGGACGGAGUUGAAUGCAACUCUUUUUCUCCAAUGUUCAAGCUUUGUGUUAGUUCUGUGAGUCUUUUGUCCACUUUGCUGAAUGCAAGGUUAUAGCAUCUGAAAGAUCUAAAUUCGGCUACUAGAAAGUAGUUGGGCAUACAAGACUGACCUAGAGAUUCAACAAAUUUAACCAUAAGCAUACGGGGAAGAGUUGGGUAAGGAAGCCCCUCCCUCUUUACUUUUGUUGUGAAAUGGCAACUAGUCUUAAAUUGUUUCAUAAAGUCUGACACAUUGAUGCAUAUAAGUGAAUCCUAUAAUAUGGAUUUUUGUUUUCUCCCACAAAAGAUACUGAUAUUCCCAACUCUUCUCAGUUUUGUUUCUGCUAAAAGUAUAGAUUUAGUUUUGAUAGAUGAUAAACACAAGCUCUAACCGAGCUCUUGUGUCAGGUCAGCGAAUAGCUCUAUGUUCAAGUAGACCCUAAGCAGGACGCAUCUAAAUUUUGUAUCCAUAAGCAUUCAUUAUAUACUUGCGCACUUCAGACACCGGUAAUAAUAUAAAAUAGUUCAAUUGUGUUUAUUAUUGUACCUUCCACCUUAUAUCAUUUUGACAUUCAGAAAUGAUCCCAUAAAUCCGAAAACAAAGGGAUAAAAUAAUUUGUCAGUUACCAGGAUCAAUAGGUUGAUAUUUUACAUCAAUGAUGAGGUCAACAUACUGUCAACAAAUUUGAAGUUGUUCAUUAGCCUACUUUAGGUCCGAAGAAACACAGAAAACGGAAGGUAGAAUGAUAAAUAAAGUAAAACUAGAGAUGAUAUUGUUAAUAAAAGGUAUACCUGCUCAGUUGUCUUUUUGUGCCUAUCUGCUAUCUCUCCAACAAUUGAUAAUUUCAGCAUCGGUCCAUGUACUGAUCUAGACCUCCAAAAUGAAAUCCGAGGAGUUCCGAGUUCAUAUUCCCCACCCGAUCCACUAUCGGACACUCCAGGACUUGAAGUAGGUACUUCCAAAAGCGUAUGCGCCGAUACAUGGAUACACUUCAUUUGGCAGAACUUCACCAGCUCAUCUUGCCUCCAAAAAGGAUGCAACUCCACCUAUAAAAAAAAUAUGAAUUAGUUGUAAAACUCAAUGAAUUUCGCCAGAUAUGGGAUUCAAAAAACAGAAAGAGAUCAACGAGAACAAUAAAGGUCAAUAUCUGGAAAAGUCUUACGAAAUCGAAGUGACAAACAAAACGAUGUGCAUCAACUACAACAUAAACAAAUAUUCUAAGUCCAUCAACUAGUAAAGUUUGCCUCAAAUGUUGCGGACUCGCAUUCGAACAUUGUAGAAAGGACUGGAGCUCACCAACUCCGUGUUCUUAGCUAGGCAAAUAUAUUUGGAUCAAAAAGAGAACUUAGAAAUCAUCUCAAAUUAAAUGAAUGCAAGCAAAAGUUCAUAGAUUUAUGCUAGCAAAUUUCACAUUUGAGUCACCAACAAUUAUUCCAAUGACUACACAUCAAUCAACAUAUGGACAAAUAUGUAAGCAUUCCUUUAAUUUCACGGUAAAGUUCUCAACAAAUCUACAAAAAGAUCGAAGACUGUAACAAAUGUAAAGUUAAAAAAUGCGUGAAAAUCUAUCAUACCUGAUUAACAGCAAGUACGAUUUUUGCGAAUUUAAUCAAUUCUUUGAUCUGAUGAACACCGAAAUUGCUAACACCGAUAGCUUGAACUAAACCAGAAUCGACUAGGCCUUCCAUGGCCUUCCAUACCUUCUUGAGGCGAUUCAGAAACUGCCUAUGCUCACUCCCAGACUUCAAAGGCGGAUCAGUUGCAUCACCAAAACCAGAGCUCUCAGGCCAAUGCAUCAAAUGAAAUUGAUGCCCACAUUGAAGCUUAGCCCACGACUGAUCCCCAUUAUCAGUAACCGUUUCGAGGCAAAUCGAGCAUGAAACAGAGCCGAAAGACUUCCCUACAUUUUUGCAAUCAACACAUCGCCUGAAAUACAGAAAAUAAAAAGCAUAAAAAACUUACAGAACAGAUGAAGAAGGGAAUUGGAUGAAGAAGAAGAAGGAAGAUGAAAACGGAAUAAGGAGAAAGAAUAUGGUGGAGGGGAGGAAGAUAUUCUGAAAAAUGUCUUACCGAUUAAAAAUCUGUAAGAAAUUUUCCCUAAAAUACUCAUCUCAUUUAAUGAUACUCAUCUCAUUUAAUGUGUUUUGUAAAAGAUUUUAGAGUAGGAAAAUAUUUUCAGCCAAACAAACGAAAAGCCUGAAAAGUUUUUCCUGAAAAUAUUUUACUUCCAAAUAAAUGCACCCUUAUUAAUAUAAUAUUAGCUUAACUCACAAAUUGCUAUUUAAAUUAUACCUUUUUUUCCUAUCUUGAUUCCUAAUUCUUUUCCUCGUCAAAUGUGGCACCUAAACUAUUUUUUUUCCAAGUUGGUACGUUCAUUGGGCAAAUUGUUAAGUUUAUUUUUAAAAAAAAAAAACUUAACCCAUGAAUCAGUACCUAAAUUAUGUAUUUUUUCUCAUUUUGAUACCUAAAUAUUUUUUUUAUUACAAGUGGUAUCUAAACUACUUUUGUUCAAAGCUAGUAUCUCUUAUAGUUUAAGUCUAUUUAAAAAAAAUAACUAAUUAAAAAUUAACAUGUGACAACAAAAGACAAAAAAAUAUUAUUUCUCUUGUAUAUAUGUUAUUCUUUUUUUUUUCUUUAGAAUAGGACAGAUGGUAGAACCGACCAAGCCACCAAUACUUGGUUUGACCAAUUCUUCCAAUUCGAUCAAAUAAAUUAUUAAAAAUUCAUAAAAACUAAAAAUAUGUAAAAUAGAGGAAACCAAUUCAAUUUUUUUAGCUUGGUUCAAUUAGUCUAUAUCCGUUUGCAGUUCAACCCCUAUCUUUGGACUGGUACCUAACCAAUUCUCAAUUCAAUCGGUCGUUUUGAUCCAAUUUUGAAAACACUUAUAGUUGAUGAAAUUACUUUUUUUAUAUUGUCAGGUCAAGUAAGAAGGCAAUGAAAUUCGAAAACAUAAUUAAUCAUUAACAUCUCAACUUUAGGAGAACAAAUUUCGAGCAUCACUGGUAUUGUGAUGCAUUAUAAAAGAAAAAUAAAGAAAAAUAAAGGAAAAUAAAGAAAAAAGAGAGAAAUAAUGUAAAAGAAAAAAGAAAAUAAAAGAAUUAUUUUUUUAAAAUUUUAUAUGAUAUAGAAAAUUAUUAUUGGAUGUAAAUUUUAUAUUGGAUAGAACAUUUUUGUAUAAAAUCGGUAAUAGAAUUAUGGUUGAAGUACCACUUUUGAUAAAAAAUUGUUUAGGUACCAAAGUGGGAAAAAUGCAUAGGUUAGAUACCAAUUUAUGGGUUAAGUCUUUUUUAAAAUUAGAUUUAACAAUUUGACUAAUGAAAGUACCAACUUGGGGAAAAAUAGUUUAAGUACCACUUGUGACAAAAAAAUUUAAAUACCAAAAAUAGAAAAGAGUAUAGUUUUUGAACCAAUUUGUGAGUUAAACCUAUAAUAUUUUAUAUUAUUUUAGAUAGCUUUAGAUAAAAUUAAAUAUAAUAAUUUGAAUUUUUUAACAACAAGUAAAGAGACAAUUUAUUUUGGAUAUUGUUUUUUUUAAAUAAAUUCAACUUAAUCUUUCAAUACUAAGUUCUAAAUAGCUACUUUCUUACUUAUUCUAUUUAUUCAAAAAAAAAUUAAACUUUUUUUGAAAAAAAUGAAAAUAUGUUAUGGUUUUCAAACAUAUAAAAAAUUAAAUGUUGAUUUUCUUUCAAUGAAAUGAAACUUUUCAAUAGUUUAUCAAAUGCAAAUGUUUGAAAUCAUUUUAAUAUAUUGUUCAAGUACUUAACAUUUUAAUGGUGUGGCAACUUCAUCUAAUAGUGAAGUCAAAAGUGUCACGUGAAUUGGUUAGGGAUGAUAAAAAAAUCAAACUCAACAAAUUACGACCUAAUUCAUUCUAAUAUGACCAAAGUUUUUUUUUUUUAUAAUCGGGUUCGAGAUGAGGCGAGUCUAAUUAUAAAGGAGUCAUGUGGUAAUCAAGUUUUGGGAAAGCCUAUCUUACUCCAAAAUAAUUACCAAAAUAUCAUUUAUAUAAUAUAUAUUAGCUAGGUUAGCUGUAAGACCCCAAAAUAUAUAAGGUUAGAUAUAUUAAUUAACUAAAAAAUGAUUUAGGGUGGGUUUGGACGGGCAAUCGGGUGGGUUGUGGUGCGGUGCAUUUAACUUAUUUUUUAUCUCACACUACAGUAUCACUACAGUAUCUAAUCUCACCACUACCGUUGUUUUUAUACUUAUUGCAGCUAAACGCAUUGCCCAUCCAAACUCACCCUUAGUCUUGAUGGUUAAGAGCUUAGUUUAUUCCCUAGAGAUCCUAAGUUAUAUCCGCUCCUCUCCCAUUUUUUUCUUUUUAUUUUUAGCAAACUAGGAUGAAAGUCAAUCUAAAAUAAAUAUUAAAUGGAGUAGAAAAUAAACAAGUGUGGGUAGCAUCUUAAUAGUUAACAUUCUUUCUUCUUUCCUUGAAUCCUAUGUUCAAGUCACACCAAACUCUUCCCCAUUUCAGAUCGAGAUCCCCAAUUUACAUAUCGGUUUUGGAAAAAGCUACAAGAGUCAUUAGGUACUCAUUUGGAUUUUAGCACUGCCUUCCAUUCGUAGUCUGACGGGCAAUCUGAGCAGGUAACACAAAUAUUGGAAGAUAUAGUAAGGGUUGCAUCAUCGAAUUUCGAGGCAGUUGGGAAGAACAUUUGCCCUUAGCCAAAUUUUCCUACAACAUCAACUUCCAAUCAAGUAUCCAAAUGGCACUAUAUGAGGCCUUAUAUGGUUAUAAAUGUUAAACACCUUUGUGUUGGAUCGAACUAGGUGAAAGGAAAGUUUUGGGCCCCGAGUUAGUGCAAGAGUCCGAUGGGAAAAUUAAACUGAUACAUGAUAGGCUAAAAGCUACUUUUGAUAGACAAAAUUCGUAUGUGGAUUUAAAGAGGAAGGACAUUGAAUAUAGUAUCGACGAUCAAGGCUUCCUGAAAGUGUCCCCAUAGUGAAAGGCGUUAGGAUUCGGUUAAAAAGGUAAGUUAAGUCCGAGAUUCAUAGGACCAUACCAAAUCCUUAAGAGAGUUGGUUCAGUUGUUUAUAAACUAAAAUGGUUCAGUUGUUUAUCAACUAUAUUACCUCCCGAACUGGAUCAAAUCCAUGACGUUUUCCUUGUCUCCAUAUUGAUACGAUAUCUGUAACGCCCUGUACCCGAGACCGUCGCCGGAGUCGAACACGAGGUGUUAACAGACUUAAUUCAUUACUUAAAUAGCUCAAACAAGUUAUUUUUAAAAUUUUCAGUCAAGCUAGCAAUCUGCGUCACAGUUGCUUAAAAAUUCAUAUCUCGAGUUCCAAAACUCGAAAUCCAAUUUUGUAAAUUUUCCCUAAAACUAGACUCAUAUAUCUAUUUACUAAUUUUUUUUAGAAUUUUUGGUCUAGCAAAUUAGUACAUUUUAUUAAUUAAAGUCUCCCCUGUUUCAGGGUUCAACUGCUCUGACCUCUAUGUAUUACGAAUCAGAUAUCUCCUUGUACAGAGUUUCAAUGACUAUUCUGUUUGUUUCUAAUAAAACUAGACUCAAUAAGGAAUCUGUACAUAUAAAUCCUGACUUAUAAUUAUCUUUGAACAAUUUAUGGUAAAUUUCCAAAGUCAGAACAGGGGAUCCAGAAAUCGCUCUAGACCUGUUUCACAAAAAUUUAAACAUCUCAUAAAAUAUAACUCAUAUACCUGUUUUGUUCCAUUCAUAUGAAAAUAGACUCAUAAUUCUUCAAUUCCAUAUUUUAUUCAUCAUCUAAUUAUAUCUUUACUAUUUUUAAUGAUUUUUCAAACUCACAUCACUGUUGCUGUCUAAAUCUAUUUUAUGGUAAAUUUUACCUAUUUCAUGGUUUCCAUGGAUUAGCUAGCAAUUUAGCAUACAUAACACCAAAUAUGAUCAUGAUUAGCCAUUCCAAUGGCUAAUCAUUACCAAGCAUUUCCAUACCACUCAAUAACCAUAUCAUAAGACCAUAUAUACAAAAUGAUUAUAAUGCUAUACAUGCCAUACUCAAAAUAUACAAGCCAUUAUGCCAAUAUGGUAUACGGAUAGUGUGAGUGUGCCUCCGACCGUUCCCGAUUUCCGAGCUGGCUUGUCAACACUACAAGGAAUGAAAAGGAGGGAGUAAGCAUAAAUGCUUAGUAAGCUCACAUGCAAAUAGCAAGUAACACAACUAUAUACGCAAGCAUAAAACAUCAUUUGCAUAAUCAUCACCGAGACAUUCAUAUCACAUUUUCAUUUAUCAUCUUACCAUAUUGUUGUUAUAUCGAGUUUUCAACCCGAGGGUUAAGUACAUACUUGUUCAAAGUAUUCAUUUCACAACACUUACCAAUACGUCCCUUUCAUCUCGAGUAUUCCUCCAUUUGAGUAGAAUUUUACCCGUUGAACACAUCGGAAUAUAAUUCGGAUACAUGGAAAGUUUGCACAUAAGUGCCACAUAUGUAGCCAAGCUACCAUGUAACCCGCCCAUAAGUGAACUCGGACUUAACUCAACGAGCUCGGAUGCCUAGUUACAUCUCUCGAACUCGGACUCAACUCAACGAGUUCGGACAUUCGCAUCCAUAAGUGAACUCGGACUCAACUCAACGAGUUCGGAUGCCCAAAUAUCCUAGUGACAUGUCACUUGUAUCCUAAUCCAUUCCUAAGGUUCAACGGGACCUUUUUCCCAAUCAUGUGUCUCAACCAUCUUCUAUGGAAUGCCGUUACCGAUACUCGGUAAUAUUUCACAUUUUCCAAGUAUAUCACAUAAUUUGACAUAUUAACAAACAAUUAUCACAGUAUAAUAUUUCAUAAUAAUUAUCAUAUCAUUUAAAUAACAUUAAAAUAUUUAAAAUAAUAACUAUGUUACCAACAUUUACAUAUGAACUUACCUCGUAUGCGAAAAUGACUACUUUUACCAUUUCGUCCACAACUUGGUAUUUUCCCCAUUUUAGCCCGAAUUUUAGUUUUCCUUGCUCUAUCAUUUAAAAUAUAGUCUAAUUAGGACUCAAAUUAUUCAAAUUGACCCAAAAUCAUAUUUUGGCAAAAUUACAAUUUUGCCCCUAAACUUUCGCAUAUUUACACUUUUGCCCCAAAGCUCGUAAAUUAAACUUCAGCCUAUUUUCUUAUGUUUUAUGACAUGCUGAUCAUUUUUUCCCUUCUAUGGUAACAUCAAAUUCUCACUCUAACAUGUACUUAUGACUAUUAGGUAUUUUUAUCGGUUAAGCCCUUUUGCUCGUUUUCACUUAAAACCGAGUAGUACAAGUUGUCUAACAUAAUUUAAAACCUCAUAUUCUAUCAUAAAACACCAAAAUACACAAAUUUCACCUAUGGGUAUUUUUCCAAAUAUGAACCCUAGGUUGAAUUAUUGCUAGCAUAAGAUUAAUCGAGCUACCGGGACUCCAAAAACGUAAAAAUCAUUAAAAACGAGGCUAGAACGGACUUACAAUCGAGCUUGGAAGCUUGAAAAACCCUAUCCAUGGUUUCUCCUUGCUAUAUUCGGUCAUGGGGUUGAAGAUGAGCAAAAUUGGCUUUUAAUUUUGUAUUUUAAUUCAUUUUACCCCUAAAUGACCAAAAUGCCCUUACUAUUAAACUUUCCAAAAAUUCCAUCCAUGUCCAAUUUUUGUCCAUAGACUUAGAAAUUGGUAAAAUUGCUAUUUAAGACCUCCUAAUUAAUAUUUCAAAACAAUUUCAUACUAGAAACUUCUAGAAUACAAGUUUUACAAAUUAUUCGAUUUAGUCCCUAAUUUCAAUUUAAGCACUUUAUGCAUAAAAUUUCUUCACGAAAUUUUCACACAAUCAUGCAAUCAUAUCAUAGACCUCAAAAUAAUCAUAAAAUAAUUAUUUCUAUCUUGGAUUUUGUGGUCACGAAACUGCUAUUCCGGCUAGGCCCAAAAUCAGGAUAUUACAAUAUCGCUCCGACCCUUCCCACAUUGUUCCAAUAGAAAAGAUUGAGGUAUGACUAGAUUUAUCCUUUAAAGAGGAACUUGUAAAAAUUCUAGACCGUGAUGUAAAGGUUCUAAGAAGGAAAUGAAUCCCUCUUGUUAAGGUUCUAUGGCGGAACCAUGAAAUUGAGGAGGCCACAUGGGAACCAGAAAAUGCAUUUCGCCAACAGUAUCCUGAUCUAUUCGAACCAAAUAAAUUUUAAGGCUGAAAUUUCUUUAAGGAGGGGAGAAAUUUAACACCCCCAAAUACAUAGGGUUAGAUGUAAUAAUUAACCAAGAAAUGACUUAGUCUUGAUGGUUAAGAGCUUAGUAUAUGUUGGAAAAUCGGGUAUGGAAAACACAACGAAAAAUAAAUUUAAGGAAAAACUAGAGUUUUAAAAACUUUUCCAAAACAAUAUCUUGGUUGUGAUAUCUAAAGUAAAAAAUACUUAAUCAAAAUUAUACCUUUUCGACUUGUCUAGGAUGAGAGCUUCGACCGAGUAGUCUUCUUCGUUAUCCUCAAGCCCACACUCGACAACCUCAAGCUCAUGUCUGUCGAGUGAGGACUCGCUUCAGAUCAGAAAAUUUUUCACAAAAAUUUAUUAGUGGGUAAUUUUACAAUUUCUCUAAAUUUUUGGGUCACGUUGUAAAAUAGAAAAAUAUCUUUAGAAGUUUUCUGGAAUAAUCUCUUUAGAGAAUUUUCUCUCUACAACUUUCUCUUGAAUUUAAAUGUCUGUAAAUAAUGACCUAAGGCUCUCUUUAUAUAUGAAGAGUUUAGAGAGUUCAACUAUGAUUAAACUUAAUCACUUUAAUAUUAAAUUAAUCAAGAUAAAUAUUAGAUUAAAUUUAAUAUUAAAUCUUAUUAAAAUAAUAGAAUGUUUGCCUACAAGAUAAACAUUAAAUUUAAUUUAAUAUUAAGAUGAUCGCUUUAGUAUUAAAUUAAUAAAAUAGUAUUAAUAUAAGUAUUAAAUUAAAUUUAAUAUUAAACUAUUAAAAUAAUAUUAUUUUUUGGAAUAAUUAAUUUAAAGUCAAAUUCUCUGGUAAAGUCUUACUAGGAUUGUAACUCUUCUACUGCUCAACCACUAAUGACCAAUUGUCGUCGGCCACAAAGACGCUGUCGUCGCAGCCACCAACACUACCAUGUCUGGUGAUGCAGGUGCGACACCCUUACAGCAUCCCGAGCCGGUUCGAUUGUUGCUAGUGUAACACUCUGAACCCCUAUCCGUUGCCAGAAUAGGGUUACGGGGAAUUACCGAACAAUACACAUCGUUCACAUAAAUAACAUAUACAUUUAUGCAUUCAUAUAUAAAAUCCAUUCAAAUCAUUCACAUUGUCCCUUUUAAGGCUCUAUGAGACCUUAAAACAUGCUUAGAAGUUGUUCAGGACUACAUGACAACAUUUACAAAGUUUGAGAAACUUAGAAAAUUUUUCAACAUUUAAGGGUCACACGCUCGUGUCACAGGCCGUGUGAAAACAAGGUAUACAUACUAACUUGCACCACAGGGCCGAGGACACGCCCGUAUGCCAUGGCCGUGGGAAAACUGGAGGAGUUACUGACUUGGGUCACACGGCCGACCACACGCCCAUGUGCCAGCCCGUGUGCUACAACGACCAGUAAACACACCCGUGUGUCCUGGCCAUGCCAAACCUGUAGGGUAUACUGACUUUAAUUCAAAGUGUUACCCCAGGGGGCAUACGGCCGUCUAGAAUGACUGUGUGUCGCACACGGCUGAGACACACGCCCGUGUCUUUGCCUGUAUGGACAAAAAUAGACCAUUUGUAAAGCCAAUUUGCCACCCUUCUUUCAUGCACACAAAGCAACCUAUAUGGUACCAUUACAAUACAUAUUUUAGCAACCAAAACAUGCUAUUCCAUUCACAUAUCAUGCUAUUAUCCACAACUAUUUCAACUACUCAAUUCCAUAUUCAAAAACAUACCUAAUUAAUAUGCCAAAAUCAUCAAGACUUAUUUAAGUUCUAAAUGCAUUUCCUCAUCAAAUUAUCAUCUAUAUCAUGACACAAAUUGCACCAUAUCAUUAUCUCAAAAUCAAACCACAAUAUGCCAAUUUUCCAAGCAUUAAUACAUCAUCUAAUAAUUAACCAAAUGAACAACCAUUUAGCUAUAUCAACAACUAUGGAAAACAUACCAAAACAAGCCAACAUUAAGGCAUUAUAUACAUCACAUAUAUCACUUAUCAAACAUGUAAUUCAAGCCAACUUAAAUGGCCAUACACACCAACAUUUACAAGCCAAAUCUCAUGGCUAAUAUCAUAACUCAAAACAUACCAAGAUGACACUAGCCUAUACAUGUCAUAUACCAUAUAUACAUAGCUCCCAAAAGUACCAAUGAAAUGAUUGAUAGUGUGAUGAUGUUUCCCGAUGAUUCUCCAGUCCGAGCUAGCUUCAAUAAUCUAUAAAAAUAGGGAAAGAACACACAAAGUAAGCUUCAAAAGCUUGGUAAGCCAUAUACAAAUAAAGUAAUCAAAUGAGUAUUUGCAUAUCAAUUCUAAUAUACUAAACAUAACUAAUCACUUUCAAAUUCACAAACCUUUCUCAUUGAACAUAUAUUCAAUGUCUUAAUCGAAUUCAGCAAAUACUUCCCCUUUUCAAUACUCGUGUGAAUUUCAUACGUACCUGAGCCACUUAGCUCAUUCACAUAUUCUUUCUCGGCUUGACUUUGCCCGUUGAACCAUUCGGAAUCGUUAAGGAUACUCGAAAAUCACAUAAGCUCAUACAAUGCCAUAUCCCAGAUAUGGUCUUACAUGUUAUCACAUAUCGAUGCCACAGUCCCAGACAGGGUCUUACACGUAAUCGAUUAAUGAUGCCAAUGUCCCAGACAUGGUCUUACAUGUAAUCACAAUACAAUGCCAAUGUACCAAACAUGGUCUUACAUAUAAUCUCAUCUCUGUAACCUAAUGUCAUGACAUUCGUAUCCUAUACUAUUCCUAAGGUUCGUACGAAAUUUUCGGAUGUCGUAACUCUGUCAAUUCUUACUCAUAAUUGCUCGUUCAACAUUUAUAACAAUUCAAUUACAAAUAAACACAUAAUAUUCAAUUUAAAGACAUUUAUUUGCAUAUGAAUUUACCUCGUAAUCAGAAUAGAGGGACCGGAUCAAUUAUUCGAUAACUUUCGAUUUCCCUGGAUCUAAAUCCGAUUUCUUUCGUUCUUGAUCUAAACACAUUCAAAAUUAACUCAUUUAUUCACCAAACCAUUCAAUUUAGUCUACAAACACAUAUUUGGGCUUUUUUCACUUUAGCCCUUAAAUUUUUACAUUUUUUACAAUUUAGUCUCUAUUUCAUAAAAACACAAUUUACAAUAAUUUCAAUUAAAUCCAAGUUAGCCAAAUUUCUAUAGGAUCCUUAACAGCCCAAAUUUAUCAAUAUUUUACACUUUUAACCACACAUUUUCAUCUUUUCACAAAUUAACCCCUUUUAUGAAAUUUCACUAAAAAUCACUUUACGAAACAUGAUAAUCUAUCAUCAAAAAUUCAUAUUUCAUCAUCAAAUACCAAAGAACACAAUAACUCAUCAAUGGAAACUCUCAAAAUCUUUAACAGUUUCGAAAAUUAAGACAAGGGCUAGCUAGUACUCAAAGCAACGAUCACAAAAACAUAGAAAUCAUAAAAAAUCGAGCUAAAACCGUACCUCAAACAUUUUCUUUUAUUUUAAUUAAAACAUAAGUUAAUAAUUAAUUUACUAAUUUGACCUUAGUUUAAAACAUUAAUAAAUCACAUAAUAUAAUGCCAUUAAUGUCCAUUAACCAUAUCAAUGGUUUAAUAACAUCAUAAGGACAUUUGGUUUAAUAAACCAUAGCAUUUAGGCACUUUAACCUAUAGCAUGCUACUUUUGCAUUUUAUGCGAUUAAGUCCUUUUUCUCAAAUUAAUCACUUAAACGAUAAAAUUAGCUCACAAAAUUUUCACACAUACAUAUUCACAUGCUAUAAACACCAAAAAUAAUAUUAAAAUAAUUUUAUGACCUCAUAUUUGUGGUUUCAAAACCACUCUUUCGAUUUAACUAAAAUCGGGCUAUUACAACUCUCUUCCUUUAGGGAUUUUUGUCCCCAAAAAUCUUACCAGUGAAUAGAUUUAGAUAUUGCUUUCUUAUAGCAUAUUCGGGUUCCCACGUAGCUUUUCCAACCCCGUUUCGAUGCCAUAAUACUUUCACUAACGCUAUUCUUUUAUUUCUCAACUCUUUGAUCUCAUGAGUUAGAAUUUGGAUCGGUUCUUCACUGUAUGAUAAAUCUGACUGAAUCUCAACUUCGGUCGGGGAAAUAACAUGCGAAGGAUCAGAUUGGUAUCAUUGAAGCAUUGAUACAUGAAAUACAUUAUGUAUCUUUUCUAACUCAGACGGCAAUGCUAGCCGAUAAGCCACUGGUCUAACUUGCUCGAUAAUCUUAUAUGGUCUGAUGAAUCGCAGACUCAAUUUUCCAUUUUGACCAAAUCAAAGUAUUUUCAGUAAUGGACCAUUUUCAGUAAAAUCGGAAUAGUGGUUUCGUGACCACAAAUCCGAUCUAGAAGAAAUUUUAUUUUAAUAUCAUGGCAUAGUCUAUAUUACGAUAGGAAAACUGCAUGAAAAUUUUGAUAGGAAAAUUUUAUUGAUUAUAUAGUUAAAUUGAUAAAAAGAGAAAAGAAAUAAAAAAAUGCAUUCUCGGGACUCCGUUCCGAUAAAUCAGAUUCGUAAAUAUUUAUUACAAAUAUUUACGAAGUUAGUUGUGUGUCUAAUUAGGUUUUGAUUAGGUGAAUUCGACUUAAUUAGAAGUAAUUAGGAAAAAGGAUUAGAUUGAAAUAAGUGUGAAAGUUUAAUUAUAGAUUAAAGAAAAUAAAAAGGACUAAAUGGGUAAAUAUGCCAUUAUUAUAAAAUGAGGCGGUUUAAUGUUAAAAGAAAAAAAAAUCUAAGAUAUUUUUGAUAUAAAAUAUAUAUUAUAUAUUAUAUUAAUUUAAUAUUUAAGUAUUAAUAUAUAAUAUAAUAUAUUAUUAUAUUAUAUAUAAUAUAAUAUAUAAAACAUAAAGUAAAGUAAAUUAAAGUAAAGAAACAAAAUAAAAAGAAGAAACAAAACAGAAUAGCAGGGACGAAACAGAGAAAAAGGGAGAAAGAAAAAGAAAAAGAAAAUUUGGGAUUUCAAGGGUUCAAAUUCAAUUUGGUAAGUCAAUUUAAUUCAUUUUCUUGUAAUUAUUGAGUUUUUAUGAUCCUAGAACAAAAUACUAUUAGGUAUAUGUUGAAACUUUGAGAGUUAAUAGAUUUUUUUAUAUAGUUUAUGUUGAAUUUAUGGAUAAAUUAGAGAUUGAACUUAUGAAAAAUUCAAAUUAGAAUUGAGAAAAAAGAUUGAAUUGUGAAAUAGAUUGCAAUAAGGAAUAAAUUAUAAGAAGUUUGAAAUUGGGGUUUAUUAGUGAAAAUUUGGGAGUUAAACUAAGUUAUAAGUGGAAUUUAAAUAAAAAUAAAGUAUAGAUUGUAAUAGAAAUGGAAAUAAUUUUAGUUAUGGAAUAAAUUGAAAUGUAUGUUAAUGUAGGAAAUGAUGAAUUUAUUAUAUCAUACAUAUUUAUUUUUUUAAUAGCAUAGGAAAGUCAUUUAAUUAUUUUUCUCUAACAUAUAAAUGUUAUAUGUUUUAUAUGAAAUUGAAGAGAAAGAAAAGAAAGGAGAGGACCUAAUUGAAGAAAAAGGAAAAGAGAAGGCUAAGGAGUGAAGGAAGACAUCAUCUCAAUCUUUUUGUUGUAAGUACUACAAGAUUUUUUUUAAAAUUUAUUUUAUUUAGAUGCUUAUAUUGUAGUAUAGAAUUAUUUAGAAAUAAAAAUGUAAUAUAUAUGUAUAUAUUUAAAUUUAUAAGUAAAUAAAUAAUAAUAAUAGAUUAUGGAAUUAUGAAAUUUGAAAAGAAAAUUAUAAUUGGAGAAUAUAAGAAGUUAUAUUGUUUGAACAUUAAGUAAUAAUGUUGUGACAAAAGUAUAUGUGUGAAAAAGAUGUGAUAUUUGUGAAUUGUGUAAUAUGCACUAAAUUGUAAUGAUGAAGAAAUGAGAAAUCUUUUUCGAGAUAUUUAUGUAAAGUAUUUAAAUGUAUGAAAUUCAGUUUUAAUGCCCAAGUAGAUGAGUUUAGAACUACUAGGAUAUUAGUGGCAUGCCAUUAAGGAACUCUAGCGCGUUCUCUGAUUAUUAGCACAUUAGUGCUCUCCGCUCUAUUAUUAGCACGUUAAGUGCUCUCUGUUUAGCACAUCUGUGUUCUCUGUAUAGCACUUUAGUGCUCUCUGUUCGUUUGUGCAUAAUAAUGCACUUCUGUAUUUGUUCCGUAUAUCCAGUGUGUUCUAUAAAGUCUACUUUGGGCUAAAGUUAUAAGUUGUGAACCAAAGCGAAUUAUCAAUGUACUAAGGUAAGUUUUAUAACUUAUAUAAUAAUAAAUUAAAUUUUGUUAAUAUAAGAUACAAUUAAAGAAACUUAUAUGCAUAUAAAUAUAUAUUGAUCAAAUGAGAUUAUAAUAUUUUAAUAGGAUUUAUUUGCCUAUUUAUUCUUUUAGUGCUUCCUAAGUCUUCACCGGCUUAACGCGUUUAAUUUUAACGCGUAGGUACAGUUAGACUCGAAGAGGUAGAGUCGGCUAAAAGAUCUCUCAUCUCAUCACAUCCUCAAGACCUUCAUAAGUAGGUACCAUAUUUUGAAUUAAAAGUGGCAUGUACAUAGGUGUUAUUUUGAUCACAUUAGAAUGUUACAAGACUGUUGUUGUAAAAAAAAUGGUAUUUAGUAUUUUAAUGUUUAUACUAAUUAAAUGGUAUAAAAGUUUAUAUAGUAUAUAUAUAUGGUAUUGGUUGUUUUUGGUUUGAACUUGCAGGGGGUUUUAUACAAAAUAAGCAAAAAUGCUGCUGAAAUUUAAAAAAAAAUUCGUUCCAUUCCUAAUACGUAUUUUGGGCCUCAAGGGUCUUUUAUAAAGACUUAAAAGUUAAAGUAUGCUAUGAAUAUUAUUUAUUUAUGAAUUAUUUCUAAGUUGUUCAGUAUGUCCGAUAAUGAUCUGUAACCCUGAUCCGGUGACGGUUUAGGGUUAAAGGGUGUUACAAGUUUCGAGAGGGAUAAUAAUAUAAUUUAGGGAUUUCUACGGAUCAAGUCAAAUGAAUAAAUCAUCUAAUUCAAGUCAAAUAAUAAGUAAAGUCUAGGUGGAUUUUUCCUUAGGUAUUGUAUCAAUCAAUCGAAUUUCCCCAAAAGUAUUUUCCCAAUUUUUCUUUCUGUGCAUUCUUAGUUUAGUAAUUAGUUUAAUAACCAAACCUCUUAAUUUUUAGGCUAGAUAAUAAAAAGGAAGUAAAUACUAGUACUCGUAGUUCCUUUGGAUUUGACAAUCCGGUCUUGCUGAACUAUACUACUGUUUGAUAGGUACACUUGCCUUAAUCGUGAUAAUAAGUUAGCCUCAAGAACGAUUCAUUCAUAAAUCUUUAAAACCUAUCACGAAUAUCACGUAGCAAGUUUUUGGCGCCGUUGCUGGGGAACUAGGAUAUUAGAAACACUCGAUUUUUAUUACUUUAGCCAUUUUACUUUUACUGCAAUUUAAAAUUUUGUUUUCUUUUCUAAUUCUUCAUUUAUUUUCUUCUGACAGGUUUUUAUAGUUUAUGACCAGAAAAAACUUGUCAGGACCAUUACUGUUCGAUAGUGAGAUCGAUCGCACAGUUUGCAGAAACCAAAGAGAAAUAAGGCGAAGCUUAUGAUACAUAGAGGAAGAGCAAGAGGAUGAUACUUCAACCACAACCGAAGAGAUGGCUGAAAACCAAGAAAAUCCGCUACCUCUUGCGAUUGCUGUUAAUCAGAAUCCUGCUCUGCGCACUAUGUAUGAAUAUGCUAAACCUUCUUUAAAAGGAACCGAAUCGAGCAUAGUUAGACCUGCUGUAGCUGCAAAUACUUUUGGAUUGAAACCUAACACAAUUCAAAUGAUACAACAAUUUGUUCAGUUUGAUGGAUUGCAGGACGAAGAUCCCAACGCUCACUUGGCAAACCUUUUGGAACUAUGUGAUACAUUUAAAAUUAAUGGCGUUUCUGAUGGCGCCAUUCGCCUUCAGUUAUUCCCUUUUUCAUUGAGAAACAAAGCUUAACAGUGGUUGAACUUGUUGCCACAGGGGUCAAUCACUACUUGGGAACAAAUGACCAAAAAGUUUUUAUUAAAAUAUUUUCCACCGGCUAAAACGGCUAAAUUACGUAAUGAUAUGUCUUCUUUUGUGCAGAUUGUUUUUGAAACACUCUACGAUGCAUAGGAGAGAUACAAGGACCUCUUGAGAAGAUGCCCUCACUAUGGGUUACCACUCUGGCUACAGGUUCAAACAUUUCAUAAUGGCCUGAAUCCUUUGAAUCAACAAAUGGUUGAUGCAGCUGCUGGCAGAACCAUCAAUAAUAAGACAUCUGAAGAUGCCUAUGAAUUUAUAGAGGAGAUGUCACUGAAUAACUAUCAGUGGCAAGCCAUGAGGACAAAGCCAACGAAAACAGUCGGCAUUUAUAACGUCGAUUCGGUUACUAUGCUCUCUAAUCAGGUAGAACUCUUAAAUAAGAAAAUUGAUGGUUUUCUUAGUUCUUCAUAGGUUCACCUAGUAAUGCAGUGUGAAGCAACUGGAGGUGGAUCAAGCAGUUCAGAAUACCCACCUUAUGGCCUCAACAGGGAGAACAAGCAGUUAAAUUACAUGGGUAACAAUCCUCGAUCUCAAAACAAUCCUUAUAGCAAUACUUACAAUGCAGGUUGGAGGAACCACCCAAAUUUUUCAUAGAGAGGCCAAGGAAAUCAGAGACCACCACCUCUAGGCUUUCAGCAACCACCAUACCAACAGGAAAAAAAGCCGAACCUUGAGGAGAUGCUAACCAAAUUCAUCUUAGUGUCAGAAACUCAUUUUUAGAACACCGAGACGACACUCAAAAAUCAACAAGCAUCAAUCCAGGGGCUCGAAACUUAGAUUGGCCAGCUCGCCAAGUUGAUUUCUAAAUGACCAUAAGGUAGCCUGCCAAGCAACAUUGAAUCUAACCCAAGGGAGCAACUCAAUGCGAUUGCCAUUCAAAAUGAGGAAGGGUCAGUUGCAAAACCAAGGCCAAAAAUGAUGGUAAGAAAAGGUAAGAAUGAGGUAGGCCAAAAUGACCCAAAGCUGGUGAGUACAGAAUAUAAACCUCGUGUGCCAUACCCUAAUGCAACAAGGAAAGACCGAUCAGGCAAACAAUUUGGUAAAUUCCUUAAACUUUUAAAGAAACUACAUAUUAACUUACCGUUUAUUGAAGUCCUUUCGCAGAUGCCAAACGCAGUCAAGUUUUUAAAGGAGCUUUUAACAAAUAAAUGAAAGUUGGAUGAGGCAUCGCAUGUGGAGUUGAAUAUAGUUUGCUCAGCCAUAUUAUAGAAUAAGCUACCCAACAAAUUGAAGGAUCCAGGGAGUUUUACGAUUCCUUGUUUAAUUGGUAGUUUAGAUGUUCAUAAUGCAUUGGCUGACUUAGGGUCAAGCAUUAAUGUUAUGCCUUAUAAAAUGUUUAAACAGCUAGGUCUUGGGAAACCCAAACAAACUAGAAUGAGCAUUCAAUUGGCUGAUAAAACCAUUACAGCGUGUUUGGUUCGCUGUUUUCCCCCCUCUGCAUGCGUAUUCCCCCCCUAUGCAACAGGCCCACCAGGAAACGGUUGUUUGGUUCGCUGUUUUCCCAUUCCCCGCCGAAUCGGUUACUCCCCCAUUACAUUGAUUGCGCAUAAUAGGCAUUACGGCCCCUCAGCGCCGAUUACCCAUUCCGCGUCUUUCCCUUUUUUCUCUUCCGUUUUCUGCCCUCGUCCUCAACGCUGUCAAAAGCUUCCCCAAAGUAAUCGACGAAGUCCUUGACGUUGUCAAAAGCUUCCCCAAAGUCGAUCCUUCCAAGGUCACCCCUUUUUCUCACAUCCAUUUCACGAUUUAUUGUUUGAUUUUAUAUUUCGGUGCUUGGGUGCUUAGGAAGAAAUGAUUUUGAAGUUAUUCUUUUCUGGAACUACUUGAUAUUUCACCCGAUUUAUAGUGUUUUAUGUGCAUUUUUGGGUUUCAUUCCCAAAAUUGAAAGCCAAAUCUUUCACCGGUAAUCAAUCAUUUUUAUACAAUUUCUUUUCAUGCUCAUGUUUCCUUGUUUGGGUUUCUUUCAAAAUUUCUGAAUCAAAUUGCUGUAGUUAUUGGUAGAUAUUAGAAGAAGAUAGUGCUGGUUUUGGCUUUGGGGGAUUUGCAUAUACCCCAUCGGGCGGCUGAUCUCCCUCCCAAAUUCAAGUCCAUGCUAGUUCCUGGAAUGAUCCAACACGUCUUUUGCACUGGUAAUCUUUGCAUCAAGGUAUCCCAUCUUUCUUUUCCUUUCUGGAUUUUUUUUGGUAGCUGAAAUCAUAGUUGAAUUUGGUUCCACUUCUUUAGCACUUUGGGUUUUAUGUUUCUCAGCAAGCAAUUGAAUAUAUUAAUUUUCUCUUCCUUUUUUGGAACUAUGGAUUGUUCAUUCCUUUGUAGUAGUUAUGCUAAAUUUAUGCCUAAUUUAAUCUGGAUUUCAUGUUUUUGCCCAAUUAUUUUCUCUUUGAGUUGUAAUAUGCGAAGAGAUAUUAUUUGCUAGUUUGAAUUUGGGAAAAGCAGCAGAACCUACCAUGCCUGAAUUAUCAGUAUUUUAAAUGAUCGCCAGCAAUUGUUUUAUUUGAUAAUUGUAAUUUUGAUCCGAAUAGCCAUUGCUGCUACCUUGCAUUUAUACAUGCAAAGAAUGAUUCCUGUCAUGUUUGAUCUGAAAUGCGUAUAAUCACGUGUCAGAUACUAGUUUGUGCCCAACUCUGACAUGUUUGAUCUCAAUCCUUUGAAUAUGUGUAGGGCAUAUGUGCCACUUUUGAGAAAACGAGAAGAGUCCGUGUAGCAUAGCAUUAAGUAGGAUUGAAGUACAUAUUUGGUUGAACUUAGAAACAUGUAGGAAGUUAGUCACUAAGGGCUAGUUUCUCAUUGCUUUUGAAAGGUGCUGCAAAAAAAUGCUUAUGAAAAAUGCUUUUGAAAAGCUUGGUCUAAAAUUUAAGAGUUUACUAUCUGUUUAGUAUUGCUUAUGGCUCUAAAAGCACUUUUGAAAAGCUAUUUUUCUCUUAUUUGCAUAGCCAACAACAAAUCAAAUGAACCUGAUUUGUUAGCUUUAGCUUUAUGGAAAUUAUGCCAUAGUAUUUCUACCAAUUGAACUUUUACGGUUUUUGUUUUUCUUAUUAAAAUUACCACUGGCCCAGCUAAUUCGGACUAAAAUUUCAGGAAGUUCAAGAUUACUUGAAGACACUUUGUCCUGACUUGCAUAUUACCAGAGGUGAAUAUGAUGAAGAUACAAGAUAUCCCGAGACCAAAACAUUAACUAUCAGACAAUUCAAGUUGGGAUUGUGCCAUGCCAUGGCCAUCAGGUAUUAUUUUCUUCUUUCCGCUGGUAUAUAGUAUUGGACUCUGCAUUUUAAAUCAGUAAGUAGUUUGCCAUUGAUGCAGAUUAUAAAUUUAUAUUGAAGCAUGCAUCUCCUGCUGUGAAAAAUAUGUGAUUUCAUGCUAAUGGUGUUAAAUAAAUAUAAAAAUAAUCGUUCAUGCCUUACAUUUCAAGUUAAAAUAUGUUCUGUUUGGAAAACUUGUAGACAGAGAUCUUGCUCUCUUUUUCUGAAGCUGCUAAAGGAUGUACGAAGGAUCUACAGUUUUAUGCAUUUGUAACUUGUGAUUCUUGCGGUAAGUAGCGCCUAAAAUUUGUUGGAAUCAUGUUGUGUUCAAGAACCAUACAAGCACAAAUGUAAUCCACUAAAUGCAUAAUUCCAAGUGGAGAGAAAGGUAACCUGGUAUGUUCAUCUAAGUUACUUACAUUUUUUGCAAGUUGAUUAAUCAUAGACUUACUGUUGCUUCUUUGUCCUUCUGCAGCAAGACCUGCAUUCUACAAAUAUGUUGCCUUCAUGUUCAUCUUGAAUGCACUAGAACUGUUUGCUUUACCUAGAGCUUCUUUCUAAAGAUCAAUAUACCGAUAUUGCUGUGGGAACAUAUCCAAAAAUGUAGAAUGUGCUUUACCUAGAGCUUCUUCCUAAAUAUCAGUUAGUCCUUGAUUUUUUUUUCAGUAUGUACUAUGUGUUAUCAAGUAGAUUUGGAGUUUGAAUAUCUACAUCUAAAUUAUUUUCAUUUCCAAGCAGAGAUCUUUUCUGAUCAAUUUUCUUGUAACAAAAUAAAUAGUAUCAUUGUGUUUGUUAUUGUAGAAUUACAAGAGUCUUGUACUAAUAGAAUUUGAUGGAGUUUGAAUGGCUCACAGGUUUGAUGGAGUUUAUUUUUUAAUUCUUUUUUUAUUUUUUAAUUAUGUUCAAUUAUAAUUAACACUACAAAAAUUAUCUCAACAAACGAAACAAAAAAAAAAGUAAAAUGCUACAAACAAAUCAUGUUUUCUUUUUAAAAAAAAAAGAAAGAUAUUUAACACACUAUAUUAUUCAAAUGGGUUUUUUUAAUAAUAAUUAUUAAGUCAUCAAUUAAUCAAAUCCACAAAAUCAAUUAUUUUAGAUUAUAUUUUAUAGUAUUAUAUAUUAUGAUUUUAGUAAAUUCGUAUAAGAAUAUUUAAUACUAAGAAUUUUAUUAAAUUAUAUAUUUAUAUUAAAUUAUAUUUAAUAAUAAUUAUUUUAGAUUAUAUUUUAUAGUAUUAUAUAUUAUGAUUUUAGUAAAUUCAUAUAAGAAUAUUUUAAUAUUAAGAAUUUUAUUAAAUUAUAUUUUUUUAUUAAAUUAUAUUUAAUAAUUAUUAUGUUAAAAUAUGAUUAAAUUAUUUAUUAUUGAUAUUAAUAAUCUUAUUAAAAUUUAAUAACAAUAACAAUAAUCAUUUACCUAAACAAAUUUCUGCUAAGGGUAUUCUAGUCAUUUUAGUUUUUUCCAUUAUGCUAUUACACCUCUAUUACAUUCAACCAAACACAGGAUUACUAUUACGCCUCUAUUCCAUUACAUUCAACCAAACAGUUGAUUUGCUAUUACACCUCUAAUCCAUUACACCUCUAAUCCAUUACACCUCUAUUCCAUUACGCCUCUAAUCCAAUACAGCGAACCAAACGUGCUCUUAGAUUUCCUAGGGCUAUCAUUGAAGAUGUUCUUGUUAAGAUCGAUAAAUUUAUAUACCCAGUAGACUUUGUUGUUCUAGACAUGGAAGAGGAUAGUAACGCAUCUUUAAUUUUAGGACGACCCUUUUUAGUGACUGCUAGAACCAUUAUUGAUGUUGGUACAGGUGAACUCACUCUUCGUGUGGGAGACGAAACAAUCACCCUUCAAGCUCGUAAUUCGAGUAACACAUCAAAAAUUGAAGGUGGUUGUAUAAAUCAUUCUAUUAGUACUAAUCAUGUGGUGAAACCUUCUGUGCAGGAAACAGUUACGAAGAACGCAUAUGAGCCUUGUUCAAACAACAACAAAGGACCUAUCUAUGAAGAACGAAGGCUACAAAUCGAGGAGCUAGAUGAAUGGCGGACACAGAAACUGAGAAUACCCGAUAAACCAAAACCGAGCCAGGACGAGCUCAAUACCUCACCUAAUCAACUUAAGGUUGGAGACAAAGUACUACUAGAUGCAGCAGAUCCUCGCAUUACCACUUCUGAACCUAAUGAAGAAAUUCCUCUUACGAUACUAAGUAUUUUCCCAUAUGGUACAGUCGAGGUAAAUCAUCCCAAAUUCGGCACAUUUAAGGUAAACAAUACUUGUCUUAAACCUUAUAUUGAUAAAGUUUAUAGCAGGGAUGAGGAGUAUAAACUCCUUGCACCACCUUGACCAUGCAAAAGAGAGGUAAGUCGAGCUUAGACUAUAAAUAAGCGCUUCUCGGGAGGUAACCUGAGCACUAACAGUGUUAAUUUCUUUAAAUUUUAGGUUUUAAUAUCUACCAUACUAACCAAAUCAUGAAACACAGGCUUACUAAAGCCCAUACGGCCAGGCACAGGGGUGUGCAUUAGGCCAUAUGAAAACAGGGCAAGAUUUUUCCCCAACACGGGGUGCGAUACGUUGCCACGGCUGUGCAAUAUGGCCGUGGGCGAAACUGCCAGAACAACACGGGCGUAAGACACGCCCGUGCCUUGAAACCGUGGUUGAAACUGAGAAUGUAACAUUGACGUGCGAUACGCCUGUGCCAUCCACCUGUGGACGACACUGUCAAAACGAACACGGGCAUGGACCUAUGUACACGGGCGUGGGAGAAGCGAACGAAGCAAGACACGGUCGUGCGACACGACCAUGUGCACCAAUACGCCCAAAGAACACAGGCGUGGUCCAAAUGUCAGACGCGCCCAAAUUCAAAAUUUGCGAAACACACGGGCACACGUCCGUGUGCCCCAAAAUCUAUAGAAACCCCUCACUAUUCAUCAUUUUCCUCCCAAAAAUCCCUAACCCUAGCCGCUACAACUCCACACGCCCUACCCCCCACGCCCGUGCGCCGCCUACAACACCGAUUUCGACGCCCCAAGCUCCUUCGUUUUGCAUUUGUUUACUCUUUUCUCUCUAUUUUCUUU
rnacentral:lncRNA from 1 species